rnacentral:lncRNA from 1 species
GCUGAUUUCCUUCAGAAUGGAUAGGGUUGAUCUUCUUGCAGUCCAUGGGACUCUCAAGAGUCUCUUCCAGCACCAGAAUUCAAAAGCAUCCAUUCUUCGGCGAUCAGCCUUCUUGAUGGUCCAGCUCUCACUUCCAUACAUCACUACUGGGAAAACCAUAGCUUUAACUAUACGGACCUUUGUUGGCAAGGUGAUGUCUUUACUUUUUAAGAUGCUGUCUAGGUUUGUCAUCACUUUUCUCCCAAGAAGCAGGUGUCUUUUAAUUUUGUGACUGCUGUCACCAUCUGCAGUGAUCAUGGAGCCCAAGAAAGUAAAAUCUCUUACUGCCUCCAUUUCUUCCUCUUCUAUUGGCCAGGAGCUGAUGGGACCAGUGGCCACGAUCUUGGUUUUUUUGAUGUUGAGCUUCAAACCAUAUUUUGCGCUCUCCUCUUUCACCCUCAUUAAAAGGUUCUUUAAGAGACGUUACAAGGCGUUAUUUGCAAAAGAGAGGGAGAGAUAACAAGGUUGUAUGCACCAUCCGUUAAAAGCAGGAUUGUGUCGCUUUAAACAGCCAAGAUCUGGAGAAACAGUAGUUUGCUAUGGGUGCUGAGAACUCUGGGAAUUGUAGCUCCAUGAGGGCAAUAGGUUUCUCCCAACAACUUUCAGUAAUCUUGGCAAGUUCCUAUACCUCCCAGGAGAUCUUGUAGGAAGCAGUGACUAUGUGAAUAACUUCCUGAUGGGAAGCGUAAGAGGCCAAUCAAAACAAAAAGUCUAUAAGGAUUGGGGAAUCUUUAAAGAAUAUUUAGAAAACUAUGGAAUAAAAGGAAACAUCUUGGCAGAAUUAGACUGAUCCCUGUAUUGUAUAAAUAUAAGUUCGUAGGGAGGUAAAAAGAAAUUAUAUAAGAAAUAUGUAACUGUAUAAAGUAAUGGAUAGAUAAAGUACAGUGAGUUUAAUUGGAAGUCAGUUUUAAAUUUCUUCUCUAUAAGUUUUAUAAUUGUGUUCAGUAUCAGGAGUAUAUAUGAUGAUAAUUAUAUUAAUCUUCUUGUAUCUUAUUUGUGGUUUGUUUGAUUUUUCUCUUGUUUGUUUGAUUGUAUGUUUGUUUACUUGUAUGUACAUCUGUUUUCUCAUAAAUGUAUUGUUCUGGAGAGGCAAGGUGUGAGGCCAAUUGGUAACGCACAACAUCUGGUGGCAAUUGGUAACUCACAACAUCUGGUGGCAAGAGCCAGGAAGGGAUAUAAGGUCAGCAUUUCCCUUCGGCUCUUUGCCACAGAAACACGUUUCUUGCCUUGCUGCAUUUGGCUUUUUGCUUCUUGAUCCUCGGACCCCCGACUUCGUGACUCCUGGCUCUCUGACCCUCGGACUCUUGGCUUCUUGACUUCUGGACUCCCGUUCCUGCUCCCACCCCACCACCUUGCCCCUGACGUCCUCAGCCGGGACUUCGAUCUCCCAUAGACCGGACCGUGACACUCCUGUGCCACCGCUGCACAAUUUCUGUUCUCAUCCUGAAGCAAAGUUCUUAACCUAAGGUAAUAUUUCUGGGUUAGAGGAGUCUGUAACCUGAAGCGUCUGUAACCGGAAGCGUCUGUAACCCGAGGUACCACUGUAAUAGGCAUCUUCAAAUAUCUGAAGAGCUGUCACAUGGAAGAGGGAUCAAGCUUGUUUUCUCCUGCUCUGGAGGGUAGGGCUCGAACCCAUGGCUUCAAGUUAUGAGAAAGGAGAUUCCGACUCAAUAUCAGGAAGAACUUUCUUACAGCAAGAGCUGUUGUACAGUGGAACGGUCUCCCUCGGGAGAUGGUGGACUCUCCUUCCUUGGAGGUUUUUACAGCAGAAGUUGGACGGCCAUCUAUCAGUGAUGCUUGAGCUGAGAUUCCUGCAUUGCAGGGGGUUGGACUAGAUGACCCGCAGGGUCCCUUCCAACUCUACAAUUCUGUGGCUUGACGAUUCCAUGUUUCAUGAGACGUGAUUCAUAAAUGAAAUGAAAGCAACAAACAAGAAUGCAUGCUCUAGUUAUCUCCUGCUUGGACUACUCUAAUGUGCUCUACAUGGGGCUACCUUUGAAGGUGACCUGGAAACUACAGCUAAUCCAGAAUGCAGCAGCCAGACUGGGGACUGAGAGUGGCCGCUGAGACCACAUAACACCGGUCCUGAGAGAUCUGCAUUGGCUCCCAGUACGUUUCCGAGCACAAUUCAAAGUGUUAGUGCUGACCUUGAAAGCCCUAAAUGGCCUCGGUCCUGUAUACCUGGAGGAGCGUCUCCACCCCCAUCGUUCAGCCCGGACACUGAGGUCCAGCGCCGAGGACCUUCUGGCGGUUCCCUCACUGCGAGAAGCGAGGUUACAGGGAACCAGGCAGAGGGCCUUCUUGGUAGUGGCACCCGCCCAUGGAACGCCCUCCCUUCAGAUUGUGAAGGAAAUAAGCAGCUAUCUUCUUUUUAAAAGACAUCUGAAGGCAGCCCUGUUUAGGGAAGUUUUUAAUAUUUAAUGCUGUAUUGUUUUUAACACUUGAUUGGAAACCGCCCAGAGUGGCUGGGGAAACUCAGCCAGAUGGGCGGGGUAUAAAUAAUAAAUUAUUAUUAUUAUUAUAAGAAAUGCACCAGCCUUGCACUAUCCCUUUGCUUAAUUUCACACCAAGCCAAGUGGCUUUUGCCGCUGCAUUGCUACGUUUGCCAGAUGUUGGAAAUGCUGCGCUAAGACUUUUUAACAGGAAAGGCCUGGGAAAAAAUGGCAGGAGACACUUUUACUGGUGAAAUUGACGGGGCGUCGUAAAUCUCAAGGUGAGUAUUCUGCAGCCAAUGAAAUAUGGGCGCUUGCUGCUUCCAGCGCGCAGAAUGAUUUGUCUGAUUCCCAUGGAAACUUUGAAUGGCUCACCCUUGUGGAAUUAUUGGCUUUCUCAGAGCCCUGUACGCAACGCUUUGUGGUUAUAUUUCCUUUCCCUUUUAACUAAUUUUAGUUGUCUUUUCCUUCUUCCCUGCUCUGUUUGAUUUAGGGCUAAAGCUUUCACUUCCAUUUGUGUGAGAGUGACUUGGUUUAAGUAUCUCAUCUGCUGCUGCUCCUUCCAAGAACCAAAGACCCUCUGAAGCUGCAAAUCUAUGGUGCGGUCGCACUCAAACUACUGGGCAAAUCAAUUCCGAAAACGUGAUUGUGGAAGCUGUGGAGGUUUGGAAAAGGGCAGGCAAAGUGAUCAAGGGGGUGGAAGUGAGGAAAGGUUACAUUUUGUUGGUAAGCUGGAUAGCCACCAGUUGGGGAUUAUUUAGUCGAGAACCUCGCAUUGCAGGGGGUUGGCUUGAUGGCCUUUGUGGGUCCCUUCCAAAUCUAUCAUUCUUUUUUUAAUUCCUGAGAAAAAGCAAGUAAAAUUGCGCAUGGCUUGUGGAAGGUAAUCAUCAUCAUCAUCAUCACAACUUAUUAUUUGUACCCCGCCCAUCUGGCUGGGUUUCCCCAGCCACUCUGGGCAGCUUCCAACAAAGAUUAAAAAUACAUAAAAAUGUCACCCAUUAAAAACUUCCCAGAACAGGGCUGCCUUCAGAUGUCUUCUAAGUGUUAGGUAGUUGUUUAUCUCUUUGAAAACUGGUGGGAGGGCGUUCCACAGGCCCUCUGCCUGGUUCCCUGUAGCUUUGCUUCUCGCAAUGAGGGAACCGCCAGAAGGCCCUCGGCGCUGGACCUCAGUGUCCGGGCAGAACGAUGGGGGUGGAGACACUCCUUCAGGUAUACUGGACCAAGGCCAUUUAGGGCUUUAAAGGUCAACACCAACACUUUGAAUUGGGCUUGGAAACGUCCUGGGAGCCAAUGCAGGUCUUUCAAGACCGGUGUUAUGUGGUCUCGGCGGCCGCCCCCAGUCACCAGUCUAGCUUCCGCAUUCUGGAUUAGUUGUAGUUUCCGGCUCACCUUCAAAGGUAGCCCCACAUAGAGCGCAUUGCAGUAGUCCAAGCGAGAGAUAACCAGAGCAUGAACUCCUCUGGUGAGACAGUCUGUGGGCAGGGAGGGUCUCAGCCUGCGUACCAAUGGAGCUGCCCUGGACACAGAACUGACCUGCGCCUCCAUGGGCAGUUGUGAGUCCAAAAUGACUCCCAGGCUGCGCACCUGGUCCUUCAGGGGCACAGUGACCCCAUUCAGGACUAGGGAGUCUCCCCCACCUGCCCGCCCCCUGUCCCCCAAGAACAGUAUUUCUGUCUUGUCAGGAUUCAACCUCAAUCCAUUAGCUGCCAUCUAUCCUCCAACCGCCUCCAGGCACUCACACAGGACCUUCACUGGUCCUGAUUUGAAAAAAAGGUAGAGCUGGGUAUCAUCUGCAUAUUGAUGGACACCCAGCCCAAACCCCUGAUCUCUCCCAGCAACUCCAUAUAGAUGUUGAAAAGCAUGGGGGAGAGGAUGGAACCAUGAGGCACCCCACAAGUGAGAGCCCAGGGGUCUGAACACUCAUCCCCCCCCACCACUUUCUGGACACAGCCCAGGAGAAAGGAGUGGAACCACUGUAUAGCAGAUAGACAAGGGAGCAGAAAAGACUAUAUAUGUGACCAGGGCUGCAUGGAUUUUAUUGGCCCAGAGAUGGAAAGAAUAUAAAGUCCCUACCAGAGAAUGGCAGAUGAAGUUGAUGGACUAUGCUGAAAUGGCUAAAAUGACCAGAAGAAUCAGAAAUCAGGAAGACCAAAAUUUUAACAAGGAAUGGGGAAAAUUUAUAACUUAUCUUAAAGACCAUUGUAAACAGUUUAAAUCGUUAGUAGGAUUGGAAUAGCACUUGUAGGGUGAAUUCUGGACACGCUGGAGAUGUAAAACAUUUGCGCCAUCAUAAAAGAUGCAGGUGGAAAUGAUUCAUAAUAGCACCCACAAAAGGAAAUGAUUAAUAAUAGGACCCACAAAUGGAAGUCUAGGAGAUUCCUUGGAAUCUUGUUUUUAUGAUUUAUGUUGGAUAUAUCUCUGCAAAAUUUUAAUUUGAAAAACCAAAGGAGGCAGAGAUGGCCCCCAGCUUGGAUGCCAAUAAUAAUAAUAAUAAUAAUAAUAAUAAUAAAUUUUAUUUAUACCCCACCCUCCCCGGCCAGAGCUGGGCUCAGGGCAGCUAACACCAAUAAAAUUUCAGUAAAAACAUAAGAAAAAAACAACAAUUUAAAAUACAGGUUAAAAUGCAAUUUAAAAGGCAGCCUCAUUUUAAAAGUCAAAACCGUAAGGGGAGGGAAACAUAUGGGUCAGACUGAGUCCAAACCAAAGGCCAGGCGGAACAGCUCUGUCUUGCAGGCCCUGCGGAAAGAUGUCAAGUCCCGCAGGGCGCUAGUCUCUUGUAACAGAGUGCUCCACCAAGUCAGGGCCAGUACUGAAAAGGCCCUGGCCCUAGUUGAGACCAGUCUAACCACCUUGCGACCUGGGACCUCCAAAGUGUUGUCAUUUGUGGACCUUAAGGUCCUCCGCGGGGCAUACCAGGAGAGGCAGUCCCGUAGGUACGUGGGGUUAGACAAAUUCAUGAGGGGUAAGACUAUCCAUGGCUGCUAGCCGUGAGGGCUGCGCUCUGCCUCAAUGGUCAGAGGCAACAAUGUUUCUGAAUAUGAAUUGCUGCGGAGGAAGAGGAUGUUGGCCUAGAUAGGUCAUUGGCCUGAUCCAGCGGUCAGUCUUUUCUUAUGCCCUUAACCCUGAGGAGGUGCACUCCUUUUUAAUAACAUUUUUAUUUUAUUAACGUAUAAAACACAUACAUAUACAUUUACAUAAUACACGUACACAACACACUACCUUAUUUUCAUAACAUAGAACAUACCUACAUUACUCUAUAUAAUACCUACCUAUACUAUACAUAUCAACAUACCUACACACCUACCCCACACGGACACCCACCAAGUGACUUGACUUCCAGUCGUUCUUGUUACGCUACUUUAUUUUUCCAGCUAGCUUAAACGCAUUUCAUUAUUUCUUUAAUCUCUUCUUCUGUCUCAACUUUACUCUCCUUUCACUCUAAUCAUUUUCUGGAUUCACUCAAUAUUUGUCAGAAAUUCUACUUUUUCCACAUAGAUUUUGAUGUGUUCCUUAAAGAUAGCCCACUCCUUAUUCACUUUUUGUACCAGAUCUCUUCUUAUCCUCCCUGUUAGUUCGGCAAUAUGGAAGUAUUCCUUCAUUUUAGAUAACCAGUCCAUUUUAGUUGGGCCUCUGCUACUUUUCCAAUUCUUGGCAAUCAAUAAACUUGCUGCCGUAGUUGCAUACAUAAAUAUUGGUCUGACCGUUCUUUUUAUAUCCUCUGACAUGAUACCUAGGAGAAAGGAUUCGGUUUUCCCCCCAAAUGAAAAUCUAAACAUCUUUUUCAGUUCGUUAUAGAUAUUUUCCCAGAAUCCCACUAUCUCUUUGCAUUCCCACCACAUAUGUAGAAAGGUUCCUGCCCCGUUGUUGCAUCUCCAACAGACAUCACUACAGUUUUUGUACAUUUUUGCCAGUUUGGCCGGGGUCAGGUACCAUCUUCAUUGCAUUUUCAUUACAUUCGCUCUUAAAUUACAGCAUGCUGUAAAUUUGAUAUCUCUUUUCCACAGCCGUUCCCAUUGGCUCAUCAUAAUAAAGGUAAAGGUAAAGGGACCCCUGACCAUUAGGUCCAGUCGUGACCGAUUCUGGGGUUGCGGCGCUCAUCUCGCUUUAUUGGCCGAGGGAGCCAGCGUACAGCUUCCAGGUCAUGUGGCCAGCAUGACUGAGCCGCUUCUGGCGAACCAGAGCAGCGCACGGAAACGCCGCUUACCUUCCCGCUAUAGCGGUACCUAUUAUCUACUUGCACUUUGACGUGCUUUCGACCUGCUAGGUUGGCAGGAGCAGGGACCGAGCAAAGGGAGCUCACCCCGUCGCGGGGAUUCGAACUGCCGACCUUCUGAUCGGCAAGUCCUAGGCUCUGUGGUUUAACCAUCACUGUCUUCCCUUGCUCACGGAGGAGCACUCCUAUUUGGAGGGAAGGAUGCAUGGCCACGGAAGAGACAAAGACGCAAAGCUGAAGCAACAUCUCCCCUUCCCUGCUUUAAUAAUGUUAUCUGCAUCAUAACUUCAUUAACCGGAAUCAUAAACGAGAAGGGAGAAAGGGAGGCAGGCAGGAGGAUAUUCCAGCCAGCUGUUCCCUAUUCUCUUGGGGUCGUCUUAAAUUCACAUGUACUGACAAAUGCAGAUUCAUGCAAAUGGAGCUGUGUCUCAAAGCUCGCAGUAAUUAAUUUGAACGUGUCAGGGAGCCCUCAGAGGAGGAGGACUCUAUUUGGUGCCUUCCUGGGAGAUGUUAUCUUGGGGAAGGAGGGCUAAGAGGGGAUAGUGCCAACAUUGGAGCUGUCCCGGAAUUAGAUUUGCCUUAUUAAAUGAAAUAAACUCGGAGUCGGGAGUGGAUUUCAUGCUCUAUAUUCAGCUCAUAGUGGUGAGGAGGAAUGGAAGUUCCCCCAGAAUGCCUGCUUUAUAUAUAUUAUUUACACAAUGUGAUUGGCUAAUUCUGGGAUUCACCUGUAGGCCAAUCAGGUUGUGGAUUCACUUCCACCUGGAGCUGGAUUGGGUGGCUCCUGUGGACCAAUCAGACUGCUGCAUUCUGGACCCUAUUGUUCUAGGACCAAUCAGACUGCUGCAUUCUGGACCCUAUUGUUCUUGGACCAAUCAGACUGCUGCAUUCUGAAUCCUAUUGUUCUAGGACCAAUCAGACUGCUGCCUUUUGGAUCCUAUUCAACAUAACAGGGACAGUGCCAACAUUGGAGCAGUCCCGGAAUUAGAUUUGCCUUAUUAAACAUCUAGGUGUUCCUGCAAGCAGAGAAGAAGAGAUUCGUUCCCCGGGGGAAGGAGGGCUGCUUUUGAAAACCCCUUCCUCUGUGGCAUGCGUACCUGUGGUACGGGAAAGUUAAAAUCCAUAAGAGCUUCUUGAAUCAUAUUAUAAGAAAAUCCCUGUAUAUGGUCUGGAAGAAAUAUAAAGAUCUCUUGGAGCGCAAAAAAGCCUGGUUCAAAUAUCACCAUUUGAAGCAGCUGUGGUGAAAAGGAAGAACAUGGGCAGAAACUGGCCAAUAUACAAAACUCUAGUAAAGGAAGAAAAAAACGAAUUAAAAUGGAAAAGUUUUGAAGAGAUAAUGAGAAGGCUGGUAGCAGACUGGUUCCAUUAUUAUCAAUUGUUUGAAACAUUUAAAACAGACACAAACAAAAUUGCACUGGGCAAAAAAAAUGAGAGGCACAAAUACAAGAUGGGUGACACCUGGCUUGAGAGCAGUACAUGUGAAAAGGAUCUAGGAGUCUUGGUUGACCACAAACUUGACAUGAGCCAACAGUGUGACGCGGCAGCUAAAAAAGCCAAUGCAAUUCUGGGCUGCAUCAAUAGGAGUAUAGCAUCUAGAUCAAGGGAAGUAAUAGUGCCACUGUAUUCUGCUCUGGUCACGCCUCACCUGGAGUACUGUGUCCAGUUCUGGGCACCACAGUUCAAGAAGGACACUGACAAACUGGAACGUGUCCAGAGGAGGGCAACCAAAAUGGUCAAAGGCCUGGAAACGAUGCCUUAUGAGGAACGGCUAAGGGAGCUGGGCAUGUUUAGCCUGGAGAAGAGGAGGUUAAGGGGUGAUAUGAUAGCCAUGUUCCAAUAUAGAAAAGGAUGUCACAUAGAGGAGGGAGAAAGGUUGUUUUCUGCUGCUCCAGAGAAGCGGACACGGAGCAAUGGAUCCAAACUACAAGAAAGAAGAUUCCACCUAAACAUUAGGAAGAACUUCCUGACAGUAAGAGCUGUUCGACAGUGGAAUUUGCUGCCAAGGAGUGUGGUGGAGUCUCCUUCUUUGGAGGUCUUUAAGCAGAGGCUUGACACCAUAUGUCAGGAGUGCUCUGAUGGUGUUUCCUGCUUGGCAGGGGGUUGGACUCGAUGGCCCUUGUGGUCUCUUCCAACUCUAUGAUUCUAUGAUUCUAAAAGGGGGUUUGCACCAGAGCAUAGCUGUCAAGCGUCCCUUAUUUGGUGGGACAGUCCCUUAUCCCAGCGCCAUGUCCCGCUGCUGUCCCUUAUUGAUGAUGUCCCUUAAAUUUCCCGGGUUUCAAAGGAAGCAGCUCCUCUCCCUCCCUCCCUGCCGGCCAGGGAGGAGGGAGGCUCCAACUGUGUGGCUUGGCUGCGUUGCUCACCCAAUAAGGAGUCUAAGAACGGCUGGGGGGUGGAGCUUGCAUGCCUUGUGCCGAUCAAAUCGGCCAUAUUGCCUGGGGACUCGCCUUUGCUCAGCGCUUCCCAGUGGAGAGGUGACGGUGGUUUUCCUUGCUGCAUCCCUUUUGCUGGGUUGCUGCGCUGUGGGAACCACCGCUUGAGGCUUUGUUUGGCUGCUGGCUGGGCUUUCUGCCUUUGGCUCGGAGGGGCUCAGAAGUUGAACAUACCUGUGCCCGGAAAAUCCUUUAUUUUGGCUGCUGAUCCCUUAUUUCCGAGGCUGCUGGCCCCUUAUUUUCAAAUCUGUAAGUUGACAGCUAUGCACCAGAGAUAUCUAGAUUUGGUCAAUUAAAAAAUGAAAACUCUUUCAAAAAUGUCAAUUUGGUCAAUUCAACCAUGAGAACUCUUUCAAAAAUGUCAAUUUGGUCAAUUCAACCAUGAGAACUCUUUCAAAAAUGUCAAUUUGGUCAAUUCAACAAUAAAAACUCUUUCAAAAAUGUAAGCUGCUAUGAUUAAAUCGGCCCAGGACUUUGGAUAUAAAAUAGAAAUAAAGAAAUGGGAAAAUCUACAGAAAGUGAACUGGAAAUUCACAGCGUGUUAUACUCUGAGGGAAUUUUUUCUUCAAAAAAUGUAAUACUGCUGGUAUUCUGGUAUUUGACCCCAUGGAAGCUUUCAAAAAUGUAUAAAAAUGUACCUAAUACUUGUUGGAGAUGUGGAGUAGAAAUUGGUACUAUGUUUCAUAUGUGGUGGCUAUGUAAAAAAUUAAGAUUUUCUGGGACGACAUUUAUAGUGAACUUAAGAAAAUGUUCAAGGUCUCAUUUAAAAAAAAACACCAAAAAAAGAGAAGCUUUUCUACUGGGAAAUACAGCACCAGACAUUCCUAGAAAUGCAAAAGAAGUUUUUUUAUAUGCCACAGUCGCAGCGAGAAUCUUAAUAGCGACUAACUGGGAAAGUGAUAAAAUUCCUUCCAGAUCAGAAUGGUUACAAAAACCAGCUGAAUAUACAGAGCUGGCCCGACUAUCUGAAAAAAAUGAAAGAUAAGUCAGAACAAUUAUUUAUUGCAAAAUGGGAAGUUUUCAAAACAUAUCUUAAAAAUAAAUGUGGCAGUAUGAAUUGGGUCACUGCCUUUGAAUAAUUUCUGCAGUUGUACUAAAUAAAAAGAAUAAGAAAUAAAGACACAGAAGAGUAAUAUUGUAUUGUAAAAUGAACAUACAGAUUUAUGCAAUAAAUUUGCAAAUAUAGAAAGAGGACAAAAGGAUGUUCCCUAAGAAGACUUACUGACAAAACAUAAGAAUUUACUUUUUUGUUUAUUUUGUAUUUGAGGUGGCGGGUGAUGUAGAUGUAUGGUUUUUCUUUUUGCUUUUUUCUCGAGUGUUAUGUACUGAGCUGACUCCUCAAACAAUAGGAUCCAGAAUGCAGCAGUGCGAUUGGUCUGCAGGAGCCACCCUAUCCAGCUUCAGGUGGAAGUGAAUCAGCAACCUGAUUGGUCUGCAGGAGCAGCCAAUCAGGCUCCUGGAUGAAGUGAAUCAUCAGUCUGAUUGGCCUGCAGGAGCAGCCAAUCAGACUUCUGGAGGAGGUGAAUCCGCAACCUGAUUGGCCUACAGGAGCAGCCCGGAAUUAGCCAAUCAUGUAGGGCCCAUUGUGUAAAUAACGUAUAUAUAACUAGAUAUUUUGGGGAAAGUCUCAUUCAUUGCUACUAUGAGCUGAAUAAAGAGCAUGAAAUUCACACUCAACUCCAAAUAUAUUUCAAAAAGCAUACAAAAUAAUAAUAAUAAUUAAUAAUAAUAAUAAUUUAUACCCUGCCCAUGUGGCCGGGCUGCCCCAGCCACUCUUGGCGGCUUCCAACAAAAUAUUAAAAUACCGUAAUGCAUCAAACAUUAAAAGCUUCCCUAAACAGGGCUGCCUUCAGAUGUCUUCCCAAAGUCUGGUAGUUGUUGUUCUCUUUGACAUCCUCCAGUGCUUACCGUAUAUUUCGCUCUAUAAGGCGCACCAGACCAUAAGAUGCACCUAUUUUUUGGAGGAGGAAAAGAAGAAAAAAAAAAAUUCUGAAUCCCAGAAGCCAGAACAGCAAGAGGGAUCGCUGUGCAGCGAAAGCAGCGAUCCCUCUUGCUGUUCUGGCUUCUGGGAUAUCUGCGCAGCCUGUAUUCGCUCCAUAACACACACACACAUUUCCCCUUACUUUUUAGGAGGGAACAAGUGAGUCUUAUAGAGCAAAAAAUACGGUAAUUUUGAAAGCAAGGGACAGUCAUCCUCCAGGUCCCAUUGCAGCACCUUUCCCUUAUCCCAACUCCCAUCAUCGCAAGGGCCAUCUCGCCCUGAGGGGGAUGAAAAAGGACUGGGAGAUAUUCUGAGCCAGGAGCAAAGAGCCAGAAGAGUACUUAGGACUGAGAAGUCCAAUUCAUAACUGCAGGGGAAGCAGGAAUGAAGAGCAAGUCGGGAGCCAGAGGCUAAAGAACGACCACAUAUGCAAGGAGACAACAGAGACUAGAAGGACCACGCUGCCUCAGAAAGACACAACUGCAACAGGAAGUCCUUUUAUGCUUGCUCCUGUCCAGAAGGAUCCAGUGGCCAGCCUGAGUCAAGGUCCUUCACCAAGACCAGCCACCUGAACUUCAGUCGUUCACCACAUGAGGAAGCUGAACUGGGAUCCAGCAACUCCUAACCCUCUGCAACCUGGAGGGCAGGUAUCUAUGGCCUGGGCAAUGCAUUCUUGGGAGCUGAGAGGGUGCAGAAAGGUUGAUGCUGGGCCUCUGCAUUGAGAAAUCUGUGGGUGCUGAGCUCCUACAUGGGGAAAUUUGUGGAUGUUGGGCCGCUGCGGGGGAAAUUUGUGGGUGCUGGGCCCCUGCCUGGGGAAAUCUGUGGGUGCUGGGCCACCGCAAGGGGAAAUUUGUGGGCCCCAGGGAGUUGGCCCCUAUGACCCAGGGCCCCAGGGAGUUGGCCCCUAUGAAUGGUUAAGUGAUACUGUAUUUUUCGCUCUAUAAGAUGCACCAGACCACAAGACGCACCUAGUUUUUGGAGGAGGAAAACAAGAAAAAAAAUAUUCUGAAUCUCAGAAGCCAGAACCACAAGAGGGAUCGCUGCGCAGCGAAAGCAGCAAUCCCUCUUGCUGCUCUGGCUUCUGGAAUAGCUGCGCAGCCUGCAUUUGCUCCAUAAGACGCACACACAUUUCCCCUUACUUUUUAGGAGGGGAAAAGUAAGUCUUAUAGAGCAAAAAAUACGGUAGUUAAAUUCCUUAAAUAAAAACAAAUAAUAUGGCAGUCCCUGCGCCUUUCAGAUCUCUGUUCUCCUGGUUAUCACUGCAAUAUCAAAACCUUUACAUUUAAAGAAGCAAUAGAGACUCCUUUAGUUGAUAUUCCUGCAUAGCAGGGGGUUGGACUAGAUGACCCCAGGGUCCCUUCCAACUCUACGAUUCUACGAUCUCCGCCCAGCUGGAACCUCCUUGGCCUCUUGUGUCCCAUCCACAGCUCACCAGCAGUUUUCUGCGAUCAUGUCGUCCCCCUCCCCCCCCAUUCCAUUGCACGUAGCCAUAGCACUUGGGAAUUUCUGUAAUUUCUUGAAAAAUGCCAAGAAGUUUUCAUAUUUUAGUUCUGUGUUCCAUGACAUUGAAACAAGAGCCUUAUUAACUAGACACCGCCGUGCAUCAGCAGGGACUGUGCCGGGGGGGGGGGAGAGGAAGAUAACCUCCUCCUGUAAUAAUAAUGUCCUGUUCUCAAUGGGUUCCCCUGAGUAACUCAGGUGACUUGCAAAAUCAAGGUGAGCAGCAAGGCGGGCCAGGAUCCGGAGCUGGCCCAAGUUCAUCCGAGUCCAAUUAAGCAGAAGUCACAGCAAAGAGUCAGGUGGGAAGCAAAAUCGCAGCAGACUGAGGUCAGGUUUCGUAUAGGCGAACACUGGCUCCCAGUACAUUUCCAAGCACAAUUCAAAGUGUUGGUGUUGACCUUUAAAGCCCUAAAUGGCCUUGGUCCAGGAUACCUGAAGGAGCGUCUCCACCCCCAUCGUUCAGCCCGGACACGGAGGUCCAGCGCAGAGGGCCUUCUGGUGGUUCCCUCGCUGUGAGAAGCCAAGUUACAGGGAACCAGGCAGAGGGCCUUCUCGGUAGUGGCACCCGCCCUGUGGAACGCCCUCCCACCAGAUGUCAAAGAGAAAAACAACUGGUGCUGGAGGGGACUCUUGAGAGUCCCAUGGACUGCAAGAAGAUCAACCCUAUCCAUUCUGAAGGAAAUCGGCCCUGAGUGCUCACUGGAAGGACAAAUCGUGAAGCUGAGGCUCCAGUACUUUGGCCACCUCAUGAGAAGGGAAGACUCCCUGGAAAAGACCCUGAUGUUGGGAAAGAAGGAGGGCACAAGGAGAAGGGGACGGCAGAGGACGAGAUGGUUGGACGGUGUUCUUGAGGCUACCAGCAUGAGUUUGACCAAGCUGCGGGAGGCAGUGGAAGACAGGAGUGCCUGGCGUGCUCUGGUCCAGGGGGUCACGAAGAGUCGGACACGACUAAACGACUAAACAACAACAGCCAUCCCUGCUGUGUAAAACCUGCAACCUUUUCCCCGGAUUCAGAGUCAGAGUCUGACUUAACAUACAGCAGUUCCUGGACCUCUGCAAGGAAUCAGUUCAGAUCCUUGGUGAUGAGAGAGAGAAAUGUGGGGCGACAGUUAGAAAUCAUCAUGAGCUGUUUUGCGGAAUUGCAUGUGCGCGUGUGUGCAUUCCCUCCUGAAUGCAUGCGCACACACACACAAUUCUGCAAGGCAGGCUCCGCCCACUUCUGACUCUGGCUCCACCCACCAUCAGAUCUAGCUCCGCCCAAAGAUGCAUGUUGCCUCCCCCAACUGACUUUUCCAUCAGUCAGUGGCUCUCUGCCUUACACUAACUGUUAUGUACUGAAGUUCUCACCCUGGGCCAGCAGGGGGGAUACUGUAGAUAGUUUUCACUCAGGUCCGCAUAUGCAAAUAAGGAAAUGAAAGCGACGUUCAGUGAUUGGGUAGUUACAGAAAGUUGUUACUGUUGCUUUGUAGUGGAGCUCUAUAUAAGCAGGUUGGCUGAACCCUUCGGUUCAGUUCUGUUCUGGCCUGUGAAUAAACAAGAGCUGUUUGAAGAAUCGCUGUGUCGUCUGAUAUGUUCACCCACAACUUAACAAUAACCUUGCACAGUAGGUGCGUAUUGGCAGCCUCUUAUUUCGGAUACAGGUUGCUGAGUCAGAGAGAGAGAGUGAGAGUGAGAGAGAGAGAGAGAGAGAGAGAGAGAGAGAGAGAGAGAGAGAGAGAGGUGCUUGCCCAGGGCCACUUCGGGGAAUGAAUAUGAAAUGUCAAGAUUUGAACGAAGGGCUUCCUAUUGUUUAGGUGUUACGUGACUCGAAAGGCGAGCAGUUCUAAUUUUCUGAUAGCGGUUGGCAGUUUAUCCAAAUGCUCACCUUUCCCCAUGGAUGUGCAAAAGUCGCAACACACACACACACACACACACACACACACACACACACACACGAACACAGUACAAAUAACUGAUGAGGAAGGGAAGAAUAAAUCUGGGUGAGGUUUUUUUCCUUUCCUUUCCUUCUUUUUGGUACAGCGAGCUGUGAAGGCAGGAAGAAGGAGGCCUCCCUAAUUCAUUAGCAAAUCAACAUUAUCAGAUUUAUGGACGGGAGUCCAGCUCAGGCAACCUUCCAUUUAGAUGGAAUUACUUGUGUACAUAAAAAAAAGAUUGAAAACUUGUAUGUUAUUGGAAGAGCAAUCUCGUCUCCUGCAUGCUUAAUCAGAGGGGGAAAGGGAGGAGAUGCCUGCCUCUCUCUCUCUGCACAACAAGACAGAAAAGGCAAACGACACCUUUGCUGAGACUUACAGGAUUGGUGGUGGUGGUGAACGAAAUUUUCCGUUUUGUUGUUCUGUAUGGAACAAUGACAAUAAAGAUUAUUGUAUCGUAUCAUGAAACCCAGCUCUACCUCUCUUUUAAAUUGGAACCAGCAAAGGCGGUGAAGGUCCUGUGUGAGUGUCUGGAGGCGGUUGGAGGAUGGAUGGCGGCUAAAAGAUUGAGGUUGAAUCCUGACAAGACAGAAGUACUGUUUCGGGGGGACAGGGGGCUAACAGGUGUGGAGGACUGCCUGGUCCUGAAUGGGGUAACUGUGCCCCUGAAGGACCAGGUGCGCAGCCUGGGAGUCAUUCUGGACUCACAGCUGUCCAUGGAGGUGCAGGUCAGUUCUGUGUCCAGGGCGGCUGUCUACCAGCUCCAUCUGGUACGCAGGAUGAGACCCUCCCUGCCCACAGACUGCCUCGCCAGAGUGGUGCAUGCUCUAGUUAUCUCCUGCUUGGACUACUGCAAUGCGCUCUAUGUGGCGCUACCUUUGAAGGUGAGCCAGAAACUACAACUAAUCCAGAAUGCGGCAGCUAGACUGGUGACUGGGAGCGGCCGCCGAGACCACAUAACACCAGUCUUGAAAGACCUACAUUGGCUCCCAGUACGUUUCCGAGCACAAUUCAAAGUGUUGGUGCUGACCUUUGAAGCCCUAAACGGCCUCGGUCCAGUAUAUCUGAAGGAGCGUCUUCACCCACAUUGUUCCUGCAGUGGGAAAUAUUCACAUCAACGCAAGGCCCCCACAUUCUUCCCCGUGGCUCCAUGGUGCCAAGAGAGCCAGCGUGGUACAGUGGUUAGAAUGCUAAACUAAGAGCCAGGAGACCUGGGUUCAAAUCCCCACUCAGCCAUGAAACUCACCGGAUGUGACCUUGGGGGCAAAGUCGCUGCCUCUCGGCCUGACCUUAAUGAGGGGGAUUCUGUGAUUCCCCUACAUUCCUGACAUUCCUGGAAACAGAAUAUCCCCCAAACCUCUUCUCUCUUUUGUGAAACUAGAACAGGGCGAGGUACCCUUUUCGGCUUGAGUGAGAACUGUAGAAAUAUGAAAACAUUGGCAGGAUUGAAUUAUAUCUUAUGUCACGGAGUAAUUUUUAACCAAUGAAACUGUGAAUUAUAGAAGAAAACCUGCGGAAGGGAAGGACGGAAGUCAACAGCUCUAUAGAGCAUAAAGUAGGAUAUAUGUAAUAUGUAAUAAGAUUUGAUGUUUUUGUUGGUUGGUGUUAGUGUUCUUAAAUCUCAAUAAAAAGCACCUGCUUAAAAAAAAAAAGAUAACGACAGCGAUGUUGGGAAAACUGUUGCUCCUUGUUUCAAACUCUUGCAAUACGUGGAUUCAGAUCGCAAGAAAUGAGAUUCUGUCUGAACAUCAGGAAGAAACUUUUGUUGGUAAGAGCCAUUCAAAAGUAGAACGAAUUGCCUCGGAGGGUGGUGGACUCUCCUUCCUUGGAGGUUUUUAAGGAGAGGUUGGGUGGCCAUCUGUCAGGGAUUCUAGAGCUGUGAUUCCUGCAUUUCUGGGGGUUGGACUAGAUGACCCUAGGGGUCCCUUCCAUAUGAUUCUAUGUAAAGGGACCCCUGACCAUUAGGUCCAGUUGUGACCGACUCUGGGGUUGCGGCGCUCAUCUCGCUUUAUUGGCUGAGGGAGCCAGCGUACAGCUUCCGGGUCAUGUGGCCAGCAGGACUAAGCCGCUUCUGGCGAACCAGAGCAGUGGAUGGAAAUGCCAUUUACCUUCCUGCUGGAGUGGUACCUAUUUAUCUACUUGCACUUUGAGGUGCUUUCGAACUGCUAGGUUGGCAGCAGCAGGGACCGAGCAACGGGAGCUCACCCCGUCGCAGGGAUUCGAACCGCUGACCUUCUGAUCAACAAGUCCUAGGCUCUGUGGUUUAACCCACAGCGCCACCCAUGAUUCUAUGAGGAAUGCCUUAAACUAAGGUUACACACACACUGUUACAUUGCCCAGCAUUCUUUGAGGGAAAGGCUGCAGCCCCAAUGAAGCUGAUGUUUCCAGAGCCAGCCUGCUCGUAACACACUUCUCCCCCAAUGCUAAUUCAUUCUGCCCACUUAUCUCACCCCCCAAACAAUCCCCUGACCCCAGGCCGUUAAGCCUUGUUUCCCCUGGAGCCCAGCUCGUUUGUCCAUUUCAAUCUCCUUGUAAUUGUUUUCUCUUCUUUGAUCUUUUGUUCGCUGCUGAUGAGUUUACAAUCGGUUUAGCUCUCCUCUGACACACAGCCUACGUGCCUUUGGAGAAGGGACUGAUUUAAUGUCUUCUGUGACUCCGUGGACCCGUCCCGCGCCGAACGCAGAGAGGUGCCUUGUUGCAAAGUCAGACUGUUGGCGCGUUCAGCUCAAGGUUGGCAGUGGUUCAUGAGGGUUUCAUACAGGGGGCAUCCCCAGCUCUACCUGGAGAUGCCAGGAGGUGGAACCUGGGACCUUCUCCAUGCAAAGGAUGUGCCGAGCCCAGGAGAAGGAGGUUAAUUGGGAGAAGGGAGCAGAGAAUGGUGGUUGUGAACUGGGUGCCUUUAAUCCAGAAAGUGAUUGUGGGUUAUAGUUAAGAGCAUAGGAAGCUGCCUUCUGCUGAGUUAAGCCCUCAGUCAGUAGAGCAUGAGACUCUUAAACUCAGGCCAGGUUUUGGGUUCGAGCCCCACAUUGGGCAAAACAUUCCUGCAUUGCAGGGGCUUGGAAUAGAUGGCCCUUGGGAUCCCUUCCAACUUUGAUUCCAUGAGUCUUUUCCAGCUGUACCUGGAGAUGCCAGAGAUUGUGGCCUUCUGCCUGCAAAAGAUGUGCCAAGCCCUGGAGACGGAGGUUAAUUGGGAGAAGGGAGCAGAGGAAGGCAGACGUCACCCAGGGUGGGAAUGCUACAAUUUGCAGCCAACUCCUGCUGGGUUGACGCUUGCAAUCUGCACAAGCAGAUAUAUGUAUAUUGUUAAAUAUACAUAUAUAUAUUUUAAAAUAAGGGCAGCCUUGGAGAUUCAGGCCCUCCACCUGCCCCCCGGGCACCUGGAGGAGGCUGGGAAAACCUGAGGACUUCAGGUCAGAGCUGGAGGUUUGGCAAUCCUAACUGCUCCAUGACCCCCAGAGCAGUAUUAACACACACACACACACACACACACACACACCAAGGCUGGCUGUCCAACGUGGUCACUGAGGUUCACCCAGAGGUCAGGCCUGUCCCCAUCGGAGCAGCCAAGGACAUCACCAGCUUCAAAUUACUGCUGCGAUCUCGGGUCCUUGUCUGAUCGGAAUGUGUCGCCAUGCACAAAUUCUGGUUCUCACCCUCCCUCUCCGCAAAGAGGGAGAUAAUAAAAACAAAUGAGAGUCUAUCAGAAAUUUAGCAAAGUCCAUUAGGGACGGCACUUGGCGAGCGUUCGCUUAUCUCCCAGGGAAGCAGCCGCAGCCGACUGGAAAUGAGUUUUCUCCCGAGAUGGAGGAAGAUUCCCCGCCUCCUCUCCCUGACGCUUUCGGUUACAAAGAAAGCUGACUAGUCCGUUCCCGAAUACAUUUGGCCUUGCAAGCGUGCAAGAUUUCUCUCCCCCCCCCUAAAAAUAUUAUAUAGCAUUACAUUCAUUUUUCUUCCUUUUCGUAGACCUUUCUCUUGUGGUUAUUUGUUCUUUAAGACGACAUGCGGUUCGUUGUUUGUUCAUUACAGAGGCGAUGGUGUUCAUUUCGGCAAAAUUUUGGUCUGUGUUUAUCUUUCUUUGACAUUAUUAGGACAUUUUUGGGGUGGGUGGGAGGCCCAGGCUAAAUCCCGGAAAGAGUUGCUGCCAGCCCGUGUAGGACAGUGAUGAGGUAGGUGGAGCAAUGGUCUGGCUCGGAGUAGGGCAACUACCUAUGUUCGUGAUGUAACACAAGUGGCGCUCCUGGUCUUUGUAGGGAAAGGAAAUUUCACCCCACCCAUGGGUGACUGCCAUGCCCCUAUACUAAAUGCAGUGGGACAACAGAGCACCCAGGGCAUUCUGGGAAAGGAAAAUGGCAGCCUCCAGGAGCUUUUGGAAAAGCUAAGCCCCUGUUAACAGUGGAACGAGGAACGGAUUGUUAUGGGCGAGAGUGACGUAAAAACAUGCCCAUUUGCUAACAGGAGACCAAGGUUCGGUUGUGGAGCAGAUCACAGAAUCGUAGAGUUGGAGGGGGUCCCCUCAAAGGUCCUCUAGUCCAACCCUUUGCAAUGCAGGGAUCACAACACCCAGCCUUCCUGUCUGAAACCAUACCAGACCCUGCUUAGCUUUGGCAAAUGUGCAGCUAGGGGUUUUAUUACUGCACUACACUGCAAUGAGAUGAUUUGUGGUUCUUUUUGUUGACUAUGGUAUUGCCGUUGCCCUACAUGCGUGGCCCUUGAAAAAGAACCAGUCUCUGCCCCAAGGGGCUUACAGUCUAAAACAGGCCCAAGGAAACAGCACAGGAAGGGGGAGGAAUGGAGGUCGGGAAAGGGUGUGCUUUGGCUUAAUUACAGGGGACGCUCGGGUUGCAAAUGGGAUCCGUGUGGGAUGCACGUUCACAACCUGAGUUGCGAUCCGGCGCUUCUGCACAUGUGCAAAGCGCAGUUUAGUGCUUUUGUGCAUGCACGAGCGCCAAAACCUGGAAGCAACCCAUUCCGGUACUUCCGGGUUUCGGCGGUCCGUAACCCGAAAAAACACAACCUGAAGCGUCUGUAACCCGAGGUAUGACUGUAUAUUUAAUUGUCAAUUACAUUUACAUCCCACCUGUUAAGUAGCCCCCCCUGUUAAGUUGUGGGUGAACAUAUCAGACGACACAGCAAUUCUUCAAACAGCUCUUGUUUAUUCACAGGCCAGAACAGAACUGAACUGAAGGGCUCAGUCAGCCUGUUUAUAUAGAGCUCCAGUACAACGUUACUGUAGCAACUUUCUAAAACUAUCCAAUCACUGAACGUCACUUUCAAUCCUUUAUUUGCAUAACUAUCUACAGUAUCCCCCUGCUGGCCCAGGGUGAAAACUUCAGUACAUAACACCCCCCAUUUUACCCCCCCCCCCAUUUUACCCUUACAACAACCCAGUGAGGGAGAGUUAGGCUGAGAAGGAGUGACUGGCCCCCCAAGGUCAUCCAGCGAGCUUUGUGGCCAUGGGGGAUUUGAACCCGGGUCUCCCAGUUCCUAGUCCAACAUGCUAACCCUUACACCGCAUGGGCCCUCCCCCGGCUGCCCCUCCCCUCAAAUUUCCCCCUUGCAAAUGGAGCAAUGGAUUUAGAAGGGCUGUUUCUCAUUGCAAAUGCUCACAUUCAUAUUCAUAGUCAAGCAUUUGCCUAAAAAAACGGGGACAGCUGCUUACCAGUAAAGUGGGACAACACUCUGGUAAACAGGGACCACUGAAGCGUAUGAGCUGUUGUCUUUGUACCUGCCUAGAGGAUAACAUUUUAUUUUUUUAGGUGGGGGGAGCAAAUUGCCAUUUUGAGGAGCUUGCCUGUGAAUCUGGAGAACCCAUUCAAAGCAGAAUUAUAGGACAAGGAUCCCCUAUAACUGCUGGGUCCCUGGUUCUCCCCUUAAUGUCUAAAAUACAUGCAUCGCCUGGGAUAGUUCAGUCAGUAGAGCAUGAGACUCUCAAUCUCAGGGUUGCAAAAGAUUCCUGCAUUGCAGAUUGGAUGGUCCCUUCCAGUUCUGUAAUUCUAUGAUUAUGUGUGGGGUUUCAUCAAUGGAAAGGCUGGAUGGCCAUCUGCCAUGGAUGCUUUAGUUGAGUUUCCGUCAGCUGAGAUUCUUGCAUUGCAGGGGGUUGGGCUAGAUGACCCCGAGGUCUCUUCCAACACGAUUCUUGUAGGAAUGUUAGGGAUAGCAGGAAAGGAUAUACUGAAUAAGAAUUAUCCUUCCUUCACUCACGCUAGUGGGUGAUGUAGCAGAUCACAUUCCCCUCAAUAUAGCUGGAAGCCAGUUUGCAGAUUCGUUUGAAUCUCUUUAGUUAAGUACUCCAAUGUGGCUUGCCCAGAUGGACUAUUCCUGGUGUCCCCUUUUAUACCUCUUGAAAGUAUAAAGACACAAGAGCCUUUCCUUAAAAAUAACAAGAAGUUUACUCACAUUUCAGUUCACGAUUAGAUCCCCGAAAGGCAGGCUUUGCUUGGGAAUUACAUAACAAACCGUGAGCUCAUCUCAUAUGGAGCUUGAGCUCAUGUGUUGCUGGCUGAGAGCCAGCAGACAGCAAAAUUUACAUUAAUAAAAUGGCUGCAGGAGAGCAGCAUAGCAGCAAGAGAGAGAAACUGGCUGCGUGACUCGGCUGUUUUAUGGAGUCAGCCAGGGCUGUGCCCAUCUCUGUGGUCACAUGUAAUAGGAAGUCAUACUAGCUGGAGUAACAUCUACCUGCCUGAGCCCAUCUAGGGAAACAAGGAUUGUUGUAUUUGACUGCUCCAAUGGAUUACACCCCACAGUGCAGUUUGAAAGCAUGUCAAAGUGCAAUUAGAUAAAUAGGUACUGCUCCGGCAGGAAGGUAAACAGCAUUUCUGUGCGCUGCUCAGGUUCGCCAGAAGCGGUUUAGUCACGCUGGCCACAUGACCCGGAAGCUGUACGCCGGCUCCCUCGGCCAAUAAAGCGAGAUGAGCGCCACAACCCCAGAGUCAUCCGCGACUGGACCUAAUGGUCAGGGGUCCCUUUACCCUUUACCUUUAAAGAAACAAGUCAAGCCAGCUUCCUCUGGAGCUUGGCUCUUACAGAGAUCCCAUCAAAGAGCAAAGACAGGUGAGGACAGUGUCAUUACCUGGACAAAAGGCGAGACAUUCAGUGUCAGAGAAGAAGUUCCUUCCCAAGCUGGGUGCUAGUUAGAAAUAAGACAACAGCAGAGCCUGGAGGGGGAAGUUGCCAAGGGUUACAGGGGGCGUGAUGUCACCACAGGGAGAGAAAAAAGAUGCCCUUUCUACACGAGGCUCGAGUUGUGCUUUGGAGCAAGGGUUUUGGGGAAGAAGAAGGGAGAGCCAGAGCUCCUUGUGAGAGGCUGCACUGAGAGACCAGGGAGCAUGGCUGGCUUUGGUGGACACAAGUUUGCUGAAGCUAUGAGGACAGCACUCUUGGGGUGUGGUGUUCUGUUCUCCAGCUGCAAAAACUCAGGUGGAAAUAAGCCAUAUUUCUUAAAGACACUUCAGUCUCCGCUGUGCCUCCUUCCAAAGGGAGGCACCAAUUAUGCCACUUGGUUAUGCCAAGGCCAAGACCCUCCAAGUGCCCCUUUUCCCCAGGGACAGUCCCGGAAUUUCAUCAGCCAUCUCAGAUUCUGUUUUGAUCCCUGAAAGUCCCGCUUUUCCUUCUUCCUCCACGUCUUAAUAUGACAACGCUUACCGAUGUAAUGUAAGAAGGUUAACAAAUAAAUAAAAUGUGAAUUCAAAAGGAGAGAGAGAGAGAGAGAGAGAGAGAGAGAGAGAGAAACAGGGGCGGAGCUACCUGCCCCAGCACCUGGAGUGGCGUGGGGGCGGGGCCAGCCGCCCCUAUGGUGAGCGUGGGGGGAGGGCGCUGCUAGCCGCCCGCGGCAGCAUAGCCCCUAGUGGCUUGCUGACCAUGCAGCGAGCGUGGGGUGGGGUUUGGGGUGGCGCGGCGAUGUCACCCACCCUCACAGCUGUCACCUGGUGCGCACUGCAUCCCCCACACCCACCUUCCUCCCCCAGUGCUGAGAAGUGCUGGAGGGCAUGCAGGACCCCUGGAUCUCACCAUAGCUGUCAACCUUCCCUUUUUCUUGCGGGAAAUUCCCUUAUUCCAGCGCCGUUUCCCGCUGCUAUCCCGGAUUGUUAGAUAUCCUGUAGACUGUCCCUGGGACAGAUGAGGCUGCUGAUCCCUUAUUUUUGAGGCUGCUGAUCCCUUAUUUUUGAGGCUGCUGAUCCCUUAUUUUCAAAUCUGAAAGUUGACAGCUAUGGAUCUCACUACUGCUCAGCAGAGAUCAGGAGGGGCUGCAUCCAGGGCCUUGCAGAGCCAGGGAGAGGCCCGGGGGGUCAGGUAGAUAAUGGUCCCCCCCUUUUUUACUUUGGGGAUAACUGAAGUAUUAUACAUAAGUAUAUAAAUAAUUUCCACAAAAGUUAUGCUGACAAAUAAUUUUAUUUCAAGGCUUGAAUUACCGUAUUUUUCGCUCUAUGACGCACUUUUUCCUAAAAGGUAAGGGGAAAUGUGUGUGCGUCUUAUGGAGCAAAUGCAGGCUGCGCAGCUAUCCCAGAAGCCAGAACAGCAAGAGGGAUUGCUGCUUUCGCUGCGCAGCGAUCCCUCUUGCUCUUCUGGCUUCUGGGAUUCAGAAUAUUUCUUCUUCUUCUUUGCCUCCUCCAAAAACUAGGUGCGUCUUGUGGUCCGGUGCGUCUUAUAGAGCGAAAAAUAUGGUGACCCAAGGUUUGAAUUGUGAAUGUGCUGACCGAGGCCCCCAUUGGAAUCAGAGGCCCGGGCCAAGUGGCUCUUACGCCCACGCCCCCCUGCUUGGGUCUGCCUGCAACAACAUCCAGCAAUUCAGCCAUGGGGCAGGAAGAGAAGUCAGUAUGACAGGCCAGCGUGUGAGACAAGGACGCUGUUCAGUCCUCAAAGAAGGAUGCUCUUCUGGAAGAGGAGAUGGAGCAGGAAAGGAUGUGGGGAGUGGGAGAUGCUUUUGCCCCCCCCCCUUAAUCUAAGUACUCAAAGCCUGCAAUAUCUCUCACUGGUUUUCCUUUUAAGGGAACUGUCUGCUGACUCAGACCUGGGAGGGGGUGCUAGAGGAGAGAGAGAGAGAGAGAGUGACGGGGGGGGGAUGGAGAGGAAGGAACCCAUCUUCUCCCCACUUUACUGGGUUGUAAAUAAAACAAAUUGAGAGCAGCCUCAGCAGGGACCAUGGCAGGAGUGGCCAUAAAGCUCAGACCGUGCCAGGGUCAUGUCAAGUCCCUGGGAGAGGGAGGGGGAAAAAAUCAUCGUUGCUGAUUGUGUGCAAAAAUGCAAUACUUCCAUAUUGCCGAACUAACAGGGAGGAUAAGAGGAGAUAUGGUACAAAAAGUGGAUAAGGAGUGGGCUAUCUUUAAGGAAUAUCAUGGACACUGGUCCCAUCACCUCCUGGCAAAUAGAAGGGGAAGAAAUGGAAGCAGUGAGAGAUAUUACUUUCUUGGGCUCCAUGAUCACUGCAGAUGGUGACAGCAGCCACAAAAUUAAAAGACGCCUGCUUCUUGGGAGAAAAGCAAUGACAAACCUAGACAGCAUCUUAAAAAGCAGAGACAUCACCUUGCCAACAAAGGUCUGUAUAGUUAAAGCUAUGGUUUUUCCAGUAGUGAUGUAUGGAAGUGAGAGCUGGACCGUAAAGAAGGCUGAUCGCCAAAUGGAUGCUUUUGAAUUCUGGUGCUGGAGGAGACUCUUGAGAGUCCCAUGGACUGCAAGAAGAUCAAACCUCUCCAUUCUGAAGGAAAUCAGCCCUGAGUGCUCACUGGAAGCUCAGAUCCUGAAGCUGAGGCUCCAAGACUUUGGCCACCUCAUGAGAAGAGAAGACUCCCUGGAAAAGACCCUGAUGCUGGGAAAGAUGGAGGGCACAAGGAGAAGGGGACGGCAGAGGACGAGAUGGUGGGACAGUGUUCUCGAAGCUACCAGCAUGAGUCUGACUAAACUGCGGGAGGCAGUGGAAGACAGGAGUGCCUGGCGUGCUCUGGUCCAUGGGGGCACGAAGAGUCGGGCACGACUAAACAACUAAACAACAACAACCAACAACAUAUUUAAGGAAUACAUCAAAAUCUAUGUGGAAAAAAUAGAUUUUCUGACAGAUACUGAGUGAAUCCAGAACAUGAUUAGAGUGAAAGAAGAGUAAAGAUAAAAGAAGAGAUUAAAGAAAUAAUGAAAUGUGUUUAAGCUAGUUGGGAAAAAUAAAGUAGCGUAACAAGAACGGCUGGAAGUCAAGUCACUUGGUGGGUGUCCGUGUGGGGUAGGUGUGUAGGUAUGUUGAUAUGUAUGGUAUAGGUAGGUAUGUUUUAUGUGAGAAAAAUUAGGUAGUGUGUUGUGUACGUGUAUUGUGUAAAUGUAUAUGCAUGUGUUUUAUAUGUUAAUAAAAUAUUUUUUUAAAAAAAUACUGUGGUACCUCUGGAUAUGCACACCUCUGGUUGCAUAUCCUUCAGGAUGCUAAUAUGGCAAACCCAGAAGUAUUUUCUUGCGCUAUGCUGUACGCACAUGUACAGAAGCACUCUACGUGCGUGCCGUGCACAUGUGCAGAAGCUCUCUACUGUGCCGCGUGCAUGCACAGAAACAGUCCCUCCGGUUGCGGAAACCUUGUGAUCCGACCGGAGUUCCGGAACAGAUCCCGUCCGCAACCGGAGGUACCACUGUAAUAAUAGCAUGAAAUUUCUUUUGAGAAGUGGUCCCAGGUCUAGGCUUUUGGAAGACAAGAGCGGGGGAUCAAUAAGGACAUCAGGCGGCCCUGCCAGAUGAGGCCAAUGAGAUAUUUAAAUAAGGUUAUCCUGUCUUCACUUCUGCAGGCUGAAUCAAUCCCUCUUCCCAGAUAACUCUGGGAACUGUAGCUUUGUGAUGGGAACAGACGGUCUCCUAGCAACUCUCAGCACCCUUAACAAACUACAGCUUUCAAAUACAACCAUAGCACUUCCAUCGCAUGGCGUGAGUGUGCUCUUAGUUUCUCAUUUCCCAGUCUUCUGUUCUCUGCAUUUCUGCAUCAGUGUGCGAUAUGCUUAUAUAUAUAUAUAUUAGAAACCAUCAGCACUUCAUUGCAAAUUUAACACACACAUUUGUGUAGGCCACAUUUUGCCUCGUACGGCCGUUUUUGCAAGCAGCGUUCCAUAAAAAGAGUUGUUUUAAUCUAUGCACCUUCAUGCACCCUUUCCUCUAUCGCACACACCUUGUUAGGUUGGAGAAUUCCACUGCCAAACGCAGAGAAGUGCAAAUUUCGACGGAUCAACCUGUUCCAUUUUGCAGAUAGUUUUGGAAAAAUGUGAACGAGACGCUCCAAGAGUCCCUAUUUUCCAGGGAUGUCCCUGAUUUUGAGAAGCCGUCUCGGUUUCUGAUUUGAUCCUGCUUUCCCUGAGGAAAUCCCUAUUUUCAUUGGAGAAAUGCUGGAGGGGGUGGAGUUAUCCAAUCCCCGAGCCGUCUGAAGGCAAUCCUGUAUAAGGAAGGAUUUUUUAAAAAAAUGUUUAAUGUUUUAUUAGCGCAGGCUGGGCUAAAAUCCAUCCACCCAAACAUUAUGUGACAAGCUGCAGUCAUCAGCUGGGAUGUCCUUGGACUCCAACUCCCAUCGGCCCCAGCCAGCAUGGGCAACACUCAGGCAUGAUGGGAGUCGUAGUCCGUCUGAGAGGGCCAAGGGCUCCCAGUCCCUGAAGUUGGGCAAGCUUUGUAAAUCUGAAUCCAUUAUGCAGAAUUAAUUCACCGCAGCACGCCUGACCAUCAUUCAUGGCACCCCAGGGGAUCGAACCUGGGGCCAUAUGGGGGUCAUAGCUGUCAACGUUUCCCUUUUUAAAAGGGAAAUUCCCUUAUUCCGAAUAGGAUUCCUCGAAAGGAAAGGGAAAAGUUGGCACCUAUGAUGGGGAUGGAACCUGCAACCUUGGCGUUAUCAGCACAUUGCUCCAACUGACUGCGCUAGAUAGAUUGAUCAAGGCCUAUUCAAUGAGCAAGCUGAAUACCUUUACUCAAAAGUAAGGUAAAAGUAAAGGGACACCUGACCAUUAGGUCCAGGCAUGGCCAACUCUGGGGUUGCGGUGCUCAUCUCGCUUUAUUGGCCGAGGGAGCCGGCGUACAGCUUCCGGGUCAUGUGGCCAGCAUGACUAAGCCGCUUCUGGCGAACCAGAGCAGCGCACGGAAACGCUGUUUACCUUCCCGCCGGAGCGGGACCUAUUUAUCUACUUGCACUUUGAUGUGCUUUCGAACUGCUAGGUUGGCAGGAGCAGGGACCGAGCAACGGGAGCUCACACCGUCGCGGGGAUUCGAACCGCCAACCUUCUGAUCGGCAAGUCCUAGGCUCAGUGGUUUAACCCACAGUGCCACCCGCGUCCCUUUACUCAAAAGUAAGUGCUGUCAAAAUCAGUGGUGCCUGUUUCCAAGUGGAGAGACUUCAUAGCGGUUGCAGUGCUGCCUCUGCCUCUGGCCUCUCUCUCUCCUCCAUUGGCCACCCUCCAGAAAUUGGAUUUCCAAUUAAUAACUGAGACUUCAUCUGGCUCUUCUCUGGGAUGAGACUCCGCUGAAGGUCAAAAGGCCCUUGGACAUGCCAAGGGAGAUUUACACUUGGACAAAAUCCACAGAAGUUAUCAAAGGGACAAAAUGGGCCUGAUAGAGCCUGUGCCUGCGAAGGUCAGUGCAGCUGCUUUGGCGAGAAAGCCUGUUGGUCGUGUCCCAAGUCGAACCCAGAGUGGGGAAUCGAUGGACACAGCUUACUUCAGCCCACGGAUCCCUACUCACAGUACGACUGCCUUCCAAUGUUUGUGGGUGGCAGUGCAGUGGAUUUGCCUCCUUACUUGCAGGGCAUAGGUAAAUUACGUGUGCUGGCCCUGGGGGUAACCCGAGCAACGCGGAUCAGGUCUAGUCCAGAAUCCGAAGGUUCCGCUGGGAGUCAGUCCGACAGGGUCAAGGCAGGAAACCAGGCAAGGACAGGGGCAGGAUCGCAGGCAGGAUAUAGCGUACAGCAAUGUUGUUCCCGCACCCUGGGACAGGGUCCAACAGCCUUUUAUCUUUGUCAGGGUAGCGGCCGGUCCUGAUCCCCCGGCGACUCACCUCCCUGUUUUGCCCAAAAGCGAGCACUCCUCCUGCAACUACUCAGGUCUCUCCUUCUCUCAGACCUCAGUCUCUGCAGCUCGGGAGACGUCGGUGGGUUACUAGACCCAGAGGCCGCCUCAGCCUCUCCUGACCCAACCGGUAGUGGAGCAGCUGUAAGUGAUGGCCCAGCUGAAGGCAACGAGGUCAUCCCCGCAUCUGGAGCCAGGGCAGGCUCAGGCCCCUGACUCAGCCCAGCUGGUGCUUGUUGCAGGGGAACCUGUGCAGACUGGGACUCUUCAGGAUCAGGCCCCAGACUUGGUUCAGAUGAUGCCUGAGACAAAGGAUCCGGUGCAGACUGAGACUCCUCUGGCUCCGAGUCCCAGGCCAUCAGACUACGGAACUGCCUGCCACAGGAGGCAGUGACGGCCACCGACUUGCAUGGGUUUAAAAGAGGGUUGGAGCAUUCUAGCCAAUGAAGGCCUCCACUGUUGGAGCCAGUCGUGUUUCUGAAUACCAAUGGCUGCAAAACACCAUAGGGGAGAGAACAUUAGCCUUUUUCUUUCUCUUUUUCUGCUGCUGCCUCGCACUGUGGACUCACGUUUCGCUUGUGGUCCACUAAGACCCCAAGACCCUUUUCACAUGUACUGCUGGCAAGCCAACUGUCCUAGUCUACUGGCAAUCAGGUGAAGGCUUUUUCAAGAUUCCUCCGGUGCUUUUAAAACGACACACAUUUUACAUAAUAACAAUAAUUUUUUAUUUAUACCCCACCCUUCCCAGUUCAGAAAGCCGGGCUCAGGGCGGCUAACAACAAAUUUAAAACACUUAACUGAUGCAACAAAAAAACAGCAUAAAACACAUAAAACAUGAAUAACAAUAAAUUCAGAAUUCAUGGGGUUUGCUUGUUUUGUUUUUACUGUUAUAGUGCUGGUUGCACUGAUCCUGUUCUCUAAUCUCACUCUCCUCUUUCCCUGUUCAUCUCCAUCCAUCCAUUCAUCUCUAGGAACAGGCCCAGAAAAAAUUCAGUUAAUGUGUGCAGUAGACACAUGGCAAAGCAGGAAGGUAUAGCUCUCCAGAUAUUGUGGACUACUGUUUGCAGUCCCAUCACCUCCUGGCAAAUAGAAGGGGAAGAAAUGGAGGCAGUGAGAUACUUUACUUUCUUGGGCUCCACGAUCACUGCAGAUGGUGAAAGCAGUCACGAAAUUAAAAGACGCCUGCUUCUUGGGAGGAAAGCAAUGACAAACCUAGACAGCAUCUUAAAAAGCAGAGACAUCACCUUGAAGACAAAGGUCCGUAUAGUUAAAGCUAUGGUUUUCCCAGUAGUGAUGUAUGGAAGUGAGAGCUGGACCAUAAAGAAGGCUGAUCGCUGAAGAAUGGAUGCUUUUGAAUUCUGGUGCUGGAGGAGACUCUUGAGAGUCCCAUGGACAUCAAGAAGAUCAAACCUGUCCAUUCUGAAGGAAUUCAACCCUGAGUGCUCACUGGAAGGACAGAUCCUGAAGUUGAGACUCCAAUACUUUGACCACCUCAUGAGAAGAGAAGACUCCCUGGAAAAGACCCUGAUGUUGGGAAAGAUGGAGGGCACAAGGAGAAGGGGACGACGGAGGACGAGAUGGUUGGACAGUGUUCUCGAAGCUACAAACAUGAGUCUGACCAAACUGCGGGAGGCAGUGGAAGACAGGAGUGCCUGGCGUGCUCUGGUCCAUGGGAUCACGAAGAGGCGGACACGACUAAACCACUAAACAACAACAACAUCAACUGUUUGCAGAAGCGCAGAGUUGGAAGGGACCAUUGAGGGUCAUCUAGCUCCAAACCCCCUCCAAUGCAGGAAUCUUUUUGCCCGACAUGACACUUGAACCCAGGACCAUUAGAUCAAGAGUCUCCUACUCUAGCGACCGAACUAUCACGGCAUGUCUCAGCCCUGACCCUUGGCCAUGCCAGAAGCUGAGGCUGCUGGGAUUUGUAGUCCUGCAAGGCCAGAGCCCCCACCCUAUUUCCCUCUUGUGAAGGAAAGAGAUAGAUGGGGCUGAAACCUGAGCAGAACAUCUUCCCCGGGACUCAGCCCAGCCUCAAAUUAAUCCCCCUUGACAUCUUUCUCCAGGGCCAUCCUCUCUUCUUUUCAUCUUCUCUCUCCCCUAGUUAUCAGCGGCGCUUUUGUAAGGCUCCUUAAAGCGUGUUUUGUCGAAGACACCACUGAGAUCAUUCCUGCUUUUGUACUGCUCUCCGCUCUGCUUUCUUCCACGAUGAGGAAUGAUCUGAGGCAGCCUCUCAAGGGGCGGAAAAAUUAGAAAACAGCAGCUCCCAUUAUCGGUGCUAUUGCGCCCGUAAUCCGGGAGUGAUAGCAAUCUCCUCUCUCUCUCACACACACACUCGCAUAUACCAAUACACACACACACAAAUGCGGCUUCUGUUCUUAUCUCUUAAUUGGAUAUAUAUGGAGAGAGAUGCUUUCAGUUGUUAAUAAUUUCAUAAACUACCUUUUGAUGGCGAUCAAAACAGACAGUGUGCACAAUUGCAUUUCGUUCAAAAUCUCUCCUCGAUAAACGAGUGGCUUGGUGGCAUUUGAAAGUGAUUGGGGUUGGGGUUUUUUUUGGGGGGGGGUGAGUCUGCCAUCUGGGAAUUCCUGAAAGGGCUCCUUUGUGAUGAACACGAUUUUAACAGUGAAUCCAUAAGUGACUGUGGGGGCCAAUUCUGGAUCCACACGUCCUUCCACAGUGGGGACAUAGGUUUCCAGGCGGGAGCUGAUCCCGGUGAGGAUUUGCCAAGCUUACUGUUAUGUACUGAGCUGAAUCCUAGAACAAUAGGAUCCAGAAUGCAGCAGUCUGAUUGGUCUGCAGGGGCCACCCAAUCCAGCUCCAGGUGGAAGUGAAUCAGCGACCUGAUUGGCCUGCAGGAGCAGCCAAUCAGGCUCCUGGAUGAAGUGAAUCCGCAACCUGAUUGGCCUGCAGGAGCAGCCCGGAAUUAGCCAAUCACGCGGGGCCCAUUGUGUAAAUAAUGUAUAUAUAGCUCGACGUUUUGGGGGAAGUUUCAUUCAUUGCUACUAUGAGCUGAAUAAAGAGCAUGAAAUUCACACUCGACUCCGAGUAUAUUUCACUUGCCUUCCUCUUAGCACGUUUCUCCCUUCCGUCCUGAGUUCGAGCGUCUUCAAAGCCCAUGACAUCUUUGGUCAAGGCUGUUCUCCAACUGGAGCACUCGCAGGCCAGUGUUUCCCAGUUGUCGGUGUUUAUACUACAUUUUAAAAGAUUUGCCUUGAGAGAGUCUUUAAACCUCCUUUGUCGGCCACCGGCAUUACGCUUUCCAUUUUUAAGUUUGGAAUAGAGUACAGUGGUACCUCAGGUUAAGAACUGAAUUCGUUCUGGAGGUCCGUUCUUAACCUGAAACUGUUCUUAACCAAAAGCACCACUUUAGCUAAUAGGGCCUCCCGCUGCUGCUGCGCCGCUGCUGCACGAUUUCUGUUCUCAUCCUGAAGCAAAGUUCUUAACCUGAGGUACUAUUUCUGGGUUAGCAGAGUCUGUAACCUGAAGCGUAUGUAACCCGAGGUACCACUGUACAGUGGUGCCCCGCAAGAUGAAAAACUUGCUAGACGAAAGAGUUUUCCGUUUUUUGAGUCGUUCCGCAAGACGAAUUUCCCUAUGGGCUUGCUUCGCAAGACGAAACGUCUUGCGAGUUCUUGCGAGUUUGUUUCCUUUUUCUUAAAGCCGCUAAGCCGUUAAUAGCCGCUAAGCCGCUAAGCCAUUAAUAGCCGCUAAGACGCUAAGACGCUAAUAGCCGUGCUUCGCAAGAUGAAAAAUCCGCAAGAAGAAGAGACUCGCGGAACAGAUUAAUUUCGUCUUGCGAGGCACCACUGUAAUUGCUUUGGAAGACGAUAAUCAGGCAUCUGCACAACAUGGCAAGUCCAACAAAGUUGAUGCUGAAGAAUCAUUGCUUCGACACUGGAGAUCUUUGCUUCUUCCAGGACACUGGCAUUAGUUCACCUGUCUUCCCAAGUGACGUGUAAAAUUUUUCGGAGACACUGUUGAUGGAAUCUUUCGAGGAGCUGGAGAUGACGUUUAUAAGUGGUCCAUGUUUCACAAUCGUAUAAUAAGGUUGGUAGUACAAUAGUGGGACGUGGGUGACGCUGUGGGUUAAACCACAGAGCCUAGGACUUGCCGAUCGGAAGGUCGGCAGUUCGAAACUCUGCGACAGGGUGAGCUCCCAUCGCUUGGUCCCUGCUCCUGCCAACCUAGCAGUUCGAAAGCACACCAGCGCAAGUAGAUAAGUAGGUACUGCUCUAGCGGGAAGGUAAAUGGCAUUUCCGUGCGCUGCUCUGGUUCGCCAGAAGCGGCUCAGUCAUGCCGGCCACAUGACCCAGAAGCUGUACGCCGGCUCCCUCGGCCAAUAAAGCGAGAUGAGUGCCGCAACCCCAGAGUCGGCCACAACUGGACCUAACGGUCAGGGGUCCCUUUACCUUUACCUUACAAUAGUUUUGUAAACAAGCAUUUUGGUUUCUCUGUGAAUGUCCUGCUUUGCAUAGAAGGAAUGAUGAGAGGUGUACUAUGUCCAAAUUUCCCCACUUGGCUGCUGAAUUCUACACUAGCUGAAGUUUCCGAAACGUCUUCAGAGACUAGAAGCCACUCAUAGCCUACAUGACUUUGUCCAUUUCCUCUUCAAAAGCUGCCUGAGUUUUUCCACUGUACUGUCAGCAGUGCUUUUUUCAAGAAAAGUCGGUGCCAGAACUUCUCUAUGAAGUUUUUACAGUGAGUCGCUGGGUGACUUGGCGCAGCACCGAACAGAUGCCGGUUUGGACAACAGCCGUGUUCACCGCCUGCAGAGGUGCUAAAAACUAUGGCAAGUUGUCUUCCUAGCUGGCUUAAAGGUCACCCCUGGUUCUGGUCAAAUAAAUGCGCCCUUGCGCAAACGCACAUGUGUGCAAUGAUAGAGGCCCGGUUGGAAUGCCCAAAGCCCACUGCCACUACAUGCGAGACGGACUAGAGAAAAGGAAAUAUGAAUUGGCCUGCCAGGUAGCUCAAUCAACCGUGGCUAGGAGCUGGGUGGAGUCUUAGAUCUGGAAAAAAAAUGUCUAGACUUGCACAUUUUGGACUUCUCGGAAGUACAUAAACACAAGAAGCAGGCGCGGGGAGCGCCAGCCCAGAAUGGUGCUGUAAUGAGUAUGGGUUGCUCGUGCGUAAGUUGCCGCCUCUCCUGGCUAUGUUGCCUUGUUUAAACCUUUCUGUCUGGACAGCCCUUCACUUCGUGGCUGCCUCAGUCGCUAGCAGAAUCCGUCAGUGGGCGUUUCUUAAACCUUUUCCAACAUAAAAGUUGUUUGACGCCAAGUCUCCUCCUACUCUCCCUGCGCGGAAGCCUUCUGCGCAGGGAGGGCGUGGGUAGCGGAGGACCCGUGCUCCCCCGCUGGUGUCCGGUGAAGAGUCCUGGAGCCCUCUCGCCGAUUCCCCCAUCUGCCCCCCUUUAUCCCUGGUGUUGCACUGAUUUGCUUCCCCAUCUGCUGAGCUGCCUCUCUCCCUGCUGGGCCCUUCUCCAGCAUCGCUUGAGAGCCUAGCCUCCGCCUCUAGCUCCGAUGUCAGUUCCCUGACAGGCGCCCACCUGAGAGGUGCCGGAACUGUGCUCCGGCUGAAAAAAAAAGCACUGGUCCUGCCUCAAUCCAGCAUCCCCUUUGCUUCCACACCUCUCUCCUUUAGCAUUGCCAAGUCGAAAUAUCUUCUUCCCUUCCCUCACAGGAGGAGAACUGCAAGCAUUCCGCUAGCUGGGGUUCCCUGAGCAGUUGCAAAUAUUCAUCAACAUUCUGCAGCCACAACCCAGUCUAGCCAACAAGAUCUCAUGGCUUCUCCAUCAUAGGCAUGAUAUAAUUGAGGGCAGAGGAAUAAUAAUAAUAAUAACCGUAAUAAUAAUAAUAAUAAUAAUAACCGUAAUAAUAAUAAUAAUAAUAAUAAUAAUAAUAAUAAAUUUAUUUGUAUCCUGCCCUCGCCAGCCGAAGCCGGGCUCAGAGCGGCUAACAACAAUAAAAUAAUACAGCAUUCUAAAAUCAAUUCAUUAUAAAAUCAGUUCAGUUCAAAUCAAAUUAAUGGCAACCAUUGGGCUAGAGUUCUGUGAGGAUUACCAAAGGAGGGGGGUCAGGCUGUGCCUUGGCCAAAGGCCUGGUGGAACAGCUCUGUCUUGCAGGCCCUGUGGAAAGAUGUCAAGUCCCACAGGGCCCUAGUCUCUUGUGACAGAGCGUUCCACCAGAUCGGGGCCACGGCCGAAAAAGCCCUGGCUCUGGUUGAGGCCUGCCUAACCUCCCUGUGGCCUGGGACCUUCAAGAUGUUUUUGUCUGAAGACCGUAAGGUUCUCUGCGGGGCAUACCAGGAGAGGCGGUCCCAUGGGUACGAGGGCCCUAGGCCAUAUAGGGCUUUAAAGGUCGAAACCAGCACCUUAAACCUGAUCCUGUACUCCACCGGGAGCCAGUGCAGCUGGUAUAGCAUCGGGUGAAUGUGAUCUCGCAGCGAAGACCCCAUAAGGAGUCUCGCUGCAGCAUUCUGCACCCGCUGGAGUUUCUGGGUCAGUCUCAAGGGCAGCCCCACGUAGAGCGAGUUACAAUAAUCCAGUCUGGAGGUGACUGUCGCGUGGAUCGCAGUGGCUAGGUCAGGGCGAGAGAAGGGAAGCCUUUGCAGGACACAGCCUCCCAUGGCGAACCAUGGGGGAGACAAAAGAGGUGUGGUUCCUCCUGGGCAUAGUGGGCCAAAUGGUGUUAAAAAAGGAUAGAACUUUCUUUAUGUAUGCAACAACAGCAGCAAGAAUACUCAUCGCAAAGUAUUGGAAGACACAAGAACUUCCCACGCUGGAGGAAUGGCAGAUGAAACUUAUGGACUAUAUGGAACUGGCUGAAAUGACUGGUAGAAUCCGUGACCAGGGAGAAGAGUCGAUGGAGGAAGACUGGAAGAAAUUCAAAGACUAUCUUCAGAAACACUGCAAAAUUAAGGAAUGUUAGAGUGAUGUUGGACUGAAAACAAGUGGUUUCCAGCUGCACAGGUUAAAGUUAUGGAAAUUUGAUAUUAAAAGGGAAAACUUUAAAGUUAUAUGAUAUUAAGACCAAGGACUAGGGUUAAAAAAAAAUUGAAGUUAUAUAUUUUAACAUUUUACUAAAUUAAAGAUUGGGAUUAAAAAAAAGUGGAAAAGAAACUGCUGAACAAACAAUGUGGACUGGAAUACAAAGGAGGGAGGUUUGAGGAAGUCUAGAAAAUAAGUCAUGUAAAAUUGGAAAUGGAAAAGAGAGUUUGUUUUUAAUUGUUGUGUUUUGUGUUUUUAUUGUUAAGUUUUGUAUUAUUUUUAUGUGAGUUUUUCUGUUUUUUUUGUUUUAUGUUGUUUUAAACUUUAAUAAAAAUUAUUAAAAAAAACAAAAAACAAAAGAGGUGUGGUCAAUGGAUGCAGCUCUUACCUUUGUACAUUCUAGCCAUGCAAACGUUGGAGACAGAGAUGCGUACCUCUCCAUCCUGGCGAGCAAGAAAAUCACAGAAUCGUAGAAUUUUAGAGUUGGAAGGGACCCCAAACACCAUCUAGUCUGACCCCGGCAAUGCAGGAAUCACAGCUAAAGAAUCCCUGACAGGUGGCCACUCGUGCAACAGAUUAGAGUUACCUGCCAGCCAGGUGUAAAUACUCAAAGAGUGCUUUAGAGAGGGGGGUGUUUUGGGGUGGGGUGGGGACAUGAGAAUCUCGAGGGCCACGUAGAGAGACCUGGAGGGCCACAUUCUGCCCAGGCAUGAUGGUUCUCCAUCCCUAAUCUGGAAAACCACCCUGAGCUGCUUGUGUGAGCUCACCCACCCCCCACAAAGUGCUCCUCCCAGCACAAAACUAUUAAAGAAUUGCCGUCUCUUCUCGUGUGUGAGUUCUUGAACUGACGAGUCUAAAGAGGAACAUGGGAGGAAACCCUCUCCAAAAUGUCACGCAUAUUUCCCCCAUAAUAAUUGGGUUCCAUGUCACCAUAAAUUACAUUCAAAAGGUUGUAACCACCAGGGUAGCUAUAAAUACAAGCCGCGCAUAUUGAUCAUGGACUAACUACAAAAUAAUGAAAGGGAGACAUAUUCUCUCUCUUUCUCUCCAAAAGGGACAGAGGAACUAAUCUAAUAAAAGGAAUUCCUUGCCAAAGUCCCAGAUGGGUCCUUAAAGCCUCCGCCAUCAUUUCUGAAGGCUCUUGUGCUGUCAGAAUGAGACCUGGGGAUUGUAUUAGCCAGGCCUUCCCCAAUCACUCCAAAGAGAUGAAGGACAGCGUAUUGAUUUCCAUGUCUGGCAAAAAUUAAAAGCUGCCUCCCCCCUCCCUCUUAGUUAAAACGCUGCUCAAGCAAUUUUUCUAAUGUAAUGUCGGUGGCCCCGUUCCAGAGCUUUUGCAACUAUGCGGAGGGGAGGGUGCCGGGUUUGGGGGGGGGCGGGAAACAAUUUUUGCUUUGACAAGAGUCAUCGGUAGGAGAGAAGAUUUAAUAUGAUUGCCUGGCUUUCACGAUAAUUGAUGACACCAUAAGAAUAGCUCAGAAACCAGCCGCCUCGGCGCUCCUUCUUGGGGAUUUAUUAAAGGUGUAAUCAUUAAAUAUGUAAAUAGUUGAUUUAUAACCAACAACACAAGGCGGUUAAUUGAUUUCGCUCAAGCCCACCCCACCCCCCAACGACGUGUGGAUUUAGGAUGCGGGGAGGUGAUGAGUCUGGGGAAAAGAUGCCUCUUCCUCAGUCCAGAUGGAUUGGAGUUCAAGAUUCCAUGAUUUGUUGAGCUGUAAGAUUCGGUUAUCAUUGAGCUGGGAGGUUACCCAAAGGUCAUCAAGUCCAGCCCUGAAUCACAGCUCAUUAUCAAGGACCUAAGAGAAGUUCUAGGUUUCCAAUAGUAUCCCGCUGGAUUUUUCUGGGAAGGUCAAAGACGGGAGGCAGGAAGCAGCAGUUCUCCCAUACAGUGGUACCUCGGGUUACAUACGCUUCAGGUUACAGACUCCGCUAACCCGGAAAUAGUGCUUUAGGUUAAGAACUUUGCUUCAGGUUACAGACUCCACUAAUCCCGGAAAUAGUGCUUCAGGUUAAGAAUUUUGCUUCAGGAUGAGAACAGAAAUCGUGCUCCGGCAGUGUGGCAGCAGCAGGAGGCCCCAUUAGCUAAAGUGGUGUUUCAGGUUAAGAACAGUUUCAGGUUAAGAACGGACCUCCAGAAUGAAUUAAGUACUUAACCCGAGGUACCACUGUAUUCCUUGUGCCCGACUCCUGCUAUUUGGAGAUAAAGGUAAAGGGACCCCUGGCCAUUAGGUCCAGUCGUGACCGACUCUGGGGUUGCGGCGCUCAUCUCGCUUUAUUGGCCGAGGGAGCUGGCAUACAGCUUCCGGGUCAUGUGGCCAGCAUGACUAAGCCGCUUCUGGCGAACCAGAGCAGCGCACGGAAACGCCGUUUACCUUCCCGCCGGAGCGGUACCUAUUUAUCUACUUGCACUAUGACGUCCUGCCCAACUGCUAGGUUGGCAGGAGCAGGGACUGAGCAACGGGCGCUCACCCUGUCGUGGGGAUUCGAACUGCCAACCUUCUGAUCAGUCCUAGGCUCUGUGGUUUAACCCACAGUGCCACCCGUGUCCCAUUUGGAGGUACACUGCCCCUAACCUUGCAGGUUCUCUUUAUUGCUCAUGGAUGUCAGGAGCUGGAGAAAGUCAGCAAUAAAAAACCCCGUGACACUGAAGUUAACUCUUUAUUCAACUCUUCCCAGUAGGUCUUUCCCCUGUGAUAAACAAAAAUCUGCCCUUAUUCCCUUACAGGGAACACAAGAGCCCUUAUAGAGUCCUUUGUAGGUUCUCCAUCAGUCGGAGAAAAUAACAGAGGCCAACCAGAGAAUAUUGAGAAGCAAAGCAGCUAGUAAGCCUGAUCUUUAUUGAACUGUUGCAACAGGGUGACCCCUUCACACGCAGGAGGAGGAGGAGGACCCAGAACCAAGGUGUGCCCACCCUUAUAUAGACAUUUUAAAUUGCCCACCCUGGAGUUCAAGACCACCCCCAGAAACAUCAUACCUACAUCACAGAAAGGGGUGUAGCUCAAGACCACCCCCAGAUACAUCAUAUGUACAUCACAGAAAAGGUGGUCUACAACAGAAAUCUGAGUGCAUUGUUUACCUCCUGUCUGGCAGACCUGUCACUUGAUUGGAUACCUGGGGAGUUUGGCCAGUCUUUUGUAAUGGCAAAUACUUAGUUCCUGAGCCAGGUCACAAGCUCACCCUAUUCAUACACAGACAUACCCUUAAGACGGGAUUUGUGAAGGAGCAGACAAUGGAGAAGGCUGCGUACAGUUCUGGUUGCCUCGGCUCAAACAGGGUAUUGGAAAAGGUUAGGGCUGUAAAUGGCUACUAGCCACAAUUCUACCUCCCCUGUCGGAGGCAGUAUGCUUCUGAAUACCAGCAGUUGGGGAGAGUUGUGGCUAAAAAUAAAAUCCAGAUCUCCGCCGGGUCCUUUUGCUAUUGCUUUGGAAAGCUGUCAGUGCACCUCCACAACUGACUGCCAGGCCCAUUUUGAAAGCCCCCGCAAGCUGGUGCCUAUCAUGUGCCAAGGAGUUCCACUGGUUAAUUAGACAGGUUGCUUCUCUGGAGUCUGGAUGGAGGGGAAACCGGUCCUUGACAGACUAUUUUAUUCUUUCUCUGACUUUGGCAUUCCCCCGCUUUCUGGACGCCUCCUUUUUGCUAUAUUGUCUGAGGCGGACACUUCAGGAGCUGCGCUAAAUCAAAUAAAUGGGCAGUUCUGAGUGAAAUAUUCUCCCCUUUCGGUGCUUCUGCCUGUGCCCAAAGGGGUCUCUUGGAAACAUUUCAGCCUGGAGAGUAAUAUGAAGAUCCUGUCUCUUGGUUGCAUUAUUGCCCAGCGCCCCUCCAAAGAGUGGCUCGUGUUUGUCCAGGCAGAGAGAGGUUUUGGGUAGAGUUUGUUUGGUCUCCUUUUAAUUAGAACCUAGCCAAUUGGCGGGACGCGGGUGGCGCUGUGGGUUAAACCACAGAGCCUAGGACUUGACAAUCAGAAGGUCGGCGGUUUGAGUCCCCGCGAUGGGGUGAGCUCCCGUUGCUCGGUCCCUGCUCCUGCCAACCUAGCAGUUCGAAAGCACGUCAAAGUGCAAGUAGAUAAAUAGGUACCGCUCUGGCAGGAAGGUAAACGGCAUUUCCAUGCACUGCUCUGGUUCGCCAGAAGCCGCUCAGUCAUGCUGGCCACAUACCCGGAAGCUGCACGCUGGCUCCCUCGGCCAGUAAAGCAAGAUGAGCACCGCAACCCCAGAGUCGGUCACGACUGGACCUAAUGGUCAGGGGUCCCUUUACCUUUACCUAGCCAAUUGGCCCUUUGGAAAAGGACAACCCAAAUAAUCGUGUUUUUAAAAAUAUAUAUAAAUUUUUAUUAGUUUUUUUUAACAUACCAUUUUCAACAGUAAUUAAACAUAUUUUUACAUCUUAUUCAAUAUUUUGACUUCCAUCAGUCCAGUCUGAACAUUUUCCAAUCUAAUCUCUUAGUAUACAUUUCUUAUUUUCCCUGUUACAUUUAAAACUCAUAACCAAUAUCUCUGUUCUUUAUCUACUUUGUAGCACUUCAUAUAUUUCUCCCUACAAAACCUCUUGUAGUUCUACUAGCAUAAUUUGUUGAUUACAGUUGCUCUUCAAAUAGUUUGUAUACUUCUUCCAAUCUUCUGUCAAUCUCUGGUCCCGCAGGUUUCGAAUCUUUCCUGUCGUUUUGUCCAAUUUUGCAUAGUCCAUUAUUUUCGUCUGCCAUUCUUCUUUUUGAACCCAAAUAAUCGUCUUACCCCAUAUCUGCCCUCUCAGCUGCUUUGAUCUGCAGAACUGGCUCUGGUAUCCAUUCCAUAUCUGUAAGAAAUCAAUCAUUUACUGUGGUGGCACUUUUACACUUCGGAACUCCCUGCCAGUUGAUAACAUGCAGGCGUCUUCACGGCACUAUUUCCGGGACCUGCUAAAAACAUUUUUGUUUAGUCAAGCCUAUCCUUUUCUUUUAAAAAGAAAAAAAAAGAAAGUUGAUGGGAGUUUUAGCCUGUUUUUAGGUAAAGGUAAAGGGACCCCUGACCAUUAGGUCGAGUCGUGACCGACUCUGGGGUUGCGGCGCUCAUCUCACUUUACUGGCCGAGGGAGCCGGCAUACAGCUUCUGGGUCAUGUGGCCAGCAUGACUAAGCCGCUUCUGGCGAACCAGAGCAGCGCAGGGAAACGCCGUUUACCUUCCCACCAGAGCGGUACCUAUUUAUCUACUUGCACUUUGACUUGCUUUUGAACUGCUAGGUUGGCAGGAGCAGGGACUGAGCAACAGGAGCUCACCCCGUCGCGGGGAUUCAGACCGCCGACCUUCUGAUCAGCAAAUCCUAGGCUCUGUGGUUUAACCCACAGCGCCACCUGCGUCCCUUAGCCUGUUUUUAGUCUGUUGUUAUUUUAACCCUUUGAAUGUUUUAAAUUAUUGUUGUUAAUUCUAUGGGAUAUUUACAAUGCCGUCAUCAGGGUGAAAUAUCACUUUGUGAUCCAAGACUGAUUUGAGGAGUUGGCUUAUUGCCGCAACAAAGAGAUGUGUGCAGAGAUAGUGCCAAAACCUCUACCAAGAGAACUUCUGGGUGCUUUAAUGAAAGUGUAUUUGAAUGAAAUUUAUAGAGUAAAAAACAAAGAAGAAAUGGGUAUAAGAGGAGAUAGUUAAAAAUAAUAUUGAUAACACAGCAAAAAAGAAGAAAAGAAAUAAAGGAAGUCACACAUGGGUGGAAGGAAGUCAAGAUUUAUGUCUUCAUGUUUUGUUUCUUUUGUGUUUUAAGUUGAUAUUUGUUGGUUAUUGUAUGUUUAAUUGUAUUCUUUUUUUAGGUAUUAAGUAGCUGUAUGUAUAAUAGGUUUGUUUUGUGUUUCGUUUUGUGUUUGUGAAUGUUGUAUUUACCAAUUUUAAAAAAGGGGAAAAAAGGAAAAAAGAAAGUGUAUUUGAAUGUAAGUAGUUUUGCCUGAGAAGGGACUGCGAGAUAUUUACAAUGCAGUCAAACCAGCAAUGCAUGUUUGCUUGAUAGGCACAUGAUAUGAACUGAAGCUCACAGAGUUUUCCUGUAAGUUUGCUAGAGAGAACUUUGAGUGCUACUUCCACUGUGCCCUGACAUGGGACUCUGCUAUACAGCUGCAAAUAUAAUGUUUUCAGUGCAUUUUGAGCGCAGUAUACGAAUGUGACACUAGAUGGCGAUGGUGUGCUUAUGGCAAAUUCAAUAUAUUUUUCAGAAUGCUUAAAAAAACCACACCAUUUUCACAGCGGUUUUUUUAUAUGUGUCUAGAUUCCACCAUAGAGACGCAGGUGGCGCUGUGGGUUAAACCACAGACCCUAGGACUUGCCGAUCAGAAGGUCGGUGGUUCGAAUCCCCGCGACGGGGUGAGCUCCCGUUGCUCUGUCCCAGCUCCUGCCCACCUAGCAGUUCAAAAGCAGAUCAAAGUGCAAGUAGAUAAAUAGGUACCACUCCGGCGGGAAGGUAAACGGCGUUUCCAUGCGCUGCUCUGGUUUGCCAGAAGCGGCUUAGUCCUGCUGGCCACAUGACCCGGAAGCUGUACACCGGCUCCUCCGUGAGCAAGUGAAGACAGUGAUGGUUAAACCACAGAGCCUAGGACUUGCCGAUCAGAAGGUCGGCAGUUCGAAUCCCCGCGACCGGGUGAGCUCCCUUUGCUUGGUCCCUGCUCCUGCCAACCUAGCGGGUUGAAAGCACGUCAAAGUGCAAGUAGAUAAAUAGGUACCACUCCGGCGGGAAGGUAAACGGCGUUUCCAUGCGCUGCUCUGGUUUGCCAGAAGCGGCUUAGUCCUGCUGGCCACAUGACCCGGAAGCUGUACGCCGGCUCCCUCGGCCAAUAUAGCGAGAUGAGCGCCGCAACCCCGGAGUCGGCCACGACUGGACCUAGUGGUCAGGGGUCCCUUUACCUUUACCUAGAUUCCACCAUGGGGAGGGCAUAACCAAAUAUUAUCUCCUCACCUCCUCUUUCCUGUUUGCCCUCAUUCAGCAAUACAGAUCACCUGCUAAGUCUGAGCUCCAGACUUAAGCAUGUCUUUUUCACUGAAUUAGCAUUUUUAAGCCUGCUCCGGAACAAAUCUGCUGUAUUUGUUACUUUCACCAGUGUGUAAAUGUGAUUUUUGCCUUUUACAAGACUGUUUGUGUGUUUAUCUUGUUAUAAGGGGGAGAAAAGGGGGCGACACCAGGAGAAUCCAGCCUUAAAGCAUCCUGGAUUACUUAAACCAAAAGGCUAAAAUCAGCCUAAACUUCCUUUUUAAGCUGCAAAGGGGUGGCACUCUGCUGAACACACAAAUGUGAAGGAGGGAGGAUAAUAUCAAAUAAAUAUAUCCCCUCCUAGCUUCUGUACACAUCCUAAUGAAUUCUUCUCACAGAUUCUGACUUCUAGAGCUAUGGCUACAAGAAAUUUUUUUACUCCAGACAUGUGCUAAGCACUGUGCAAUGAAUUGAAAAGGAUGUUCAAAAUAACUUUUGUAAAACAACAACAACCAGAAGCUUUUCUUUUGGGAAUUACAAGGACAGAACUAACUAAAUUGUAUGGAAAUUUAUUCAUGUUGGCAAGGUGAUGUCUCUACUUUUUUAGACAGCAUCUUAAAAAGUAGAGACAUCACCUUGCCAACAAAGGUCCGUAUAGUAAAAGCUAUGGUUUUCCCAGUAGUCAUGUAUGGAAGUGAGAGCAGGACCAUAAAGAAGGCUGAUCACCAAAGAAUGGAUGCUUUUGAAUUCUGGUGCUGGAGGAGACUCUUGAGAGUCCCAUGGACUGCAAGAAGAUCAAACCUCUCCAUUCUGAAGGAAAUCAGCCCUGAGUGCUCACUGGAAGGACAGAUCCUGAAGCUGAGGCUCCAAGACUUUGGCCACCUCAUGAGAAGAGAAGACUCCCUGGAAAAGACCCUGAUGUUGGGAAAGAUGGAGGGCACAAGGAGAAGGGGACGACAGAGGACGAGAUGGUGGGACAGUGUUCUCGAAGCUACCAGCAUGAGUUUGACCAAACUGCGGGAGGCAGUGGAAGACAGAAUUGCCACCGAGGCAGUGGAAGACAGAAUUGCCUGACGUGCUCUGGUCCAGGGGGUCACGAAGAGUCGGACACGACUAAGCGACUAAACAACAACAUGCUACUACAGCGGCAAGAAUGCAACUUGCCCCAAAUUGGAAAGAAGAAGAAGUUCCAGCAAAGGAAGAAUGGAUACAAAAACUUAUGGAUGAUGCAGAAAUGACAAAACUUCCCGGAAGAAUAAGAAAUCAUGAUAACAAACUUUUUAUAAAAGAAUGGAAAUGGUUUCUUGAAUAUUAACAGAUAAAUUGCAAACAGGUAAAAACAUUGGCAGGAUUAUUGUAAUAACCUGCAGUUUAACGAGAGUAUAUAUUUAAAGUGGAUAAUUAAAUGAGCGAAUUAAAUGAAUUUGGAUAUACAGAAGAUAUUAAAAAGUAAAUUUAAGGAACUGCAGGAAGUCAAACUUCGAAAUAUUAAAUUGAUUGUAAAACUGCUUUGUAAAAAGUAUGAUGGGCGUUGUAGUUCAACAGCAACUGGAGGGCCAGAGUUCCUGGGCUGUUCGGCUGCAAAUCUGUACAGACUCACGCAAGAAAAAGCUCGCUUGAACUUGAUGGGACUUGCUCUCGAGUAAGCUAGCACGGAGUAGCACCAUAAGGGAACAAGCAUGAAUAUUUUUAAUCGGAUUAUAGGCAAGAACGGAGAGAGCCACUAAAUGAUGAGGAAGAUACUAGAAGAGCCUUAUUUCAAUCAGCAUGGCAUCUUUACAUUUAUUUCUGGCUCUUGGGAAAUCACUUGACCAUAGCCACAGAGGCUGUCAAUCAAUCUGUUCCAUUUUGACACCAAUUCAAAUAAACGGUGGCAUUUUCUUAAUGCAGGAGUUCUCGAAGAGUGUUGCGAUCUUGGGACUUGCAGAGGGAUGGACUUGAUGAACCUCGGGGUCCCUUCCUGACUGUACAAUUCUGUUCUUGACAUAAAUCUGUAAAUUGUUGUUGUUUAGUCAUUUAGUCGUGUCCGACUCUUCGUGACCCCCUGGACCAGAGCACGCCAGGCACUCCUGUCUUCCACUGCCUCCCACGGUUUGGUCAGACUCAUGUUUGUAGCUUCGAGAACACCGUCCAACCAUCUCGUCCUCUGUCGUCCCCUUCUCCUUGUGCCCUCCAUCUUUCCCAACAUCAGGGUCUUUUCCAGGGAGUCUUCUCUUCUCAUGAGGUGGCCAAAGGAUUGGAGCCUCAGCUGUCCUUCCAGUGAGCACUCAGGGCUGAUUUCCUUCAGAAUGGAUAGGUUUGAUCUUCUUGCAGUCCAUGGGACUCUCAAGAGUCUCCUCCAGCACCAUAAUUCAAAAGCAUCAAUUCUUUGGCGAUCAGCCUUCUUUAUGGUCCAGCUCUCACAUCCAUAUAUCACUACUGGGAAAACCAUGGCUUUAACUAUACGGACCUUAAAUCUGUAAAUAAAACCCGUUAAGUCUACCAGGUUGGCUCAGUGCAAGAUUGCACUGCUUUGCUCUGAAAGCUGGCUUCACGCCUCCUAAUGCAAACGUCUAAUUUGCUGUGUUUACAAAUGCUAACUUGACGAUAUGCCCUAGAUGGAUUGGGUUGCAGUCUGAACCUAGAACCACCCCUCCCAUAAAGGAUGGAAGAAUAUUUAAAGACAUUUCUAGACAUCCUGUCUAAAAAAAUAAAUAAAUUCCAUUUUCUCAAGCAAACUUAAUCAGUGUAUCGGGGGUUUUGCUUGGUUUUAGGAAAAUGAAACAGGUGUUCGUUUCUGGGAAGGCGAGAGACUUUCGCGAUGCCCAGUGGAGUCUUCUCAAGCGACACACAUGCAGUUUGAAACUUUUCGCUUCCUCCUGCAAGGCUGUCUGGGUAGCAGCUGUUUGAUCGCACUCAGUUUUGUAAGUGUGCGGUCUCCAUGGAGACAAGCGAAUCUGUCUCCAGUUUCCAGUUACUGUCACACAGCUCAAAUGAGUCUGCUUUGGUCCCUGCAGUAAUGACACAAUGCCCAUUCCCCGGGCAGACUGGCAUCGCUCUUCUUCGUCAGUGCUGCCAGUCUGAUCUCUUGGAAGGGCCUGUCUUGAGGCCAGAAUCCAGACGCUCUUCAAGCUACAAGAAAGGAGAUUCCAACUCAAUGCCAAGAAGAACUUUCUGGCAGCAAGAGCUGUUUGACAGGGGAACGGACUCCUACGAGAGGCAGUGAACUCUCCUUCCUUGGAAGUCUUUUUUUGGAAAUAAUUUGUAUUUGGUUUUGCAAGUGUAGAGUUAUAACAAUGCAAAAUGAAUAUCCAUAUUUAGAGAUUUCUCCGAAUCUCUAAGACUUCACACCUUCCCCUCCAUGGGUCCUAUUAUAAACUUUUUCAACUGCAUAUUAUUUCAUCAUCCAAAUUUUACGUCUCUCCGUUUUAUCUGUAGUAUCUUCUACGUUACAAGUGUUAUUGCAAUCCUCCUGAUGUUUUCAUCUUCUUACAGUGGUCUCUCAAGUAAGUUAUAAUUUUUUCCCAUUCUUUACAGUCAUACCUCGGGAUGAAUACGCUUCAGGUUAAGCAUUUUUGGGUUGUGUUCCGCGGCGACACUGAAGUAACGGAAUGCGUUACUUCCGGGUUUCGCCACUCACGCAUGCGCAGAUGCUCAAAAUGACGUCACGCGCAUGUGCGGAAGCGGCGAAACGCGACCCGCACACUCACAUACAUGCAGUCACAUGUUACGUUCACUUCAGGAUGCGAACAGGGCUCUGAAAUGGAUACCAUUUGCAUCCAGAGGUACCACUGUAUUAAAGCUUUGGUCUUCUUGGUUCCUGAGUUUUCCAGUCAGUUUUGCCAUUUCGGUUUAGUCCAACAGCUUAGUUUGCCAUUCUUCUCUUGUAGGGACUUUGUCUUCUUUCCAUCUCUGGGCUAGGAACAUCCGUCUGGGUGUCGCUGCGUACAUAAAAAGUCUUUUCUGCUCCUUUGGGAUCUUGGUAACUUCAAUUACUAAUAAAGAAGCUUGUGGUUUUUUUAACAAAAGUUAUUUUAAACAUAUUUUUUUCAAUUCAUUAUAUAUCAUUUCCCAGAAUGCUUUUGUUACCUUACACGUCCACCACAUAUGAUAAAAGGUGCCUUCUUUGGAAGUUUUAAAGCAGAGGUUGGGCGGCCCUAUGUCAGGGCUGCUUCAGCUGAGAUUCCUGCAUUGCAGGGGGUUGGUCUAGAUGACCCUUGGGAUCCCUUCCAACUCUGCAAUUCCGUGGUUCUAACCCUUUGCCGAGGCCUGCACCUUUUCUCACUGCUCACUGGGGUCACGAAGAGGCAGACAUAACUAAUCGACUAAACAACAACAAGUUGCUUUGGGAGACGAUAAUCAGGCAUAGCCCAGUUCUGUGGUGUGAGGCAUCUGGGCUUUAGCAGUAAAGUGGUACGUCGGGUUAAGAACUUAAUGCGUUCUGGAGGUCCGUUCUUAACCUGAAACUGUUCUUAACCUGAAACGUCACUUUAGCUAAUGGGGCCUCCCGCUGCCACCAGAGCACGAUUUCUGUCCUCAUCCUGAAGCGAAGUUCUUCACCUGAGGUACCAUUUCUGUAGAAGCCAAGCCCUGACUCCAUGGCUCACCUGAAUCAAGGGUGAAUCAAGGCUGCCAAGUUGGGAGAGACCCCUUCUUUCGGCAUUGAACGGCCACAUUGAACGGUGGCUGUGCUACUGCUUCUCAGUCCAGCUCAGCUCCAGACCCCCCCCCUCGUGCCACCUUCUAGAACCCACCGCUCUCAACCGACUCUCACCUGCCCCCCCUUCAAACUCCCUUUCCAAGCCUCCUUCCAUCUUCCGUCUCCACCAGAAUUCCACUCUCUCUCUUCCCCCUCCCUCCCUGCUUGACAUUCCCUUUGGAAUUGUAAUAGCAUCACCUCCAUUGCCGUACUGCAGAAAAGGGGAAGGGGGGCUGAUGGGGAAAUGUCUGGGAAUCCCAAAGUCUAAACUCAGAGACUCUGGCUUAUGUCUCGCAGGAGGACUCAGGAUCUACCCUGGACCUCAACCAUUCUCUGUUCCCUCCCUGUGUCAUACUAAAGAUUGUAAGCUCCUCGGGGCAGGGACCUUUUGAUCAAGGUUCUAGUUACAGGUAGGUAGCAGUGCUGGUCUGCUGUAGUCAAAAAAAUAUAUUAAAAAAUCCUUCCAGUAGCACCUUAGAGACCAACUAAGUUUGUUAUUGGUAUGAGCUUUCGUGUGCACGCACAGUUCUUCAGAUAUCUGAAGGUAUCUUCAGAUAUCUGAAGGUAUCUGAAGAAGUGUGUAUGCACACCAUCUGUUGUAAACAAAAAUUGCCCUUUUCCCUUAUGGGGUAUCCAAGAGCCCAUAUAGAGUCCUUACAUAGGUUCCCUAUUGGUAGGAGAGAAUAACAGAGGCCAACCAGAGAAUACUGAGAAGCAAAGCAGCUAGUAAGUUUGAUCUUUAUUGAACUGUUGCAACAGGGUGCUUCCCUCACCCGCAGGAGAGAGGAGGACGUGGGUGGUGCUGUGGGUUAAACCACAGAGCCUAGGACUUGCUGAUCAGAAGGUCGGCGGUUCAAAUCCCCGCGACGGGGUGAGCUCCCCUUGCUCGGUCCCUGCUCCUGCCAACCUAGCAGUUCGAAAGCACGUCAAAGUGCAAGUAGAUAAAUAGGUACCACUCCGGCGGGAAGGUAAACGGCGUUUCUGUGCGCUGCUCUGGUCCGCCAGAAGCGGCGUAGUCAUGCUGGCCACAUGACCCGGAAGCUGUACGCCGGCUCCCUCGGCCAAUAAAGCGAGAUGAGCGCUGCAACCCCAGAGUCGGUCAUGACUGGACCUAAUGGUCAGGGGUCCCUUUACCUUUACCUUUAUUGCAUAGGUCAAUGAGACGCUGGAUGGAACCGUAAAGGUACUCGUGUGGCUGCAGUGACUGCUUUGGGCUAGGCAGAAUUCCAGGUCUCUUUUCCCCACAAGUUUCCCCCAACAUUUCUGUAGCGGAGACGUUGGCUACCCCUCUGCUCACUGGGUGGUGGAAACCCACAGCUCUGUAUCAUAUUUUUUUGAAGUGUGGCAGCCUCAGCAGCCUCAGUAUAGGGCUGGGCAGGAGGGAGGGAGGAUGAAACCUGCCUGUGCCAGAAAUAAAUAAACAAACUGCUCUGCCCUGAAUGAAGGAGCUCCAGGAUUUAAUCUGACAGACGCGGAGACGCUUCAUUUGAGACAGAAUGGCAGAGGCCUGGUGACUGGCAGGCAUCUGGAAUAAUGGCUCACGGUUUUGUCAUAACAUUGCAAGAUCAUCCGAGGAGCAGCCAGGACCAGGCGUCUCGGCACCCGCUCUGGGUCUGUUUCGCUCGCUGUAAAAAGCCGUCGGCUCAGCGAGGAAGGAAAGGAGCUCAGGGCUGGGGGCGGGCGGGAGAGAUUUAUGCCUGUCAUCUCUGACUCAGUUUUAGACUCCUGCAGGUCUUUAAAAGCUUCUGACGUUGCUUGUGGGUUUGUCCCGGGGCCUCAGCUGUAGGAUGGUAGAAUCAUGAGAUCAUAGAACAUUGGAGUUGAAAGCGACCCUGCGGGUCAUCUAGUCCAACCCCCACAAUGCAGGAAUCACAGCUAAGGAAAGGCCAUGUGAUCUCUGUUUGGAAACCUCCAACGAAGGAGAGCCCACUACCUCCCAAGGAAGCCUGUUCCACUGUCAAACACCUCUUCCCACCAGAAAGUUCUUCCUGAUAUUUCAUUAAAGGGUCUCUUUUCUUGUCAUUUGAAUCCAUUGGUUCAGGUCUACUACUACUAUUUUCUGUUCAACAGCCUAACAGCCCACGGAUAGAAGCUAUUUUUUAGGCUGUUGUUAUGGCUGAUUAUACUUCUAUAUCUCCUGCCCGAGGGUAGAAGAUUAAAGAGGUGCUGGUCAGGGUGUGAGUCAUCCCUGAUAAUUUUUCUCGCUCUCCUAAGGCAAUGAUCCCUUGCGAUGUCAUCUAGCCGACUCAAAGGACAGCCCAUGAUAUCAUGUACUGUAUUCACCACCCUCUGUAGAGACUUUCUGUCUGUGGCUGUCAAGCCAACGUACCAUACUGUGAUACAAUAUGAGAGGACACUUUCUAUUGUGGUAAAAGAAGUUCAUCAGUUGUUGUUUAACAUUAUUUUUUCGCAAGACCCUGAGGAAAUGAAGUCUCUGUUGGGCCUUUCUGACCACCUGAGCUAUCUUGAUUUUUCAAGUGAGGUCCUCGCUAAGGUAAAUUCCCAGGAGAAGAAAAGGCUAAGUUGUAAACAAAUCCAGACUGGAGUCCCCAAAAACAGUUGGAUGGUGCCUUGUACUCCUGCAGCCAAGCCGGUGCCAGAUGUCUUGCUCUGCUUUCCUUUGGACAACCUCAGUGGGGCCGAGAGGGGGGUCUCAAUGUCUGGGCAGGCCAGGACCUCCAGACACACUGCCCAGGCCAUAUUCUCUUUGUUGUUGUUUAGUCGUUUAGUCGUGUCCGACUCUUCGUGACCCCAUGGACCAGAUCACACCAGGCACUCCUGUCUUCCACUGCCUCCCGCAGUUUGGUCAAACUCAUAUUGGUAGCUUCGAGAACACUGUCCCACCAUCUCGUCCUCUGUCAUCCCCUUCUCCUUGUGCCCUCCAUCUUUCCCAACAUCAGGGUCUUUUCCAGGGAGUCUUCUCUUCUCAUGAGGUGGCCAAAGUCUUGGAGCCUCAGCUUCAGGAUCUGUCCUUCUGAGCACUCAGGGCUGAUUUCCUUCACAAUGGAGAGGUUUGAUCUUCUUGCAGUCCAUGGGACUCUCAAGAGUCUCCUCCAGCACCAUAAUUCAAAAGCAUCCAUUCUUCGGCGAUCAGCCUUCUUUAUGGUCCAGCUCUCACUUCCAUACAUCACUACUGGGAAAACCAUAGCUGUAACUAUACGGACCUUUGUCGGCAAGGUGAUGUCUCUGCUUUUUAAGAUGCUGUCUAGGUUUGUCUUUAGUAACAGACAAAUGCCAACAGCUAUAUAUAUAAACACUCACAUAUAAUAUAAAUGCUCUCACACACAACAUAAGCAAAGAGUAUCUGCAAGCACUGCUGAGAAUUUGUCCAGAAAAAGAGAGGAGGCGGUGUUUUGCUUUUUUGACUUCGGAUUCCGCUGUAAAAUGCUUCCGCAAACAGCGAGUCAAAUCAGUUCUCCCCUAAUGCUGUUUUUCUCGGAAAGGCUGCCCAACUUUCCCAUUGCUUUGGGAAAUAAGUGUCGGCUGGAACUGGACGCAGACUGAAACAGCCCCAAUCAGUCCCACUCUGGCUGUUUUGGAAGCUGGGCCAGCCUUGAACCUCGCUCCCCUCCCUCUCUGCUAGAUUUUGGGUUAGCUGUCUCUGACUGCUGAGAGAUAAGCCAUUAUGAGCUGAACCUGCAAAUGAAUUGAUCAUCUCCCUAUGAUCUGUGGCCACAUUCCCCUGGCAUGGGGGGGACGGGACACACACGAAGAAUCCACCAAAGGGUCAGAGCAGAGUGAGAGAGCGUCAGAAUUUGCAGGAUAAUUGUAUGGAUUCUUUUAAAAAAGGAAAGGGAAAGAUUUUUGACAGCUGUAGUUUAGUCAUCCUUCUUCCCGGAGCCAGAUGGAACCUUGCUAUGCAGUCUAAUUUCUUUACAUUUCACAGAGCCAGAGUGAACGUAUUUGCAAACAUUUGGAAUUUCCUAAUUUCACCACUUUGCAUGCUAAAUGCGACUUUCCCCCCACCCCCACCUUGAACACUCGAAAUUGGCGUUUGGGUUGUUUAAAAAUUUAAAGAAGGGCUGUGGAACAAUGUGGCAUCAUUUAAAAGAAGAAAAGGAGAAAUCCGUUUUCUAUAUAAACAUAUAAGAUGCAGGAGGUUAUCAUGGGGAGUGUUUUGUGGGCAAGAGGGAUUGGGACCUAAGGAAGAGAGGAGUCCCAUAGAGCUGCUGCCAGUUAGAGCCAAUAGGUCUCACUCGUCCUAAAGCAGCUUCUGCAUACUCUCCAGGUGAGCCUUACACUGCCUAUUCAGAAGUAAGUCCCAUUGAGUUCAAUAGGAUUUACUCUGGUAUGUCCCUGAUCAUUCUCACAGUUUCCAUCCUCCUUCGCCUUCUCCAUCUUCUUCACCUUUCCCCCUGACAGGGACUCAAGGCAGCUUACAGAUAAAAUUUCAUUUCGUUCCAUUUAUAUGUGGAAAAUGUUGAUCCAUUCCCUCACACACUUUUUCUUUGCAACAAUCCUUUGAGUUAGGUGAGGUGGGGAGGUUGCAAUUGACUCAAGAUUUCCCUAUUUCACUUGACUGUCUUGAGGGGCUGGGAGCUGGGGGCACUGUUAUACAGUGGUUCCGCUCCUUCCUCCUGGGCCGUGUUCAGAAAGUGGUGGUGGGGGAUGAGUGUUCAGACCCCUGGGCCCUCACUCUGUGGGGGUGCCUCAGGGUUCUGUCCUCCCCAUGCUUCAACAUCUACAUAGUCACCAGAGAUCAUCAGGGAUUUGGCUGGUGUCUAUCAGUAUGCGGAUGAUACCCAGCUCUACCUUCUUCCAAAUCAGAACCAGUGAAGGCAGUGAAGGUCCUGUGUGAGUGCCUGGAGGCGGUUGGAGGUUGGAUGGCGGCUAACAGAUUGAGGUUGGAAUCUGACAAGACAGAAGUAAUUGCUUUGGGGACAGGAGGCGGGCAGGUGGAGGAUCUCUGGUCCUGAAUGGGGGUAACUGUGCUCCCUGAAGGACCAGGUGCGCAGCCUGGAGUCAUUUGGACUCACAGCUGUCCAUGGAGGCACAGGUCAAAUCUGUGUCCAGGGCAGCUGCUUACAGACCCAUCUGGUACGCAGGCUGGAGACCUAUCUGCCCCGCCAGAGUGGUGCAUGUCUGGCUAUCUCCUCGCUGAUUACUGCAAUGCGCUCUGACGGGCUGGCUUUGAAGGUGACCCGGAAAACUACAACUAAUCCAGAAUGCGGUAGCUAGACUGCUGACCGGGAGCGGCCAGUGAGAGACCAUAACACCGGUCUUGAAAGACCUAAGCAUUGGCCCCAGUACGCUUCGAGCACAAUUCAAAAGUGCUGGUGCUGACCCUUAAAGCCCCAAUGGUCAUUCAGUAUAUCUGAAGGAGCGCUUCCACCCCCAUCGUUUCUACCCGACACUGAGGUCCAGUAACUGGCCUGGCGGUUCUCACCAGAAUGUUACAGGAACCAGGCAGAGUGGCUCAGUGGGCGUUCUCUUCCUGUGGAACACCCCCUCUCCCACAGAUGUCAAAGAGAAAUAACAACUACCAGGGCUUUAAAGACAUCCAGCGCAGCCCUGAGCUCGGGAAGCAAUGUCUGAUGGAUUAUAGCAUUUAAUAUUCUGGAGUUUUUAGAGUGGCCGGGAAGCCCAGUACCAGAUGGGCGUGACAAUAAUAAAUUAUUAUUAUUAUUAUUAUUGAGAAAUCUUGGAGGGAGGGUAUGUGAAGGAAGGGCACAAGACUGGGGGUGAUCAUCAGUGAGCUGCGCACAGGUGGGCUGCAUGCAAGCUGCUGGCUAGCCCUGUGCAGCCUCCUUUUAUUGAGACAAAUAUGCAAACCAGGCAGAUACAUUUUGGGCUAUGACCUUUACACAUCUUCCGUCCUGAGAUCGAGGGGUAGUACAAAGUUAUUUUGGCACCUGUUUCCACCGCGUCAUUUUCCCCGUGCACAGUGUAUGACGAAGGAGACAAAAGGUCUCAGGGACAAAGGUUACAGACAGGACACCGCAAACUGCUGAGACCACAAAAGGUCAGACAGAGGGAACGAUGUACAGACAGCUGUGGCUUGUCUGGGGUGUGUGUGUGUGUGUGUGCCCUGCACCCCAGGGUCACGCGUGCAGGCAGACUGUGGCUGCCUGCUGGUGGGGAGUGUGCUCUCUCCGGACCCCACUGCCCACUCCGCGAUGUCCCUACAGUAUGUUUCUGGUGGUCCCCUUGAGAACAUUUGAGUAUCCCCAAGGGCAGGCAUCCCCAAACUCGGCCUUCCAGAUGUUUGGGAACUACAGUUCCCAUCAUCCCUGACCACUGGUCCUGUUAGCUAGGGAUGAUGGGAGUUGUAGUCCCAAAACAUCUGGAGAGCCGAGUUUGGGGAUGCCUGCUCAAGGGCAAUACUUCCUGUCGCAGAACCAGUCAUUGCUUGGACCAGUAUGGAAGCAAUGAUUCUUCAACAUCAGCUUCGUUGGACUGGUCAUGUUGUUCGGAUGCCACUGAUUAUUGUCUUCCAAAGCAACUACUCUAUUCCGAACUUAAAAAUGGAAAGCGUGAUGCUGGUGGUCAACAAAAGAGGUUUAAAGACCCUCUCAAGGGAAAUCUUUAAAAAUGUACUAUGAACACCGACAACUGGGAAACACUGGCCUGUGAGCGCUCCAGUUGGAGAACAGCAUUUACCAAAGGCAUCCUGGGCUUUGAAGACACUCGAACUCGGGACGCAAGGGAGAAACAUGCUAAGAGGAAGGCACGCUUGGCAAAUCCACACCAUGAUCAACUCCCGCCCAGAAACCAAUGUCCCCAACUGUGGAAGGACGUGUGGAUCCAGAAUUGGCCUCCACAGUCACCUACGGACUCAUUGUUAAAACCGUGUUUAUGGAAGACAAUCUUACUCAGCUGCGAGGGAUCGCCGAAGAAGAAGAAGAAGAAGAAGGUUCAAUAUAUAGGCCAGCUGCAUAAUGCAGCUAAGAGGGAGGCAAGCUUGGCAAACCCUCACCAGGAUCAACUCCCACCCGGAAACCUAUGUCCCCACUGUGGAAGGACGUGUGGAUCCAGAAUUGGCCUCCACAAUCACUUAUGGACUCACUGUUAAGACCAUGUUCAUGGAAGACAAUGAUCGCCAAAGAAAGAAGAAGGCUUUCUGUCGCCAUCUAGUGACACAUUUGUAUUUUGCACUUUACAACACUUUUAAAACGUUUUAUCUGCAGCUGUGUAGAUGGGUCAUAGAAUCAUCAAGUCAAACCCUCUGCAAUGCAGGAAUCAACACAUGAAUGACUUGGGCAAGGCUCUCUCGGUCCAGGAACGGCUAUAGCUGCUGAGCCAGUUGCAGUUGACUUCCAGCCACGGAGGCCACCAGAGCUGUCAGGGACUGGAUAUAGAAACACUCCCAAACUGGGGAGCUGCUCCUGCAGGGAGAGGGCAAUCUGAUGCAGAGAAGGCAGUGGGCAUGACAGGGUUGGAGAUGAUGGGGAUCAAAUUUGGGACUUUCUGCAUUCAGGCAAGGCUUAUGACCAUUCCAAAGCCAUCCCUCUGCUUCUGAACUUGAGCUAUAUGUUCAGUUGUCGUAUGAUAACCCUUUAUGAGCAAAAAAAAUCAUGCCCUUCCUGUUUAUGCAGCCUGAAGUGGUAUCUCCCUCUUUUUGAGGGGUUGCGUUGAAUGUGAGUCCUACUCUGAGUAGAGACGUGGAAUUUUAGAGGGACCACAAGAGUUAUCUAGUCCAGCCCCCUGCAAUGUUUCACCCACAACCCUGAGAUUAAGAGUCUUAUGGAAACAGCAGGAACUUCCAACAUUGGAAGAAUGGCAGAUAAAGAUGGUGGAAUAUGUAGAGUUGGCCAAGCUGACGGGGAAGAUCAGGAAUUGGCGUGACACAUUUAUAUUUUAUAUGAAAUAAAAUUGCAAACGUUUGAAAACGCUUGUAGGUUUGAGUUGAACUGUUUUGUAAUGUGAAUAUAAGGAGCUGAUUUACAUAUAAUGAGGUGAAAUGUUAAAGGAAGAUAGAAAGUAAAAAGGGGGUUAUAGAGAUGCUAAGAAUUUAGUAAAGAUGUUUGGAAGUCAGAAAGAGGGAGGGAAGGAGGUCGGUGCUCAGUUGAGCAAUGUUUAAGGUUAUUAUUGUAUGUAACAAGAUGUGAUUAUGAUAAAUAUGGAAAACUUAAUAAAAAUUAUUAUAAAAAAGAGAGAUUAAGAGUCUUAUUCAGUAGACUGAAUUAACCCUCAGGACCCACUGAAAUGGACAAACUUGGACCCAUUCUUUUCAGUGGGUCUGCGGUGAAUAGGAUUUGAGUUCACCCUUUCCUCCCUUUCCCUUCCAGUUAACCAACAUUUUGUAUUUUAUUUUAUUGUGUACCGUAUUUUUCGCUCUAUAAGACGCACCAGACCACAAGACACACCUAGUUUUUGGAGGAGGAAAACAAGAAAAAAUAUAUUCUGAAUCUCAGAAGCCAGAACAAGAAGAGGGAUCGCUGCGCAGUGAAAGCAGCAAUCCCUCUUGCUGUUCUGGCUUCUGGGAUAGCUGCGCAGCCUGCAUUCGCUCCAUAAGACGCACACACAUUUCCCCUUACUUUUUAGGAGGGAAAAAGUGAGUCUUAUAGAGCAAAAAAUACGGCAAUUAUCAGCAUUUGCUCGAGGGGUUUUGUGUGCUUAUAAAUCUGAAAAGGGAUUCAUUUGCAAAUAUUUCUCAACUGAAUAUGAAUAUUUUGCAGACCCUUCGCUUUAAAUUCUUACUGUGAUUUUGUGUGUGUGUGAGAGAGAGAGCGCACACGUAUAGAUCCGGGGGGAAAGGGGAAUAAUAAAUCAUUUGUAAGCGUCUCUGAGUUCAGAACACUGGACCUGAUUUUUAAAUCUCUGAAAUGUCAUGCAGAAUCCCUCUGUACCAGACUGGCUUGCUAGUGCUCCCCUCUUGAAUAAAAGAGAAUCAUUUUUAAAGGAAAUCAUAUAAAAAAUACACCUGGCUACUAUUACAUAAGGAUCUCUCCCCACCCCCCUUCGCCUUAAAAAAAAGAAAGUAAGUCUGAAUUUCCUAUUACUGCUAAACCUAGUACAACCCUGAUCUCACACAAAAUGUUCUGUUUCUCUGUGCUCGGAACAGAUUUCCCCACUGCUGGAAACAUGAAAACACCAUCCCCUCAUAAAGGAGAUACCAGAUGGGAGAUUUAAUAAGCAUGGAUGCUGAUUUUUUUCAUUGCCUGGAGUUUUGUGUGUGUGUGAGAGAGAGAGACAGAGAGUUUUUGCCACCCAAUUCCAACUGAAAUGGGAACAUUUGAAGACUACAGAAAGAAGAUCUGAGGAACUCUGAAAGGCAGCAAGAAAGUUUUUAGACUAUUGUGAGGGGGCAGGGAGGAAACCCCAUUGGUAGAUCAGCUCAAAAUGGAAUUUUUACGCCAUGGUCUUGGAUGUAACGCACCCAAAUGCCUCCGAAAAACCCUUAGGGUGGUGGUUCCCAGACUUUUUUUGGGGAGCCCAUGUCCUCUGAUGCCCAGCACCCCUUACCCUGCCCUACAAAGAUCAUUAUUCAGAAUAGUGGUUUGUGAGAUCCGCUAGGAAGAUAAUAGCACAAUAAGACUCAAAACUAGGGGUCAGUAAACUUUUUCAGCAGGGGGCCGGUCCACUGUCCCUCAGACCUCAUGGGGGGCUGGACUAUAUUAUGAAAAAAUAAAUGAAUGAAUUCCUAUGACCCACAAAUAACCCAGAGAUGCAUUUUAAAUAAAAGGACACAUUCUACUCAUGUAAAAACACGCUGAUUCCCGGACCGUCCGCGAGCCGGAUUGAGAAGGCGAAUGGGCCGGAUCCGGCCCCCAGGCCUUAGUUUGCCUACCCAUGCUCAAAACAGUAACAGUUAAUUGCACAUUUAUUCAAAGUCCAAUUAAAACUACAGUGGUACCUCGGGUUACAUACACUUCAGGUUACAUAUGCUUCAGGUUACAGACUCUGCUAACCCAGAAAUAGUACCUUGGAUUAAGAACUUUGCUUCAGGAUGAGAACAGAAAUCGUGCUCUGGCGGCAUGGCAGCAGCAGGAGGCCCUAUUAGCUAAAGUGGUGCUUCAGGUUAAGAACAGUUUCAGGUUAAGAACAGACCUCCGGAACGAAUUAAGUACUUAACCUGAGGUACCGCUGUAUUUGGCUCCAUGAAUUCAAGAAAAUAGAUCAACUUGAUCCAAACUUGAUUUCAAAGUCUAAUGUCAUUGACACCUCCAGUACCCCCUGGCUGCCCCCUUGCCUCAUGGCAACUCACCAGUUAAUCCCAUUGCCCCCCAGUUUGGGUUCCACUCACUUUGGGAACCCUUGCCAUAGGGUGCCGUCCAACAAAGUUCUCAGAGUAAAUCUAUUGAAGUGAAUGGAGCUAACUUGCUCAUCCCCUCAAUUCAUUUCAUUGGUCCAGCUCUGAGUUAUGACUUUGGAUGCAACCCAUUGCAUUAGAUGCAACUGGAUAGCUCAGUUGGUUAGAGCACAGUGAUGAGAAUGCCAAGGUUGCUGGUUCGAAUCCCGUAAGGGACAGAGGCAUAUUCCUGCAUUGCAAGGGGGUUGGACUAGAUAACCCCCUUCCAACUUGAUGAUUCUGUGAUUGUCCAGAAGGUACUCCAAAGCUCAUCUAGUCUGCCUCCCGAGACAAUACAGGAUGCCCACUGUAACAACACCCCUGACAGGUUGGCCAUUCUGCCUUUCUAACUAUGGAAAGCCUUUAUAGAAGGAGAUGCAUUGUUAAAAGAACUGACCAACAGGCAAAGGAUCCCACAAGGUUAUAAUAGGAAAGGCAACUUCACCAACUUUCACACAAAUAGCAAUAGAAGUUUGAAUGUUUACGUAUAAUUUUUGCAUUUUUUUUAAAAACUCAUCUGUUCUGAAAGAAAUGAAUAGCAAGCUUACCUGCCCAAUUGAUUUGUUUUGGAUAUGGUAUGGGGUAUUGAUUUAUUGCAGUGGUGUCCAAACUUUUUUCAAAGAGGGCCAGAUUUGAUGAAGCGAAGGGCCGUGACGGCCGACCAAAGGGCCAACCAAAGUUAUUGAGCUUUUCGUAGGAUUGAAGUUGGUUUUUUGGGGAUUUUACCCCAGGAAAUAAACUGUCACACGGGCCAGAUUAAACCAGCUGGUGGGUCAGAUUAGGCCCCCCGAAAUGGACUUUGAACAUGCCUGAUUUAUUGGUUGUUGUUUUAUAAAAACAAAUGCUCCCCUUUUUUUAUUUACUCCUUCCUUCCUUCCUUCCUUCCUUCCUUCCUUCCUUCCUUCCUUCCUUCCUUCCUUAUCAGCUGCCAGUCUUGUGUCCGUUUGCUUCUUUGACGUGCGCAAUAUUGUUUUGACUGAUGUAACACAUUCUGUUUUCUUUUUUGCGUGUUUUUUUUAAAAAGAUAUUUAUUAAAAUUUCAACAUAUUACAAAAAUGAGCGAAAAAAGAAAAAGGAAAGCAGAUAAAAAAAGAAAAAAGAUAUAAAAAUGGAAAAAUACAAAAUACAAAAUAAAAGCAGUUAAACAGAUUAGUCUUUCUAUAUCUUAUCCUUCAUUUACUUGUUUCCUCGACCUCCUCACACCUCCCUUUUUUGUAUUCCAGUUCGCAUAUUUUGUUCAGCAGUUCCCUCCCCUCUUUUAAAUAUCCUAAUCAUUAAUCAUAAAGAUAUUGUACUUUCAGAUUUUUACAUAUUACAUAGUAAACCCUUUUUUCAUCUUCCCUUAUAACAUUUCAGCUAAGAACCACUUAGUUUUUAUCGAACAUCAUUCUAACAUUCAUUAAUUUUACAAUAUUUCUGUAGAUAAUCUUUGAAUUUCUUCCAAUCUUCUUCCACCGACUCUUCUCCCUGGUCUCGGAUUCUGCCAGUCAUUUCCGCCAGUUCCAUAUAGUCCUUUUUUGCGUGUUUUAAAAUUGAAUAAAGAUUAACAAGGCCAAUCAACUUAUUUUGGCCUGAGGGCCACAGUCCUACAUGGGCAGCAUUCAGGGGGGCGGGCGUAUACAGGUGGUAGGUGAGGCUGGACAACGACAAACAUGACCAACAUGUAGGCUUUUUCCAGGGAGAAAGUUGCAGCAGCUGGGAUGAAUGAAUGAAUUUAUUAAUAUGGUCACAGACCAGCAUCAACACACACAAUAUCACAGAUCAUAAAAAAAAUCAGAAAUACAGAGGACAAUAUGAAUAUAACAAGGAUUUAAAUAUAAAAAAAUAAAAUUAAUUAUUAGCGUGGCCCCUGUAAUUAACAUUUGGGGGUUUGGUCAUUAUGGGAUACCACUUGCUUCCUACGACCUGGUCAUACUAAAUGGGCGCAAGAAUGGGGAGACUUGUGGGGAAUUUACUUUUAUAUCAAAUGCAGGAGCUUCCACUAUCGACUAUGUUAUGGUAUCAUUUAAUCUCCUAAAUAGAGCCCUUGAGUGCAAAGUGGAGGAGAGGGUUGAUAGUGAUCACUUACCGCUCAGCAGCUGGGAUUAUUUUAGUUUAAGGCAAGUAAGUGGUGACAUGACAGAAGUUUGUAAAAUUACUCAUGACGUUUACUGCGUGUAAUGCAUUAAAAGAAAAUGUGAUUAAAAUGAUGUAUAGAUGGUAUAUUACCCCUGUUAAGUUAGCGAAAAUGUAUAAAACUAGCAAUAAAUGUUGGAAAUGUAAAGAAAAAGAGGGAACAUUCUAUCACAUGUGGUGGGAAUGCAAAAAGAUGACAUGCUUCUGGGAGAUGAUAUAUAAUGAGUUGAAAAAAAAUGUUGAAAUAUACAUUUACAAAGAAACCACAAGCAUUUCUAUUGGGAAUGGUGGGAAGCGAUAUAAAUAGAAAAGAAUGUAAGCUUUUUUUAUAUGCAGUAACAGCAGCUAGAAUAUUUUUGGCCCAAAAAUGGAAGCAAGAAGAAUUGCCAACGAUUGAAGAAUGGAGGAUGAAGUUAAUGGACUAUGCAGAAUUAGACAAAUUAACAGGAAGGAUCCGAAACCGGCGGGACCAGAAAUUUGCCAAAGACUUGAGUAAAUUUAUGAACUAUAUGAAAAGUAUUUGUGAUGAUCAGGCAACGUUUGUAGGUUUACAAGACGUUCUGUGAGGAGUAUUGUUGGAAAUAUUGUAAAAAUGGAGAAGGGGAGAUGAUAUGUUAUGAGAGGUAAAGACAACAUAAAAUUAAGUAAUGCAUAAAAAGUGGUUAACAGAGGUGCUCAGGGAAGUCCAAUAAGAAUGUAUUUGUAACAAUUUGUGUGGUACUGUUUAUAAUUGGUAUGUUAAAAUUAAUAAAAAUGUAUUUUUUUAAAAAAAAGUAAAAUUACUCAUGACAUGGAAAAAGUGGCUGGAGGAUUAUUAUCCCUUCCUUCUCUCAUAACCCUAGAACUCAUGAAUACCCCGUGAAACUGAAUGUUGGAAGAUUGAGAUGAAAGAAAUGAAUUCUUCAUGUAGCGCAUAGUUAAACUAGGAAACUUGCUCCCCGAGGAGGCAGUGAUGCCCACCAAUUUGGAUGGCUGUAAAAGAGGGUUAUAAGAAAAGAACUGCUCCUUUUCCCUUAUGGGGUAUUCCAGAGCCCGUAUAGACUCCUUAAAUGGGUCCCCUAUCGGUAGGAGAAAAUAGCAGAGGCCAACCAGAGAAUAUUGAGAAGCAAAGAGGCUAGGCUGGUGACUGGGGGCGGCCGCCGAGACCACAUAUCACCGGUCUUGAAAGACCUACAGUGGCUCCUAGUACAUUUCCGAGCACAAUUCAAAGUGUUGGUGUUGACCUUGAAAGCCCUAAACGGCCUCGGUCCUGUAUAUCUGAAGGAGCGUCUCCACCCCCAUCGUUCUGCCCGGACGCUGAGGUCCAGCGCUGAGGACCUUCUGGCAGUUCCCUCAUUGCGAGAAGCAAAGCUACAGGGAACCAGGCAGAGGGCCUUCUCGGUAGUGGUGCCCACCCUGUGGAACGCCCUCCCAUCAGAUGUCAAAGAGAUAAACAACUACCUGACGUUCAGAAGACAUCUUAAGGCAGCCCUGUUCAGAGAAGUGUUUAAUGUAUGACAUAUUAGUAUAUUUUUUGUCUUUGUGGAAGCCACCCAGAGUGGCUGGGGAAACCCAGCCAGAUGGGCGGGGUACAAAUAAAUUAUUAUUAUUAUUAUUAUUAUUAUUAUUAUUAUUAUUAUUAUUAUUGUAAGCCUGAUCUUUAUUAAACUGUUGCAACAGAGUCCCCCACUCAGAGGAACCCAGAACAUUGGGGAAAUAUACUCAGAGUCGAGAGAGGAUUUCAUGCUCUUUAUUCAGCUCAUAGUGGUGAGGAAGAAUGGAAGUUCCCCCAGAAUGUCUACUUUAUAUACAUUAUUUACACAAAGGGUCCCACAUGAUUGGCUAAUUCUGGGAUUCUCCUGUAGGCCAAUCAGGUUGCGGAUUCACUUCCACCUGGAGCUGGAUUGGGUGGCUCCUGUGGACCAAUCAGACUGCUGCAUUCUGAAUCCUAUUGUUCUAGGGCCAAUCAGACUGCUGCAUUCUGAAUCCUAUUGUUUUGGGACCAAUCAGACCGCUGCAUUUUGGAUCCUAUUCAACUCAGUACAUAACAAUUGGUGUGCAAGCUCUUAUAUAGUCUUUUGAAACUGCCCACCCUGUAGCCCAAGACCACCCCACAAUACAUCAUACAUACAUCACUGAAGGAGGUGGUCUGCAGCAGAAAUCCUGCCUGCCAGGAUACCUGAUAAUGGUCAUUGACUGCAUUACCUGGGCAGCCUGGCCAUUCUUUUGUGAUGGUUAAUACUUUAGUUCCUGAGUCCGGGUCACAGGCUCACCCUAUUCAUACACAAAUACGCCCUUAAGACAGGAUUUGCAAGCAAAAAGACAACGGGGAGGCUUUCCCAUUUCCUUCCUCUUUGCAGAGAAAUAUUUGAGGUCAAUUUGGGAGAGUCAAAAUGGCUUCAGGAUUGCUUUCCCGUACUAUUUUGGACACGUGGCUUAUACAGCGGUACUUCGGGUUACAGACGCUUCAGGUUACAGACACUUCAGGUUACAGACUCCACUAGCCCAGAAAUAGUACCUUGGGUUAAGAACUUUGCUUCAGGAUGAAAACAGAAAUCGUGCGGUGGCAGCGGGAGGCCCCAUUAGCUAAAGUGGUGCUUCAGGUUAAGAACAGUUUCAGGUUAAGAACGGACCUCCAGAACGCAUUAAGUUCUUAACCCGAGGUACCACUUUACUGCUAAAGCCCAGAUGCCUCACACCCCCCUCCAAGCUUCACAGAACUGGCCUAUGCCUAAGUUCUUAACCUGAGGUACCACUGUAUACUUAUGUAUGUGUUUGCCUUGUACAUUUAUGAACAUUCAGUUUAGAUUUGAGACCUUAGAAUUCUUAUAACAAGAGGGUUUGACAAACUCCUGAGCUAGCGUGGUGCAGUGGUUAAGAGCGGUGGACUCGUAAUCUGGUGAACCGGGUUCGCUUCCCGCUCCUCCACAUGCAACUGCUGGGUAACCUUGGGCCAGUCACACUUCUCUGAAGUCUCUCAGCCCCACUCACCUCACAGAGUGUUUGUUGUCGGGGAAGAAGGGAAAGGAGAUUGUUAGCCGCCUUGAGACUCCUUAGGGUAGUGAUAAAGCGGGAUAUCAAGUCCAAACUCCUCCUCCUCCUCCUCCUCCUCCUCAGCCUUCUUCUUCUUCUUCUUCUUCUUCUUCUUCUUCUUCUUCUUCUUCUUCUUCUUCUUUGUGGGAUGUGAAACACAAGAGCAGUCAAGUACAACAUUCCUAGAAUGAACAUGUUUACACAUGGGGAGAAAUGUUUGUCCAGCCAGCAGGUCAACUUCCUGUUUCCUUCUGGGCUGGGACAGACUUCCUCUGCAUGUGACUAGAGGGGGCGGGGCCUCACCUGUGCAGGUAAGGACAAAAGCACAGGGCAGGGCAGCCAUCUCUCUCUCUUUGACUACAUGCAUCGAAGAAGCAACAUCUGCUUAGCCAAAGAUGCUCUCUUGGCCUCCAGUCCAAAGGGACUGUCUCCUUAUGAGAUAGUUUCCAGGUAUAUGUUACUUUUCUAAGCUAAGUCUGCCUUCUGGGAUCCGAUUGUGAACAGAAUGUGAGUAAACUCUUUUUAUACUUUUAUAGAAGACUGUGUCGUGUCUUAUCUUUUAUGAGGGAAUAAGGGGGAAAUACCAGAACAGUUAUUACAGAGGCUUUAGCGAGCCUGAGCAAACGCAUCCGCUGUGAGUUUAAAAGGGGGAAUGUUACUCUGCUAAAAUUGUGAACUUGUUAACACAAGUUGGAAAGGCUGUAAUCAAACAAUAUAUCCUCUCUUCUAUUCCUGAACAUUCCCACAUACUUCUUCUUCUUCUUCCUGUUCCAACCUCCACAGCUGGACGCAGCAAUGGUUCUGAAUACCAGCUGCUGGAAACGCCAGGAGUGGCUCUUGUGGUCAAGGGCCGCUUGCUGGUUUCCCAAGGCCAUCUGACCGAACAGGCUGUUCUUAUGUCCCUGCAAAGCGUGGAUGCCCUACUGUUGGGCUACUGCCCUCCCCCAAACAAGCAAGCUGCCGGAUAGGUCUAAAACAAGCCACACCGAGAUGCAGAUUGCGAUUAUGGCAUCUCUGAUGAGCACCGUCCUCCCCUGAAUCUCUCUGACAGGGCCAAGUGUCUCCUUAUUACUUGCUUUCGCCACCCUGCCUCCAAAAAUCACACCCGCAGCCAGAGCUUUCUCUUUGAGUUGGAGGAAGUGUCUUUCUCCUGAAAGGGGCCAUUGUGUCAGUGACAGGCCCUGCCCCGAGGCUGCGUCCCCGAUGAGCAGAAAGUGACUCUGAAGGAUGAGCUGCAAGCAGCACUGGUGGUGUCCUCAGCACAAAUCUCAUUGCUGUGUGAAAGGGAGGAGGACGAAAAGGAAGAAGAAGUGCAAAGGAGCUAAGGCAGCCGGGGCUCACAAAUAGGCCAGUUGUCCAUCGAGCUCAGGAUUGCCUACACUGACUCAGGGUUUCAUGCAGGGCACAUUCCCAGCCUGGAGAGGCAGGCAUUUGAACCUGGGUCCUUCUGCAUGCAAAGCAGGUGUCCUCCCAUUGACCUACAGCCCUUGGAGGCUGUUAAAGUAGUUUUAUCAGUCCACAGGGGGCCUCUUCAGAAGCUGAUGGCAUGAGCUCAGUUGACUAAAUGAAACCUGGACGGUUAAAUCCAGUCAAAGGCGACUAUGGGGUUGCGGCACUCAUCUCGCUUUCAGGCCGAGGGAGCUGGUGUUUGUCCAUGGAUAGAUUUCCGGGUCAUGUGGCCAGCAGGACUAAACUGCUUCUGGCGCAACGGGACACUGUGAUGGAAACCAAGAGCGCACAGAAACGCCACUUACCUUCCUGCCACAGUGGUACCUGUUUAUCUACUUGCACUGGCGUGCUUUCGAACUGCUAGGUUUGCAGGAGCUGGGACAGAGCAAUGGGAGCUCACCCCAUCAUGGGGAUUCGAACCGCCGACCUUCUGAUUGGCAAGCCCAAGAGGCUCAGUGGUGUAGACCACAGCGCCACCCGCUGUCAGCUCCUGGAGUCAGGAAUAGGCCAACAACCAUUCUCAAGAUGCCAACGAAGUCAACUCUUUAUUCAAAGUAACUGAAUCAGCUCAGGCUUAGUGAUCCCAGCAACCCUUCCCAGUAGGUCUUGCCCCAAUGAGGCAGUUGUGAAGACUGAAGGUCUUCCCACUGCUCUCUAAGACUCCCCUGCAGUUCCUUCCCUGGCAAGCUGAGGCUCCAUCGUCUUGUCUCUCUCUGCUCUGCACUCUUCAUUCCUCUCUGAGAUCUUGGGAGACCAGGGGGAGGGGAGCUUGUUGCAGCAGGACGGGGAGACCCCUACGACUCUUCACCAGCCUGACUCAUCCCUGCCUCCUGCCCCCCCCCCGCUCUCCUGCUUCAACAUCUGAUUCUGAUUCUGGACUGCUCUCUGCCCCCCUUCAUCCUGCUCACUAAACCCUGUUGCUUCUUCAGCUUCAAACAUCUCCUCCUAGAAUCAUAGAAUCAUAGAAUCAUAGAGUUGGAAGAGACCACAAGGGCCAUCGAGUCCAACCCCCUGCCAAGCAGGAAACACCAUCAGAGCACUCCUGACAUAUGGUUGUCAAGCCUCUGCUCAAAGACCUCCAAAGAAGGAGACUCCACCACACUCCUUGGCAGCAAAUUCCACUGUCGAACAGCUCUUACUGUCAGGAAGUUCUUCCUAAUGUUUAGGUGGAAUCUUCUUUCUUGUAGUUUGGAUCCAUUGCUCCGUGUCCGCUUCUCUGGAGCAGCAGAAAACAACCUUUCUCCCUCCUCUAUGUGACAUCGUUUUAUAUAUUUGAACAUGGCUAUCAUAUCACCCCUUAACCUCCUGUUCUCCAGGCUAAACAUGCCCAGCUCCCUUAGCCGUUCCUCAUAAGGCAUCGUUUCCAGGCCUUUGACCAUUUUGGUUGCCCUCCUCUGGACACGUUCCAGUUUGUCAGUGUCCUUCUUGAACUGUGGUGCCCAGAACUCCCAGUCUUCUCCCUUGUGAUCACUGAUCCUUGCUCACCACCAACCCCUGGGCUCUGAGCCUUUAUCCCUUGUGGGUUCCCUUCUGGAUUCUCCAACUGGUGCCUCCCAUAACUGCAUGCAGCCGGUCCAUGACAUUGACACAACAUCUAAAGGCUGCUCCAACACAGCUCUUCCAGCACUUCUAUUCUAGGACUCUGGGGUUCUGGAGAGAGGCCUCUUGCCUUCUUUAGCUGAUCUUCCUCACAUCUCCUCCUCUGGCCAGAGCACUCUGGAAGCCAUGCCCACCUUGCCAACGAGAAGCAGGUGCCCUGCAAAAUCUCACAAAAAAUCUGGUGAGAUCUUGGCAGAAGCCACCAGCGCUGCUGCUGCGCUGCCACGCAACCCAGGCAAGGGAUGCUGGGGCAGCGGGGACAGAGUGGCACCUCCAUGUUGCUCUUGCUGGGAGUUCACAGCCUUCUGUUGUUGUUGUUGUUUAGUCGUGUCCGACUCUUUGUGACCCCCUGGACCAGAGCACGCCAGGCACUCAUGUCUUCCACUGCCUCCCGCAGUUUGGUCAAACUCAUGCUGGUAGCUUCAAGAACACUAUCCAACCAUCUUGUCCUCUGUUGUCCCCUUCUCCUUGUGCCCUCCAUCUUUCCCAACAUUUUCCAGGGAGUCUUCUCUUCUCAUGAGGUGGCCAAAGUAUUGGAGCCUCAGCUUCAGGAUCUGUCCUUCCAGUGAGCACUCGGGGCUGAUUUCCUUCAGAAUGGAUAGGUUUGAUCUUCAUGCAGUCCAUGGGACUCUCAAAAGUCUCCUCCAGCACCAGAAUUCAAAAGCAUCCAUUCUUUGGCCAUCAGCCUUCUUUAUGGUCCAGCUCUCACUUCCAUACAUCACUACUGGGAAAACCAUAGCUUUACCUAUACGGGCCUUUGUUGGCAAGGUAACGUCUCUGCUUUUUAAGAUGCUGUACCUCCAGUCAACAGUUCGAGACUUGCUUCCUACAGCUAGCCCACGUCACCGGAUGACGUAACGUUCUGGCGUUAUGAAACAAACGCCUGCAGUGCGUAGGGAUGAAGGGCAUGUGGCUCCCCCCCCCCCACGCCAGCGGAUGGCACUGAUCUUUGGUCCCCGCACCGGCGUGAGAUAAAUCCAUUUUGGGGGUGUUGCUCGAGGACCAUUGUUAACCACUAUCCCCCUCCUGAUAAAUCUGCACAAAACUACUGCAUCGUUUUAACUUUGGAGUAGGGGGCGGUGGGUGGGUGGGGGAGAGUGUGCCUUCUUAUGUUUUGGUCCAUUUAUUUGUCUCUUCUGACAAAAUCACAGCCUCGGAGAUUGCAGCUAACCCCCUAAUAAGUGAGGAAAACGCUCUCCGUCCACCGCCCCAUUCUCUCCCCCCCCCCAAACCGGCUGCUGUUAUCUCGGCAUGAAACUGGAAAUUGGAGGCACGAUUGACCCAGUAAUUGUCUAAAUCAGCGCAGCUCUAAUUUAGUGGAAUAUGGUUUGAGCUGCUAAAAUGCAGCCCCUACUGUGCGAGAGAUGGAGCCUGCCACCAGGGUUUCCGCAGGCUGAGAACAUUUGCUUAAAUGGCGUCGUCUGGCUGCAAGGCGCUGGAGGGGCCUCGGCGUACCACAGGGAGCGCUUAACCCUCGGAGGCGGAAAUUAGGUCACCGAAGAACCAAAGCUUCCAGCGACAACUGGAGAAGGGGAGGCGAAGAAAGUUAACUUUCAGCAAGGGAGGAAGGAGAGGCGAGGCUCAGCGCUGCAGUCGGGAACUGCCCUGCACACUUGAAGCGCACAAAGUCCCCCCCAAAAUUGCGGGGACCUUCGUUGGCAUCCGUCAUGGUACUAGAGUUCCAGGCACCCUUGGCCAACUACAGUCCUCAGGAUACUUUGGGGACUAGUCCUGUGCUUUAAAUACUGUUACUUCUGUGCAAGAGAUCUGAGGCCCAAGGGGAAUGCUACAGAUAGAGGGAUGCAUUUGUGAUUUUCUGCAGGAUAAGAGCAUAAGAAGCGCCCUUCUGGAUCAGGCGCAUCAGGGCGGUUCACAAAGAAAGGUCACAAUUGUUGUUGUUCAGUCGUUUAGUCGUGUCUGACUCUUCAUGACCCCCUGGACCAGAGCACGCCAGGCGCUUCUGUCUUCCACUACCUCCCGCAGUUUGGUCAAACUCAUGCUGGCAGCUUCGGGAACACUGUCCCACCAUCUCGUCCUUUGUCGUCCCCUUCUCCUUGUGCCCUCCAUCUUUCCCAACAUCAGGGUCUUUCCCAGGGAGUCUUCUCUUCUCAUGAGGUGGCCAAAGUCUUGGAGCCUCAGCUUCAGGACCUGUCCUUCCAGUGAGCACUCAGGGCUGAUUUCCUAAAGAAUGGAUCGGUUUGAUCUUCUUGCAGUCCAUGGGACUCUCAAGAGUCUCCUCCAGCAGCAUAAUUCAAAAGCAUCAAUUCUUCGGCGAUCAGCCUUCUUUAUGGUCCAGCUUUCACUUCCAUACAUCACUACUGGGAAAACCAUAGCUUUUACUAUACGGACCUUUGUUGGCAUCACAAUAUAUAACAACAAAAUAACACCCCCCACCCAAAGAGCCACCUUUUAAAGAGUAUACAGGGGUGCCCAAAUUUUUUCCAAAGAGUGCUAGAUUUGAUGAAGUGAACAUGCCUGAGGACCAACCAAAGAUCAAAGUUGUUGAAUUUUUUAAAGGAUUUUUUUUACAAUUUUACUCCAAAGUUGUUAAGCUUUUUUUAAAUCGACCAGCAAGCUGAAUAUUAAGCCCCCCAAAAGGACUUAAGGACUUUGGACAUGCCUGGUAUAGUAUAUUGAUCAGGUCAAGGGAAGGCCUGGUUGAAAAGCAAUGUUUUUGCCUGGCACCUAAAGGUGUAUAAUGAAGGCGCCAGGUGAACUUCCCUGGGGAGAUCAUUCCACAGACGGGGAGCCACUGCAGAGAAGGCCCUGUUUCCACCCUCCGCACCUCUCGAGGAGGAGGCACACGAAGGAGGGCCUUGGAAGAUGAUCUUAUGGUCCGGGUAGGUUCAUAUGGAAAGAGGCGGUCCUUGAGGUAUUGCGGUCCUGAGCCAUUUAAGGCUUUAUAGGUCAAAACAGCACUUUGAAUUGGGCCCGGAAACUCAUUGGCAGCCAGUGCAGCCAGACAAGGACUGGUGUAAUAUUCUCAAAUUGUCUUGCUUCGGUGAGCAACCUGGCCACUGAAUUUCCGAACCAUCUUCAGAGGUGGUCCUACAUAUAACACAUUGCAGUAAUCUAACCUUGAGGUUACCAUGAAACUCUUCGUCUUAGGGUUGUGGGUUCAAGCCACACAUUGGGCAAAAGAUCCCAGGGGUUGGACUAGAUGACCCUUGUGGUCCCUUCCAACUCUUCAGUUCCAGGAUUCUAGGGUUUCAGUCUAGGAUCCUGUUCCCAUAGUGGCCAACCAGUGGGAAACUGGCAAGUAGAACCAAAUCACAAGAGACUUCUCCCUUGAUGUGGCUUCCAUCAACUGGUAUUUGUUUUGUUUUUUAAAUGAUAUUUAUUAAAAUUUCAGAAACAAAAAAUUACGUAGUUAAAAAUUAAAAAGACAAGGUAAAAUACAACAAAAAAAUAGAAAAAACAUACAAAAUACAAAGUAUAGAAAAAAAAAUAGAAAAAACACUUAAAAACAAAUUAAUCCUUCCAUAUCUUACAUUUCAUUUCCUUACUUCCCUGACCUCCUCUCACCUCCCUUUUUUGUAUUCCAAUUCCAUUGGUUAAUUCAGCAAUUCCUUUCCCUCUUUGUUUUUAUCUUAAUCCUUUAACUUAAUAUAUUAUAGCUUUAGAUUCUCACCUAUUAACCAUCCAUUUUUGCAUACACCUUUAUGACAUUGCUGCUAAAACCACUUAACUUCAUUCUGACAUCAUUCUAACAUUCAUUAAUUUUACAAUAUUUCUGUAAGUAGUCUUUAAAUUUCUUCCAAUCUUCUUCCACCGACUCUUCACCCUGGUCUCGGAUUCUGCCAGUCAUUUCCGCCAAUUCCAUGUAGUCCAUCAACUGGUCUUUGAAGCAUCUCUGCCUCUCACUGUAGAGACAGAACAGAGAGCCUUCAUGGCUAGCAGCCUUGGAGAACCUUCGCUUCCACGAAUUUGUCUCAUCCUCUUUUAAAGCCAUUGAGGUUGGUGGCAUCCAUUGCUUCCUCCUGCAGGGUGAGUUCCACAGUUUAUCUAUGCGCUGCAUGAAGAAGGACAAUAGGCUGGUCCUCUGUUGUCCCCUUCUCCUUGUGCCCUCAAUCUUCCCCAGCAUCAGGGUCUAUAAUUCCUAAUAAAAUGGCUUCUGGUUUGUUUGUUAGUUUUUUAAAAAAGUUAUUUUAAACAUUUUUUUCAGCUCAUUAUAUAUCAUUUCCCAGAAAGCCUUUAUUACCUUACAUGACCACCACAUAUGAUAAAAGGUACCUUAUUUACAUUUCCAGCAGGUAUUUGUGCUUGUUUUAUACAUUUUUGCUAACUUUGUUGUUGUUGUUUAGUCGUUUAGUUGUAUCCAACUCUUUGUGACCCCAUGGACCAGAGCAUGCCAGGCACUCCUGUCUUCCACUGCCUCCCGCAGUUUGGUCAAACUCAUGUUUGUAGCUUCCCAGCAUCAGGGUCUUUUCCAGGGAGUCUUCUCUUCUCAUGAGGUGGCCAAAGUAUUGGAGCCUCAGCUUCAGGAUCUGUCCUUCCAGUGAGCACUCAGGGCUGAUUUCUUUCAGAAUGGAUAGGUUUGAUCUUCUUGCAGUCCAUGGGACUCUCAACAGGACCUAACAGGAUCUAAACAGGGGCGUCAGGCCCAGUGAGCUCAGCAAGCCAUCUUCAUCAGAUCUUGCUCCCAUGAAGCAGUUGUAAAGGUCCCCACCUCCCCAUAGCUGACUAUGUCUCCUCCUCUCCAGGGUGUUUUCCAUGCAGUCAGAGACUGUGCCUGCUUGUCUGCCUUUGCUCCAUCCGCUUCACGCCUCUCCUGGUUCUUGAAGACCAGGGGGAGGGGGGCUUGUUGCUGCAGGAGGGGAGACACUCUUCACUAGUUUGACCCAUCUCUGCUUCUUGGCCUCCCUCCUCUCCUGUUUCUGCUUCUGUUUCUGAACUUUCUCUGCCACAGACUCUCCCCGCUCACUAAGUCCUGUUACCCCUCAGCUUCUGACACCUCCUCCUCCCAGUCUUCUCCCUCUGACCACUCACUGCCAUCCUACCAUCCCUCCCCAGGCUGUGAGACUUCUUCCCUUGGGGGUCCCCCAGCUGGUUCCUUCCACUAUUCCUCUGCACCCAACCGGUCCAUGACAGCUGGUUUUUGCACACUUUACACCCCUGUCUCUAGUCUGCAUCCAUGCAAGCAAUAAAUAUUAUCAAGGUCUUGUUCUGGGGAAGCAGAAUUUGCACAAGGUGGGAAUCAAAGGCAGGGCUUAGGAGGGAGUUUGGCUUGGGGAGAGUCCCAAGGCCCAAAUGGAAAGGCAUGUGGGGCACAUUUGACACCUUCCCUGGACCUGAUGGGCUCCCCAUCCCUGACAUAACUUGUACUUGUUAGGAUAUAGUUCCAUUCCACCUUAAAUGGUCAGGCAUGAUUGCUGUGUGUCACAUGCCUGUUUACUUCCUGCUCACUGGGAGUAAGACAGCAUCUUAAAAAGCAGAGACAUCACCUAGACAACAAAGGUCCGUAUAGUCAAAGCUAUGGUUUUCCCAGUAGUGAUGUAUGGAAGUGAAAGCUGGACCAUCAAGAAGGCUGAUCGCCGAAGAAUGGAUGCUUUUGAAUUUUGGUGCUGGAGGAGACUCUUGAGAGUCCCAUGGACUGCAAGAAGAUCAAACCUCUCCAUUCUGAAGGAAAUCAGCCCUGAGUGCUGACUGGAAGGACAGAUCCUGAAGCUGAGGCUCCAAUCCUUUGGCCACCUCAUGAGAAGAGAAGACUCCCUGGAAAAGACCCUGAUGCUGGGAAAGAUGGAGGGCACAAGGAGAAGGGGACGACAGAGGACGAGAUGGUGAGACAGUGUUCUCGAAGCUGCCAGCAUGAGUUUGACCAAACUGCGGGAGGCAGUGGAAGACAGGAGUGCCUGGCGUGCUCUGGUCCAGGGGGUCAUGAAGAGUCGGACACAACUAAACGACUAAACAACAACACUGGGAGUUUCCGUUUUUCUAUAUAGCUUUUGUUCUGGCUGUUUUUUCCUGGACAUGGAUGCAAGCAGUCAUGUUUUUCCUUUGUUCUGAUCUACGUUGAAUAAAGUUGUAAAUAUGCUCUCCUGGCUGAAUCUUCCGUUGUGGAAACUUUGCAGAAAGGGGGUGCACGAGUCUUGGAAUGUAUCUGAGGCUCGUGUCGCUAAUUGACUGAUGCUGUUUUACGGGAGACUGGAGAUCGUCCGGAGUCGACAUGGAGGCCUGACUGAUGUCUCCGUCUCCGUGACAGUAUCCCAACAGUACUGACCACUGAAGGAGAGCCCUCAGGGUCUCUGUCAGCCCCCUACGGCCUGGCUGCGCAACCUGACAGUCAUCUGCCCGCUUGUGUGGAGAGCUCAGCACUGUUCUGCAUUCUGGAUUUGUGACGUCAUCACAACAUUCACUUCCUACUGUCGGGUUCGCGUGUGCACACACGGUCAGGGAAUGGUCUGAAGACGAGGACUGGGGAAGGCACUUUAUGGCUGACCAGCCGCCAUUGUUCACAGCGUGUUCAGAAGCAGAGAGAGAGAGAGAGAAUCUGAACAGCUUAGGGUGGAGUUACCCAGUUACGAGAUAAUGACAAGAGAACAGGAAGGGAGGGGGCAGCCAGUUGACACGUCACUUGAGAGAGUGGGGGACCCCCCCUCACCACGGACUCAGAGGUCCGAACGUAUCAGAGAGCAAAGGAGUCAGAGGGAGGGAGGAAAAUGGAGAAUUUAGAGUAGCCAACUGCUCUCCUUGCGGAGAGCUGUGUAUUUGUGCUCGCAACAUGAUGCUGUAAUAAAGGGACUAUAAAUCUAUCAACUGCUUGUUAAUUCUUAUCUGCGAAGUUACCAAAGGGAGGGGAGGACUCCCCAUGCCUCUCUCUCUCUCUCUCUCUCUCUCUCUCUCACACACACACACACACACACACACAUCCGAACUGUGUCUCGUCAGGGAGGCAAUCAAGUCUUCACCUGAACAUGCUUUCAAAAGCUGUGUGCAUCAAAAUAUGUUAGCAGCGUAGUUUUGUAAUUAUGCUUUUUAAAGAAACAAAAAACCAGAGAGCGGGAGGGAGGGGAGGAGACAGAAUAGGGAGACCUGGUCGCUCACCUUGAGGAUGCCUGCAUUUUAACACUGUGAGGGUCUUCACUGGGUGGGUCAGAAAAAGCGGUUGAUUCUUGGCAAGAGGGAGGGAAACAAAUGCACUCUCUGCUAUUGUUUUAUGAAAAUAUUUUUUUUGGGGGGGGGCUGCCUUCCUCAAGUGCAGCUAUUUCAUCUCACUCAUCAGCCCCAAAUUUAUUCAUCUGCCUUGGUAAAGCUGCCUUGGUUUGAAGCAUACUUUGCUGUCAGUUAACUUUCAUUUCUGCUUUGCCUUUAUGUGCAAAGAGCUAGAUGUUUUUCUUUUUCGGCAAUACUGAAAUCAUUCCGUGUUUGAUAAAUGGUUGGGGUUUUUUGCCAUUCUGAAUUUACGGACCUGCUCUGCAUUUUGUGUAUUUGUGUAUUUCCAGUGUUCUCUAUUUUAAUGUUUUGAUUUAUUGCUUUUAAGCAGCUUCGGACACAGUUUGUGGGAAAGUGGCAUUGUAGCCUUAUUGGAGUUCAUCGAUUGGGUUUGAAUUGCUCUCGGACAGGAGGAAGGAAGUCAAAUGACACCGAGGGUUGGUUCAGAGAAAGAAUUCUUUAUUUCUGCUCUCUGGAACAGCAGAAAGGCCCUUGUGUGGUCAGUACACAGCAAGUCCAGAGAAAUGAGAAAUUUCAUACAGUAUAUAUAUCCUCCAGGCACCCUCUCCCUCCUUCCCCAGGAAUCCAACCACGUCAGCCUAUACAUCCAGGUUGACAUCACAUAUGUUCCUGCUCCGGUGUUCUUAACCAUAAAAGGGUAUUCCUUCCUGUACUUCUGACCAUAAAAGGAUCUUCCUGUUCCUACUCUUAUCUUGGAGCAAGAGGUCAUCAUCUCCAAGAACACACUCUGGCGCUGUUCGCAGACUAGGUCUGUGCGUCUUUGUGGCCAGGACAUAAGAUAAGGCACAGAUGUGUCUUCCCUGUUCUACUGGUACAGUCAAGGCCAUCCUUGCCAUCACAAACUGAUAAAGGAGAGGGCUCUGAGCACUUGUCUAUACAGCCGGGUUUUUGUUUAUACAUUGACUCAGAGCUCAAGUUAACGGAUUUUAGCUAAGGAAAAAUAGGGAUUUUGGUGCCUAUUUCAAACUGCCUGCACAGUCAGUUUUGGGUUUGGGAAACCCAUUCCUUCAGCAUAAAAGUAAAAACCGAUCAAUCAGUCUUUGCAGUCUCUCUCCGAGGAAGAAAGAUGGAAGAGGACAACCUUGCAAGCAGGGCAAAGAAAACAUGUCCUCUCUCUGUCUUUCUUCCUCGGAGAGAGACUGCAAAAGCAAAAUCAGUGUAUCUCAAUUUCCUCUCACAAGACUCCAACAAUCAGUGCUGGAAUAUAAACAGACAUGUGACAUGUAACAAUUCCCCACACACACCUGCAGCUUGGGAGGAUUGGAAUUCUCAACAAUGGGGACCUGAAGGAUAAUCUAGUCCAACCCCCUGAUAGGCAGGAAUGUGCAGCUGUCCUAAACAGGGAUUGAACCUGCAGCCUUGGCUUUACCAGCACCACACCCUAACCAAGUGAGCUAUCGGGCCUUUACCUGUUGGAACUCCCUCCCCUUAAAUAUUAGGCAGGUGACCUUCGUAUUUCAAGAAGCCUUCGGAAAUCCCAAGGGCAUUCUAGGAAGUGGAAAAAUCUGGAGAAUGCAAGAGAAGCGUGAAAAGGAUUUUAAAAUUAUAAUUAUAAUUAUAAUUAUAAUUAUAAUUAUAAUUAUAAUAAGACAGAAGUACUGUUUUGGGGGGGACAGAGGGCAGGCUGGUGUGGAGGACUCCCUGGUCCUGAAUGGGGUAACUGUGCCCCCGAAGGAUCAGGAGCGCAGCCUGGGAGUCAUUUUGGACUCACAGCUGUCCAUGGGGGCGCAGGUCAAUUCUGUGCAGGGCAGCUGUCUACCAGCUCCAUCUGGUAUGCAGGAUGAGACCCUCCCUGCCCGCGGACUGUCUCGCCAGAGUAGUGCAUGUUCUGGUUAUCUCCCGCUUGGACUACUGCAAUGUGCUCUACGUGGGGCUACCUUUGAAGGUGACCCAGAAACUGCAACUAAUCCAGAAUGCGGCAGCUAGACUGGGGACUGGGAGCGGCCGCCGGGACCAUAUAACACCUGUCUUGAAAGGCCUACACUGGCUCCCAGUAUGUUUCCGAGCACAAUUCAAAGUGUUGGUGCUGACCUUUAAAGCCCUAAACGGCCUCGGUUCAGUAUACCUGAAGGAGCGUCUCCACCCCCAUCGUUCUGCCCAGACACUGAGGUCCAGCGCCGAGGGCCUUCUGGCGGUUCCCUCACUGCGAGAAGUGAGGUUACAGGGAACCAGGCAGAGGGCCUUCUUGGUAGUGGCACCCGCCCUGUGGAACGCCCUCCCACCAGAUGUCAAAGCGAUAAACAAUUACCUGACAUUCAGAAGACAUCUUAAGGCAGCCCUGUUCAGGGAAGUUUUUAAUGUGUGACAUUUUAGUGUAUUUUUGGUUUCUGUGGAAGCCGCCCAGAGUGGCUGGGGAAACCCAGCCAGAUGGGCGGUGUACAAAUAAAUUAUCAUCAUCAUCAUCAUCAUCAUCAUCAUCAUCAUCAUUAUUUUAAAAAGGUAAAAGGAAUAUCGAACAAACCACUUUUCAGUCCUUGAAUGGGGUAGGAGGGAAGGGAUGCCUUCACCGCUAAAAGUCCUGGAAUAAAAAGAACAGGAAAAGAGGGGAAGCAGUCUGAGAAUGUCAGAUGGGUUUGGCCAGAAAUAGAGAUGGAAGAUCAUGAAUUAAAUACAUGACCAUCUCUCUCCCCUGUCUUGUCUCAAAAGUUCGACUCGGGUAAUUUUCAGUCUCUUUCCUAGACGAAGGGAAAUUUGACUUGAUUUAUUGUAUUUCUAUGCCGCAUUUCAUAGAAUUAUAGAGUUGGAAGGGACCAUGAGGGUCAUCUAGUCCAGCCCUCCGCAAUGCAGGAAUCUCGAACCCAUGACCUUGAGAUUAAGAGCCUCAUGCUCUGCCGACUGAAUCCUGAAGCAGUUUACGAGCAACAAAUAAUUACAGAAUGAAAAUUUAUAGUUGCAGGUAGGUAGCCGUGUUGGUCUGCCGUAGUUAAAAAAAAUAAAAAUUCCUUCCAGUAGCACCUUAAAGGUAAAGGUAAAGGGACCCCUGACCAUUAGGUCCAGUCGCGGAUGACUCUGGGGUUGCGGCGCUCAUCUCGCUUUACUGGCCGAGGGAGCCAGUGUACAGCUUCCGGGUCAUGUGGCCAGCAGGACUAAGCCGCUUCUGGCGAACCAGAGCAGCGCACGGAAACGCCGUUUACCUUCCUGCUGGAGUGGUACCUAUUUAUCUACUUGCACUUUGAUGUGCUUUCGAACUGCUAGGUUGGCAGGAGCAGGGACCGAGCAACGGGAGCUCACCCCGUCAUGGGGAUUCGAACCACCGACCUUCCGAUCGGCAAGUCCUUGGCUCUGUGGUUUAACCCACAGCGCCACCCGCGUCCCAGUAGGACCUUAGAGACCAACCAAGUUUGUUAUUGGUAUGAUGGCAGAGAGCAUGUCCACCGGGACAUUUUCCUGCUUGAUUGCCACCGCCACGCCAGGGAUCGGGGCGGUGGGGAAGGCAGAGGACAUUUUCCACUGCCCCCUCUCUUGUUUUGGAGUUGCGGUGGGGGGGGGCGGGCGCCGGAGGGAUCUUUGCACCACGGCGCCGGACAUGCUUAAGAUGGCCCCGACCAAGAAAGUCUGUAGCUCAGCAUUAGAACAUCUGCUUUGCAUAUAGAAGGUCCCAAUCCCCAGCGUCUCCAGUUAGGGCUGGGAGAGAGACCCUCUGCCUGAAACCCCGGAAGGUCAAUAUCCAUCAGUGUGAACAAUACCGAGCUUUCAAAUGUGGGGGGAGUCUUGUGUUAGUUUUCCUGAAGUUUACAAAAGGCGUUGUUCAGUUGUCUCCAGAAACAAAGGGGAGAGGAAGCAAUCCUGUGCAUUUAUUUAUUUACCUCUCUCUUUUUGACUUCUUCCCUACCAUUCUUCCAAGGAGCUCGGGGUAACACACACGGUUCAGCCCACUUCCUGUUUCAUGGAAUCAUAGAGUUGGAAGGGACUCUAAAGCUCAUCUAGCCCACCCCCACCCCCCGAAAUCCCAACAGACGGCCAUCCAACCUCUGCUUAAAAACCUCCAAGGAAGGAGAGCCCACAAGCUCCCGAGGGAGACUGUUCCACCGUCAAACAGCUCUUCCUGUCAGAAAGUUCUUCUUGGUGUUGAGUCGGAAUCUCCUUUCUUGUAAGUUGAAUCCAUUGAUUCAAGUCCUACCCUCCAGAGCGGGAGAAAACAAACUUGUUUCCUCUUCUGUGUGGCAGCCCUUGAGAUAUCGGAAGAUGGCUCUCAGUCUCCUCUUUUCCAGGCUAAACAUACCCAGCUCCUUCAACCGUUCCUCAUCAGGCUUGGUUUCCAGACCCUUCACCAUCUUGGCCAUCCUCUGUCAGCAGCUCAGCCUACACUCAAGUAGGACCCUGGUAGAGACACAUGCCCGACUGGAAUGUUCUCUCCCUCCUGGUCGUUCAUUCGGGAGCUUCAAAAGCUUUCUUCUGCCCGAACACCACAGCGACCGACGCCAACAGACAUCGGCACACUUAGGGAUCCGCAGAGUUUGCCCAUCAUGCGUGACAGACCUCAGCAACUCAGCAUUUGGGCUAAUCUACUUUAUUUACAUAUAAACACACACUGGGCACUGCAACAUGGCUCCCUCUCCGUCUAGCAUCAGACAGCAAAGAGAAAAAAGAAAGGACAACAGACCCACUUCACGGAACACAGUAACACAAACAUCCGUCACUUCUCACUCUGUGGAGUUAAAACAUAUACCGUCAUGUGAAAGACAACAAUCCCAUGACUGCAGUCAUGGAGCAGGAAUUCUAACAUCCUCCUCUGCACCUGUUCCAGCUUGUCAACACCCCCUAGCUUGUCAUCAUCACAAUAAACCUUUGAGGUAGGUAUACAUUGUACUUGAGCUUCCAUUACUGUUGAUUCCCAAUAUUCUGGAAAGAUUUAACCCGCUCUGGCAUUCUCUUUUAAUUUCCUUUUAACCAACCCCCUCUUUAGCUAACCCCUCUGGGUUGGAUCUUUUUGGCACUUGUUUAUUUCUUAUUAUUUCUUCUUCAUUUGCUACACCUACACCUUGUGCUUCCUCCAAGGUGAUGUGCAUGGCUCUUGCCCUCCCCAAUUUUAUCCCCACAACAACCCCGUGAGGAAGGUUCAGCUGAGAUGCGGUGGCAGACCCCAAGCCGCCCGUGAGCUUCCUUGAACCCUGGACUCCCAGCUCUAACCACUGCACAACCCUGCCAAUGACCCCUGACAAAGGGAAAGCCGUGCUUCCUCCCUGAGCCUUCUUCUCCUCUUGCCCGGUUGAGGAUUUGACAAGCAAAGGAAGCAAGACGGCUUGUUGUGGGGAGCAAUUAGGGAGGUGUCAACCGCAGCCACGUCCCCCAACAUGCCCCCCCCACUGCCGCCGCCCGCCUGCCUGGCGCACCUUCCUUCUGCCAUCGCAGCUGCUUUCCUGACAGGUUAAGAGUCUCUCGCCGCCUCCUCUUCACCAGGAGCUUUUUGGCAGGUCUGCUAAGUGGAGGCCUCAGCUGACAACCAGAGGUGAGUCUUUUUCCGGGAAAAGCCAGAAGCCAAUUAACCUGCGGAGAGGGAUGGAGGGACAACAAGCAAGCCGGGCAGAAGUCAGCCGUCUGGUGUGUGUGUGUGUAGAGGGAGUGAGGAGAGAUGCAGCGUUGAAAAACACCUGGAUGAUAUAACAACAACAACAACAACUUAUUUAUACCCCGCCCAUCUGGCUGGGUUUCCCCAGCCACUCUAGGUGACUUCCAACACAAUAUUAAAAACAGUACAGUGGUACCUCGGGUUAAGUACUUAAUUCGUUCCGGAGGUCCGUACUUAACCUGAAACUGUUCUUAACCUGAGGUACCACUUUAGCUAAUGGGGCCUCCUGCUGCAGCUGCGCCGCUGGAGCACGAUUUCUGUUCUCAUCCUGAAGCAAAGUUCUUAACCCAAGGUAAUAUUUCUGGGUUAGCGGAGUCUGUAACCUGAAGCGUAUGUAACCCGAGGUACCACUGUAAUGCCUCAAACAUUAAAAGCUUCCCUAAACCUGUAGGCACCCUGAAAUAUACUCGGAGUCGAGAGUGGAUUUCAUGCUCUUUAUUCAGUUCAUAGGAGUGAGGAAUGGAAGUUCCCCCAGAAUGUCUGCUUUAUAUACAUUAGUUACGCAAUGAGUCGCAUGUGAUUGGCUAAUUCCGGGAUUCUCCUGUAGGCCAAUCAGGUUGCGGAUUCACUUCCACCUGGAGCUGGAUUGGGUAGCUCAUGUGGACCAAUCAGACUGCUGCAUUCUGGACCCUAUUGUUCUAGGACCAAUCAGACUGCUGCCUUUUGGAUCCUAUUCAACUCAGUACAUAACACCCACAAACAACAGAAAGGCAUUUUCUUCUGGCAUUGGCACCCUCUUGGCUGCAGGGGUUGGCAGAAGGAGGCGCCAUCCAACCGUUUUAGGGACUCUGCUCUGGAAUUGUCCAGAGUAUUUUACUCCUGAGGAUUUUCUUCUCCCAAAGUUGUCCCUCAAGGCAGAGGAGCUUUAGGAUCUGAGUUUUUCCUUCUCCUAGAUGGGCUCCCUUUCCAGGAGGGAUGAGCUCCUGAGCAACAAAAAGACCAGGAUCUGGAGAAGACACCACGAAUAUCACGGCCUAGGACCCUCGUACCUACGGGACCGCCUCUCCCGGUCUGCCCCACAGAGGACCUUAAGGUCCAUAAAUAGCAACACCCUAGUGGUCCCGGGCCCUAAGGAAGUCAGAUUAGCCUCAACCAGAGCCAGGGCCUUUUCAACACUGGCUCCGGCCUGGUGGAACGCUCUGCCUCAUGAGACCAGGGCCCUGCAGGAUCUGAUUUCUUUCCGCAGGGCCUGUAAGACAGAGUUGUUCCACCUAGCCUUUGGCUUGGAAUCAACUUGAUCCCCUUUCCCUCUUUUCUCCCUUUCCCUCUUUCCUCUUUCCUUUCUCUUUCUGUGAUGGAACUCCUAUUUGGGGACUUCCCUGGCUUUUUUCUGGCCCAUGUAGGACCAGGCUGGAUAGUUAGCCUUGGUGAAGACUUGACGUUUUCAUCCCCAAAAAAGUUUUUGAUUUGAGUUUCUACUGAAAUGAGGCUGCAUUUUAAGGUUGUAUUUUAAUCUUGUUUUUUAAGUUGUAUUUUAAUCAAUUGUUUUUACACCGGGUGUUAGCCGCCCUGAGCCCGGUCUUGGCUGGGGAGGGUGCGGUAUAAAUAAAUUGUUUUUUUAUAUUAUUAUUAUUAUUAUUAUUAUUAUUAUUAUUAUUAUUAUAUCUCCUUCUCUUGAAAGGUGUUGUUAAAUCUCCUCCUAGGGCAAAGAUGAUAUUGAUACAAAGGUAAAAGGUAAAGGGACCCCUGACCAUUAGGUGGAGUCAUGACCGACUCUGGGGUUGCGGCGCUCAUCUCGCUUUAUUGGCCAACGGAGCCGGCGUUCAGCUUCCGGGUCAUGUGGCCAGCAUGACUAAGCCGCUUCUGGAGAACCAGAGCUGCGCACGGAAACGCCGUUUACCUUCCCGCCGGAGCAGUACCUAUUUAUCUAUUUGCACUUUGACAUGCUUUUGAACUGCUAGGUUGGCAGGAGCAGGGACCGAGCAACGGGAGCUCACCCCGUCGCAGGGAUUCGAACCGCCAACCUUCUGAUUAGCAAGUCCUAGGGUCUGUGGUUUAAGCCACAGCGCCACCCGCGUCCCCUAUUGAUACAAAGCUGGCGAAAAAUUGGUUUUCUCUGAUGAGGUGCUCUUGCCUGAGACCCAAUGACUUGGUGGUGAAAUACUUGGGACUGUGCUACUCCUAAAACGAAGGAAGCUCAACAAAGGCUGGUUGGAACAAAAUGGCAUUGGCAAGGGCAUCAGGGAAGGGGCAAGGUGGACCUGCUUAGGCAGGGAGCACCACACAGCCUUGGCACGAAUGCCAAGGCAGUCAUCUCUCAUGUCCCACCCUUCAGAUGCUGGAGUACAAACUCCUUAGCAGAUCUUCUUGCACAAACAGGGCUUCCUUUUUGGUGGGAUUCUCUUGCCACCUUCUUGUUGUGAUGGCAUUCCGUUUGCUACGAUUCCCACCGCUCCCUCGAGCUCCCGUCCUCCUUGCCCCGACAUGGCAGGCAGGCAUCCUUCCUAAUCUUCCAGGAGCCCUUUCGCCCGGCGGGGACCGUCAGGCGCAUGAUAGACUCGAAUCGCCCAGGCGGCGCCAUCCAUCAACCGCUCUCGGGACAGCUGUCAGCAAGGCUAAUCAGCAGGAAGGAGAUGCUCCACUCCUGACAUCCCUGCUGGCUCCAGAGGCUUCUGGGAUAGCCAGUUUGCUCGCCGGGUCUUGAGGAAACAAAGACGACUGCUGACAGGGAGGAACAUCUGACAGGGAGCCACGUCGGAUGUGGCGCAGCUCCGGGGCAUGAAGAUACCAGUGCCUGCCUCCCCGUGUCCUUUCCAGUCGGCUUUCCUCAGCUUCUUCCCUUUCUGUUAUUAAAGGAGACAGCAGAGCGGAAUCACAUGCACCCUAACCUGUACUCAUUUGUUUAGUAACUGCAUUUAUUGCCUACUUUUUCCUCCAAACAGCUCAAACUGGCCUGAACAUGGUUCUCCUGCUUAUUUAAUCCCCACAACACCAACCCUGUGAGGUAGGUCUGGCUGUGUUGUAAACAAAAAUUUCCCUUUUCCCUUAUGGGGUAUCCAAGAGCCCAUAUAGAGUCCUUACAUAGGUUCCCUAUUGGUAGGAGGGAAUAACAGAGGCCAACCAGAGAAUAUUGAGAAGCAAAGCAGCUAGUAAGCUUGAUCUUUAUUGAUCUGUUGCAACAGGGUGCUCCCCUCACCCGCAGGAGAGAGGAGGGACCCAGAAAAAUGGCACGCAAGGCCUUAUAAAGACUUUUGAAAUUGCCACCCUGUAGAUCAAGACCACCCCCAGAAACAUCAUACAUACAUCACAGAAGGGUGUAACCUAAGACCACCCCUCAGAUACAUCACACCUACAUCACAGGAAAGGCGGUCUAAAACAGAAAUUUGAAUAUUGUUUUUCUCCUGUUGUUGUUUAUCUCCUGUCUGGCAGGUUACUUGAUUGGAUUGCCUGGGGAGCCUGGCCAGUCUUUUGUAGUGAUAAAUACUUAGUUCCUGGGCCAGGUCACAGGCUCACACCCUAUUCAUAUCUUAAAGGUGCCCUUAAGACAGGAUUUGAGAGGAAAGAGAAUGGGGAGGUUUCCCACUUUGACCUUGCAGAGAAAACAUUGGCUCAGUUUAGGAAUCAAAAUGGUUCCAGGUCGGUCUUCCUGUGCUGAUCUAUGUACGUGCUUGGUUGGUACGCUUAUGAACAUUACCAUAUAUCUAAGACCUCAAAAUUCCUAUCACAGCUGCGAGAAGACUGUGACUGGGCCAAAGUCACCCAGUGAGCUUCAAGGCUGGGGGCGGGAUUUAAAACCUGGUCGCCCAGGUCCAACACUCCAACCACUAUGCCGCACUGUCUCCCACUACACUGCCAUGGCAGGCCAAAUGUAUACCACGUGACCAGAAGCAUCUCUCUUUUUUCUUGUAUCCAAAAAUGCAAGAAGGGCUUUUACACUUGCCAGAAGCUCAGCUCUGCCUUCGCUGGUCUUGGAAGGAUCCUUUGAAAAAGUCCCAUAUGACCAGAGAAUUUGCGCCUGUCCACUGGGGGCUUUAGGAAGCCCUGAACACAUAUUUUUUUAGAUGUCCUUUUUACGACGUAGAGAAACCAUUGACCCCCUGCUGGGGAGGCUUACUGACCUCCCGGUAAAGCAAAAAUUCGAUCUUCUCCUGUUAGGCAAAGAGGACCCGGAUUGUCGCCAGAUUCUGCGCAUACAUCUGUAGGCGCAAGACCACCCCCCGUUUCAAUCUAGUUUGUUAAGAAAAUUCCCAAACCCGGACCCAUGGGCAACUUUGGGUCACUUCUCUAAGGUAGUCUAUUUUAAAGUUUUAUGAGUUUAUAUGCCUAUCACACUUUUAAAUUUAAAAUCUAUUGUUGUAUAUUGUUUUAAAUGUUUGUUUUGCUACUGGGAUUGUAGUUCCACCUUUGUUUUUCAAGCUGGUCUCUGACCGUAAUAAAUUUCAUGUUUAUGUACCACUUGUGACAAAAUUGUUAUUUUUUUCUGUUUCGUAAAACUUAUUCACUGCUUGGCUGCAAUUUUUUUAAAAAAACCCCCCAAAAGGUUUGCAGAGGGAAUAAGGAAAUAAAAAGACUGAAAAUGGUAGGAUUUGAGUAAUGCUUGCGAUGUUCAGAAAACUAUGGAAAAAUGGAUUAUUUUUCUAUAAAAAUUAGAGAAAAUAAGGGAAGCAGUUGGGAAAAAAGACUGAUAAUGGUAACCUUGGAAGGGCGGAGGGAAAUCAGUGAAUUCAGGGAAUCCUAAAUGAUGAUGUGGAUGUAAAACUUAAUAAAAUAUAUUUAAAAGGAAAAAAAGAGAAAAUGGUAUUUAACUAUUUGAAACGUUAAGAAAAACUAAAACCAGUGAUAAACAGAUCAAAGCACAUGCCAAUAUUUUACAUAUCCAGGUUGGCUUGUAAAAACAAAAAAGUUUUAAGCUGAUCAACCCCCUUGGAAGGUGGUGGGUUCUGUUUCGUUGGAAGGUGUUGGACGGCCAUUUGUCAGGCGAUUUUGCCACCUUCCCCAGACUUAGCCUGACGUUCCACCAAGCGGCGAUUAAGAAUUAACCUCCUGAACAAUCCUAGCAUUGAUGGAAGCGGGAUGUGUCUCCUCCUCAUACAGCUUAACGGGACAUUAUCUUCUUCUGCCUGAAGAAUUAGUGAAGGUACAUCUCUACGUCAACUGAGCUUAGGCCACCAACUCCUGAAGGAUAAUGGAACUAUCUGAACAGUUUCCAAGAGCCACAGGUCAGUGGGAGGACAUCAGUUUCACAUGCAGGAGGCCCCGGAUUCGAAUCCCACCAUCUUGAGGACUUUUCAUGAAACCUUGGAGACACACUGCCAAUCCUGAGCUGGGUGGACCAGCGGUCUAACUCAGUGUAAACCCUGUGGACUGGAAUCUUGCUUGAUCUUUGGGGGAAGAGUCCUAGUGUCAGGUGCUGUUGCUGUUGCUCGAGAGUAACCAGGCAGGACUCCGACCUGUCUUUUACAGGCUUUAUUUUGGUGCGAACUAUUUACAGUGAGGGACGCGGGUGGCGCUGUGGGUUAAACCACAGAGCCUAGGGCUUGCCGAUCAGAAGGUCGGUGGUUCGAAUCCCCGCAAUGGGGUGAGCUCCCGUUGCUCAGUCCCUGCUCCUGCCAACCUAGCAGUUCGAAUGCACAUCAAAGUGCAAGUAGAUAAAUAGGUACCACUCUGGUGGGAAGGUAAACGGCAUUUCCAUGCGCUGCUCUGGUCCACCAGAAGCGGCUUAGUCAUGCUGGCCACAUGACCCGGAAGCUGUACGCCGGCUCCCUCGGCCAGUAAAGCGAGAUGAGCGCCGCAACCCCAGAGUCGGCCGCAACUGGACCUAAUGGUCAGGGGUCCCUUUACCUUUUAUUUACAGUGAAGAGCAUCGUUAGUUCAUGUCUGGCUCAAUCGCUAGCAGAAUCCGGGAGUGGUCUGUUUUUGUACCUCCCCCAACAUAAAAGUUUCGUCACCCCCAGCCUUUCCCGCCUUUCCCUGUGCCUCAAACUAUUGCGCAUGAUGGACGAUGGCAGGGACAUGCUUCCCUCCUCUCUGGCUUGCUCAGGCGCGGUGUUAAGGCUCUUACUAGCAUCCUCUGGUCCUUGCACCUCUUCUCCACUGGAGGUGGGGCUUUCCUCCUCGCCGGAAGAGGAAUUGCUUCGCAAGAUUUUCGGAGGUUCCCUGUAAUACAACUGCCCCUCUGUCUCUCGCCUCUGAGCCGAUGGCAGUUCCCUGACACCUAGCUAGAUAGAGCAACAGCCUGACGUAGGCUGAAGGCAUCUGGGAUGGGGAAUGAAGAGCACAACACAGAAGUGAGUCCAGUUGGAAAACUUCUCGUUGGCACAAAGGUGGCACGGCUUUGCUCGGUCUGACUUCUUGACCGUUGUUGACAAGCGAGAUGCCACCAUCGUCUGCAUUGCAAUGACCAAGAGGCUUUUCCGUUUCACGUCCUGUGUCGGGAGCCUGUUCCACACCUGGUGGCUGCAAUUGCUUUGCUUGGCCUACAUAUCUCUUUCGUGUCUGAUUUAUUAGAGAGGUUGUGCCAGUUGCCAACGCUCCGGAACCGAAACACCCAUCAAAGGUUUAAGAGCCUAAACGGGUGUUAAUUAGCUCAGCGGGGAAGCCGUAGUUUCAAAUGAGGUUUAUCUCCGAAACUACUAUUAAGUUUGACAAUGCAAAGCGAUAAAUUCUGGGGCUUUAAUUCGAGCGUUGCCUAGUCAGACAGAUUAGGGGUCUUAUCCUGCGGCUUAUGUGUAAAUAACCGUCAACUUCAGGCGCUGAUUUGAUGGGAUAAAAGACUCUAAUUGGGGCAGAGAUGGGUAGGCUAGAUGGUCUUUUAGUCUCCUGAAACUAUAUCAUUCUCUGCAGCUUGAGUGGUGGGAUAGAGACAGUAAUUGAUUUGGGCCCAGUGCGGAUAGCUGCUGCUAAUGUAUGUGUUUAUCUUUAUCAUUUUACAUUGCAAUGUGGUCCGUCCCAAAACACAUUGUGUUUUGGGGCAACCCCAAGAUUCCUUGGAUAUUUAGCAGAGAUUCCUGACAAAUAUUAAUAGCAAGUGUCAAGCUUCCUUGUGAACGCCAGGACACCUGCUAAGAGCAGCAACCUGGACUUGGGAUCUGACCUGUGUGAGGAAGGACUUGAAGGUCCAUUGAGACCAGAGGUAGAGGGGUUGGAAAUCAACCAGCGAUAAAACUCCGAGCUCCCAAUGGCUUGGGAGUCCAUGAACCAGGGACCCCAGACUUGGGACUCCAGAGUCUGUAUGCACUGAGGAACUGAACAGAUCCACACCAGGAACCUGCACCCCUGUUAACUCAGCCAAAGAGCCUGGAGGGGAUUCUGCAGGGAUGAGGAGGACUGGAAGCAAAGAGGUCUACUCUUUUAAGGCCACAGAAGGGGCAGAGGCUAGGAGGGGUGAUCUGGAUCUUGGAGCAUAAAGAGCUUCAGGCCUCGCCUGCACUUCCAUUUGCUCCACGGCUUCCGCCCUGAGAAAACCAGCGGUUUAGCGCUGAAUCAGAGCAAAUGGCAACUGGGUUUUCCACAGACUGCAGUUUGUUCUGGGAUUUUUAAGCAGAAGUGGCGGGGGAGGGGGAAAGGCAUCACCCCUGAGAUCCCUGCCCAGAAAGCGGAAGUGUGGACGAGCUCUUAGUUCAGUCCUAGGGACGCUGGUGGCGCUGUGGUCUAAACCACUGAGCCUUGGGUUUGCCAAUCAGAAGGUUGGCAGUUCGAAUCCCCGUGACGGGGUGAGCUCCCGUUGCUCGGUCCCUGCUCCUGCCAACCUAGCAGUUCAAAAGCACGCCAAAGAGCAAGUAGAUAAAUAGGUACUGCUCCGGCGGGAAGGUAAACGGCAUUUCUGUGCGCUGCUCCGGUUCACCAGAAGCGGCUUAGUCCUGCUGAAUCGUUCGCAACUGGACUUAACUGUCAGGGGUCCUUUACCUUUAGGUAUAGUUGGCAGUGAGAGAUUUUACUUUCUUGGGCUCCAUGAUCAUUACAGAUGGUGACAGCAGUCACGAAAUUAAAAGACGCCUGCUUCUUGGGAGAAAAGCGAUGACAAACCUAGACAGCAUCUUAAAAAGCAGAGACAUCACCUUGCCAACAAAGGUCCGUAUAGUUAAAGCUAUGGUUUUCCCAGUAGUGAUGUAUGAAAGUGAGAGCUGGACCAUAAAGAAGGCUGAUCGCCGAAGAAUUGAUGCUUUUGAAUUAUGGUGCUGGAGGGGACACUUGAGAGUCCCAUGGACUGCAAGAAGAUCAAACCUAUCCAUUCUGAAGGAAAUCAGCCCUGAGUGCUCACUGGAAGGACAGAUCCUGAAGCUGAGGCUCCAGUACUUUGGCCACGUCAUGAGAAGAGAAGACUCCCUGGAAAAAACCCUGAUGUUGGGAAAGAUUGAGGGCACAAGGAGAAGGGGACGAUAGAGGACGAGACGGUGGGACAGUGUUCUCAAAGCUACCAGCAUGAGUUUGUGGGAGGCAGUGGAAGACAGGAGUGCCUGGCAUGCUCUGGUCCAGGGGGUCACGAAGAGUAGGACACGACUAAAUAACAAAUAGUUGGACAACGCUGGAACUGUCCUUGGUGCUGCAGCCACUGGGCUGCCUUGCUGGCUGCUCACUCAGAGCUGUCCAUGGUCCUGCCUUGCCGCCUUGCUCUGUCAGCUUCCAGGCAAGGCCUGAACAGAAUGAAGUGGCAUGGUCCACCAUUCCUUGCAAUAUGUAGCCACAAGGCUGUGUUGGAAAGUGUAUGUCCCCAUUGCAAGACGGUGGGGAGGCAAAACAUGCAGUCAGGUUCAUGUCUGUUUCCCAGUGGGACAUCUAGCUUGCCACUGUGAGAACAGGAUACUGGGCAAGAUGGGCCAUCGGCCUGAUCCAGCCACCAAGAUCUUCUUAUGUUCUGGUUGAUGUUUCUCUUCGCUGCUUCUGAGUUCAGGAAAAGUGGCUUAUGGAUCUUAAAACAAAAUAGAAUACAUUACUCUGGAUUUAUUGCCCCCAAGGGACAUGUUGGGUGUCAUAGAUCGCUCAUUAUUUCCCCUCAUACCAUUUGUUGUUGCUGUUUAGUCGUUUAGUCGUGUCCGCCUCUUUGUGACCCCCUGGACCAGAGCACGCCAGGCACUCCUGUCUUCCACUGCCUCCUGCAGUUUGGUCAAACUCAUGCUGGUAGCUUCGAGAACACUGUCCCACCAUCUCGUCCUCGGUCGUCCCCUUCUCCUUGUGCCCUCCAUCCUUCCCAACAUCAGGGUCUUUUCCAGGGAGUCUUCUCUUCUCAUGAGGUGGCCAAAGUAUUGGAGCCUCAGCUUCAGGAUCUGUCCUUCCAGUGAGCACUCAGGGCUGAUUUCCUUAAGAAUGGAGAGGUUUGAUCUUCUUGCAGUCCAUGGGACUCUCAUACCAUAACCCCUGUCAAAGAGCUGGGGCUCCCCCCCCCUUGAUUUUGUUUUAUUUAUGUAUUUCCCCCCCUGCCUUUUUCUCCACGGAGCUCAAGGUGGUGUGCAUGGGUUGUCCUCCUCCUCAUUUAGCCCCCCACAUCAACCCUGUGAGGAAGAUUAGGCUGAGAGUCAGCGACUGCUCCAAGAUCGCCCAUGGUCAAGCAGAAUUUCGAACCCUGGUCCCCCAGGUCCUCCUGUGAUGCUCUAACCACUAUGCCACGCUGGCUCUCAAAGGGGAAGAUAAUGCAAUUGAUUCUUACAGAGCAAUUGAUGCAUGCCUUCUCAGAAGUAAGCCCCACGGGAUUUAAUGGGGCUUGCUCGUGGGCAAGUGUGCCUAGGAUUAAGUGCAGCCUUGCAGGAAUUAAACCUGAAAAAGGCAGUGGGGGGGGGGAGGGAGGGGGGAGAACCUGCUUGAGCGGCGAGCGUUGAAAAUGGACUGGAAUGGAGCAUGAAGCCGCAUUGUGAUGGGGUGCUAUUAAAGGUUGCUUUGGCGUUUACGGAAAGUGGAAGAGAGAUAAGGAGGUUUCACUGGGCCGCUCUGCCGCUCAUCCUUUGGCGAUAAUUUCUGCUGAUAGGGGCUGCAACGCAGGCGUGCCGGAACCUUAUUUCCUCCGCUGAGCUUUGGGGAUCUGUAUCUGUCCACGUGUAAAUAAAACAGGUGUAUGGAUUUCGCUCAGUGCUGCAUCGAUCCUGAAUGUUUAAAAGGGAGUAGGAGAGUUUGUCAUAAGAGUGUUUGCAGAGGCGGGGGGGGGGGACGGGGACAGAGGGGACGGGGACAGAUCCUUAGCAAAGGGGGUGGGGGAGCAAACCUAAGUUAAGGCCAUCUCCAAACAGUGAUUGUUGUUGUCACUGUCUGGUUCACGGGUGAUUGAAGUCCCGGCUGAGGAUGUCAGGACCGGGGGCAAGAUGGCGGGAUGGGAGCAGGAACGGGAGUCCAGAAGCCAGGAAGCCAAGGGUCCGAGGGUCAGGAAGCAAGGAGUCACGAAGUCGGGGGUCUGAGGAUCAAGAAGCAAGGAGUCAUGAAGUCAGGGAUCCGAGGAUCAAGAAGCAAGGAGUCACGAAGUCAGGGGUCCGAGGAUCAAAAAGUAAGGAGUCACGAAGUCAGGGGUCCGAGGAUCAAGAAGCAAGGAGUCACAAAGUCAGGGGUUUGAGGAUCAAGAAGCAAGGAGUUACGAAGUCUAGGGUCCGAGGAUCGAGGAUCAAGGUGUCAAGGAGUCAAAUGCAGCAAGGCAGGGAACAUGUUGCUGUGGCAAAGAGCCAAAGGGAAAUGCUGACUUUAUAUCCCUUCCCGGCUCUUGCCAUCAGGUGCUGUGAGUUACCAAUCGGCCUCACCUGUGCGGCCGCGCCUUGCCUCUUCAGAACAAACUUAGGAAGGCCCCAGUCCUGCAAAGUCCUACUGGUCACAGGACCAGGCCCCUGCAUGCACUCCUGACAGUUGUGGGACAGCUGGAUGCUGAGGAGUGGUGGGAGGCACUAGUUGGGGAACCCCCAAGGGAAGAAGGCUCAGAGUCAGAAGGGGUGGGACGACAAUGAGUACUCAGAGGGAAGAGAGGAAGCAGACUGGGAGGAGGAGGUGUCGGAAGCUGAAGAGGCAACAGGCCUUAGUGAGCAGGAAGAGUGUGUGGCAGAGAGCAGUCCAGACUCAGAGCCAGGAGAGGAGACAGAGAUGAGGCAGGCUGCUGAAGAAGCCAGGGAGUCUCCCGCUCCUACUGGGGCCAGAUGCAGUCUCCAAUUGCUUGGAAAAUAUCCUGGAGAGGAAGGGAAUUAGGCAACUGUGGGACGGCGGGAACCUUCAGCAGCCACAACUGCCUCACAGGGGCAAGGCUUACCAGGACAAGUUGCUGUGCUCGCUAGGCCUGGCCUCCUGAGUCAACCAUGUCCCCUUGAAUAAAGAGUUAACUUCAGUGACGCCGUGUGGUUUCUUGCCAAGCUGCUCCUGACUCCUGCUCCUGACAGGAGGUAGCAGACCCGGCCUCCAAAGGAGUAGGCCAUAGCCAUUGCUCCAACCACAACAGCAGCAGUGGGUGAUACAUUCCUUCAGGCUGGAUCUCCUUCCCUGUGGAUCCCACCACCGAAGGCACUUGCUAAAAUAUUGCUUGUGGCUGGGCCACCCCGAUGCUGACGGGGUCUCACCUGAAACACGAUGCAAUCGGACAAUCCCGUUAGAAACACAGCGGACUCAGGCCAAGAGUUAGAGGAACCGUGUCUUUGAAAGCUGGUGAGAUGCCAAAACAGAUUUUUGCUGGUUUCCAAAUGCACCUCUCUCUCUCUAUAUAUAUAUAUCUAGGACUUUCAUGUUUUCAAGGCUGAUCCCAUGUUGGUGGGGUCUAAAGCCCAGAACACAUCUUUGUUUUGCUUUUACAACCGCGAAAACAUGCGCGCCAAACUCUGCUCCCAAUUUACUCAGGCUAUUGUAGUGUCGCAGCUGAAAAUCCCCUCGCCUGCAAAGUCUAUCUUCCUCUUUUCUCUGCCUCUUUUUAAACUUAAAUUUCUUUUGGACCUAGUGAUAACAUAAAUGCUGGAUGAGGGGAGAGGGGGGGAGAUCCAGGAGAGAGGGAAAUGAAUGGCACCUUCACAGAGCCUCUGCUUCUCUCUCGCCGACACAAUACCCACUUGCUAGAAUAGAGCAUUUUUCUCGCUGGCUUAGACACACAAACGCCGUUGCCGUGCAAAGUUUCCCGAUACAAAAUUGGCACCCAGCGGACAAUCCGUUGGGUUUAAACGCUUCCUUUGUUAUAACAAACUCAGUAGCAGCUGAGAAUGUAUUUCCCCCCCCUCCCCUCCCUUCUUUUUUUUGGGGGGGGGGCUGGAGGCUUUUUGUAAAGGCAGCCUGUGCUGGUUUUUCUUAGGCUGUGAUGCAGCUCACUCCAGCCAUAGAAGGAAGGCUGUGAUGCAAACAUUUUCUCCUGUUCCACUGGAUCCCUCUCUCUGUGGCACCCCAGCAGCAACAGCCCCAGUACAUUAAAAAUUAGGGAGAGAGUUUUGCAAAUCAGGGGGUGGGGCAGCCCAUUGUGAGGAAGAGAGGUGAGCUGAGUCCCACAUUAGGUACAGGGGAUUCAAUUCAGUUUAUGUUGAAAGGCAAAACUCUCUCAUUUCUUCUUCUGAAGCAAACCCAAAUGCAGACGCCGUUCCAAAUUUGCACCUCUGUGAAUUUUGCAAUGCAUCUCUUCAGCUGAGGAAUGUCUACCAAAAAAUAAAUAAAAAUGCGUCUGCUAGGAGAAAAUGUGCGUGAAAGGCGUCAUAUCUGGGGGAUUUGCUUCGCCAAAUUGCAUCUAUAACCACCAGAAGACACUCAGAGCUGGACCUCAGUGUCUGGACUGAACAAUGGGGGUGGAAAUAAUAAUAAUAAUAAAGUCUAGUAGCACCUUAAAGGUAAAGGGUAAAGGGACCCCUGACCAUUAGGUCCAGUUGUGGCCGACUCUGGGAUUGCGGUGCUCAUCUCGCUUUAUUGGCCGAGGGAGCCGGCAUACAGCUUCCGGGUCAUGUGGCCAGCAGGACUAAGCCGCUUCUGGCGAACCAGAGCAGCGCACGGAAACGCCGUUUACCUUCCCGCCAGAGCGGUACCUAUUUAUCUACUUGCACUUUGAGGUGCUUUCGAACUGCUAGGUUGGCAGGAGCAGGGACCGAGCAAUGGGAGCUCACCCCGUCACGGGGAUUCGAACCGCCGACCUUCUGAUCGGCAAGUCCUAGGCUCUAUGGUUUAACCCACAGCGCCACCCGCGUCCCUGCAAAUCGUUUAGAGGCGGCUUAAAAAAAAAAAGCGGUAUAUAAAUUUUGCCAAAUAAACAAGCAGCAAGGAAAUAAUUCUGUACAGCACCAUCAGGCCACUGGCAUCCUCAAAGGAGAAUUAAUGCUCACCAGCAGAUAUUUUUCUUCCAAGAAUUCUGCUCUGGUUUCCCCCCCGAUCUCCAACACCCACACAGCCUCCAAUUCCAACCCUGCGUAGGGUUUGUGAUAUAUCGUGUGUAAAAAUAGAUUAUAUAUAUAUUCUUUGGAAAACACGCACUUACAAGCGAGGGGGAGGGAAAAUAUAUUCUGCACAUCACAUUUAUCUUUACAACUUCUUACCAUCCUUUGUCAGUUGACACUUAUUAACCCUCCUCCGGGCUCAUUAUCUCAGGGCAAGAGAUAAACAAGAAAGGCUUUUGCGCUGUCAAGCUGAGAGUUUGCUCUGGCAUAGGGACAACGGCUGGGGCAGCAAAUGGCAGGUUUCUCUGUGCCCAUCUCCCCCAACUCAUUGCCCCCCUCCCAAACCCCCUCUCUAUUCACAACUCUUUCUUUUCAAACAAUAACAAUUUCGGCGGUGCCCAACCAAAGUCUACUCGCGGUGGAGCCGUUGAAAUGAACGGGCUGAAGUUAGUCGUUCCCACGAAUGGCAAUUGGUCUGCUCUUAGAAGGACUGACAUUGGACGCAACCCUUUCUUUAUUUUGUUACCGGAAAAAUCCGAGGGCUCCCUUGGACAAAAACAAAGACACCAACCAGGAUAACUUGGAGGAAAACAGCAGCCUGUAGGCUUGGCCUUUAUUGAACUGUUGCAACAGGGUGUUCCCCUCACUUGCAGGAGAGAGGAAAGACCCAGAAAGAUGGUGUGCAAGACCUUAUAAAAACUUUUGAAAUUCCCAUCCUCUAGGUCAAGCCCACCCCCAGAAACAUCAUGCAUACAUUAAAGAAAAGAGGGGUUGAGGGAGGAGUUGUGUGGUAACCUGAGUGUCCUGUCACCUGGCUGGUUCCUCCUUUCCCCCUGCCCAUGAGUCACUUCCAGGAGACAAAGGGGAGUUGGCAGUUUCCUGCCCCCAGAGGGAAGAUCUGAUCAUUGUCCUUUCUUUCAGUCCAUGCUGAAUCCACUCCCAUAUGCAAGUUCUUUGUGAUCUUGAUGGUCUUCUGUCUAGGACCAUCAGGGUUGGCAUAGCAACUGGGCAGGGCUCCUGUGGAUGUGCUGGGAUGGUGAAGGGAUUAUGGCUGACCAGAACCAAGCCACCCCCCUUUGAUAGUCCUUGUCAUAUGGAGUAAAAUAAAAAUGGAACAGUGCAAAUCCGAUGUAUGGUUGAUUUUUCUAUGAAUUUAUAACAGAAGUGUGGCAUAUGUAGUGUGUGAGUGUGAGUGUGUGAAGUUUGUACAAACUGAAUGAUUGGGGUGGGGGGUUCCUGCUACAAUUUUAAAGAAUAAAACAGAACUAGGCGUCUUUUAAGGGACGCGGGUGGCGCUGUGGGUAAAACCUCAGCGCCUAGGACUUGCUGAUCGUAUGGUCGGCGGUUCGAAUCCCCGCGGCGGGGUGAGCUCCCGUCGUUCGGUCCCGGCUCCUGUCCACCUAGCAGUUCGAAAGCACGUCAAAGUGCAAGUAGAUAAAUAGGUACCGCUUUAUAGUGGGAAGGUAAACGGCGUUUCCAUGUGCUGCGCUGGUGCUGGCUCGCCAGAGCAGCUUCGUCACGUUGGCCACGUGACCCGGAAGUGUCUCUGGACAGCGCUGGCCCCCGGCCUCUUAAGUGAGAUGGGCGCACAACCCUAGAGUCAGACACGUAUGGGCAGGGGUACCUUUACCUUUACCUAGGCGUCUUUUGGAGUCAUAGGGAAUAUGUCACAUUGUGUGAAUUUUCUUUGGAGUGCGAGCAUGACCUAACCUGCCACCCCCCUUGCCCUAAUCUUGUCUCCUCAGCCAUUGGACCCCAAAGCUGCAAACUCCAGAGUCUGCCCCACACAAGGAGGGGAGGGGAGGAAAAGGUUGCUGAAUUGCUUUUGACUUUGACUGCCACGGUCUGUGUUUUUGUGGUUUGUUUGCAGUUUUGAUCAUAUCGCGCAAUGUGUUGGCUGUGAUUGCGUUGUUUUGUGGUGGCGGUUGUUGGUGGUGAUUUGGGGGGGCUGAAUGUGUGGUUCGCGAUUGGUUGUGGCAACCUCUGUUUCUGCCCCUCGCAAAAACUCUCUGUGCAUGCACAAGUGACUAUCACCAAUGGGAACUACCAUUUGUCCCCCAAAAUAGCUUGGUGGAUACUGCUACCCAGUGUACCUCUAUCAAGAGAGCCAGUGUGUUGUUAAGGGUGUUGGACUAGGACCUAGGAGACCAGGGUUCAAAUAGCCACUCAGCCAUGAAGCUCACUCAUCCUAAGCCACCUUGUGAGGAUUAGGUAUUGGAAUAAAAAUUGUCAAGACCCAGAAAUAUGAUUCAAAAGCUUAACUCACAAAACUUUCUUCAGAACAGAUACAAAAACAAACCAAUGACACAUCCAAAUAGCUGAAUAAUAUCAUGUGCAUGUACAGCACAGGUCCACCUUCUUAUAAACUUGAAAUAACUCCAAACAGACCUAAAAUCAGACUCCCAUUAGUUUGGAGCUGUUUCCUCUCAAGGAGAGACCUCAAUAUCACAUCUUUUGUUCUCUCUGGCUUCUAGAGAAAGACUCAGAAGACAAACUCCCCAAGAUGGCGACUUGCAACUGAAUAACCUGUCAUGUGACCUAAAGUUAAACACCACGUGAGAGAGCAGAGCAGUUAACAGUUAAUCAUCGACCCACCAGGCACCCUGAGAGCUCUUCGUAGCUUCAGUGGAAUUUUCCAUGUUAGCAGUACAAAUAUAGGCAUACACAGAGUUAUUUUCCAUUUCAGUGUAAGUAUAAUUGCUUUAUUUAACAUUAAGAAAUAAGGCAAGGGGAGAACCGUGUACUCCUCCUUGAACUCUUUGGAGGAAUGUGGGAUAGCAUGAUGCUAGGAUAAUGGCAGGGGGUGAUCUGUGGCCUUCCAGAUGUUGGCGGACUCCUGUUCCCUCCAGCCCUAGCAAGCAUGGGGAGUGGUCAGGAAUGAUGGGAGUUGCAGUCCUAUGGCACCUGGAGGGUUAAGAGUCACACAAAGGGGUUGAAAAAUGGCCGACAAUGAUGGGAGCGACCACCACUGGUAAGAAAGGCCAAUGAGAUUUUCACAUCAGCCUGAAAAUCUAUGAAAUUUUGCUAUCUUCAAACAGGUCAGUGGAAAAUAUAGGGGGCAUGGUAUUUUACAGCAACCCUAAAAUUUUGCCACAUAUUCUGUAGGGCUUUUCGACUUGGCUCGGGGCUUAUGCUUUUGUGCCUCCCACCCUUGCCAUCUCGCUUUGUUUUAAAGCAGAUUCUGAAACCGGUUUGAAACCAGAUUCGCUUUCAGGGCUCCCCCCACCCCUCUAGGAAAUGUUAGGAUUGUGAGGGCGGUGGAAAUCCUCUUGCGGAGAGAUCAGGGGCCCUUGGGAGACAGCAGUGUUGGUUAAACUGGUUUAGCUGUGGCAUGUAGACAUGCCUUAUGUAAAGGUAAAGGGACCCCUGACCGUAAGGUCCAGUCGUGGCCAACUUUGGGGUUGCAGUGCUCAUCUCGCUUUAUUGGCCGAGGGAGCCGGUGUACAGCUUCCGGGUCAUGUGGCCAGCAUGACUAAGCCGCUUCUGGAGAACCAGAGCAGCACAUGGAAAUGCUGUUUACCUUCCCGCCGGAGUGGUACCUAUUUAUCUACUUGCACUUUGAUGUGCUUUCGAACUGCUAGGUUGGCAGGAGCAGGGACCGAGCAACGGGAGCUCACCCCGUCGCGGGGAUUCGAACCACCAACCUUCCGAUUGGCAAGUCCUAGGCUCUGUGGUUUAACCCGCAGCGCCACCCGGUUCCCAACCAGACAUGCCUUAAUUCGCAUCAAAAAUCUGGCUGGGCCAUUUGGUUGCUCCCAAGGUCAUAUACAGAGUGACGGUGAGGUGUUACCUGGUGACAGACAGGGGGCAGUAGAGGGCCUUAAGCCCAGACUUCCUGCCCAAUUCUUUGUAUUGAGCUUUUGAUUCAUCUCUGAAAGGAGGACUCUCCCUAAAUGAAAAGAGAAAGGGAGAGGCAAGGAAGCCAUUAAUUGAUUCCUUGUUAAUUAACCUUUUGUGAACCCCUUGAAGACAUCUGAAAAUGGUUUUCUUUAGAGCACGGCUUAUCGCUGGAUUUAGGGGGAAGGUGCUCAUACCUUUAAAUCCACAAGGUCGGGAAAGGGGAGAGGACACAAACUUCCCUUCGCCGGGACAGGGACCCUUGACUGCCUCCCCUCGCUCUUUAACAUUAUUUAAUUUUAAUUUUAAUGGUUCUACUCGGAGUAUAACUAGAGUUGCAAACAGCCGCUUGUCUUGAAAUAGGUUCGGAGCAGGCAUUAGGGUUGACACCACCUUCAGAAGUCGCAUUUCCAUUGAUAAGAGGAAGAGAGCAAUUGGGCACAAGGAGGCUGUAUUAUUUCCUGUGUCCCUGUCCCUCAAUAAAUCUAAAUGGUAGGAAUGCCCUUUUUUCCUUCAGUCUGCUUUGCCACCUUUGAUUUUAUGGAGAGCAUUUUAUAGCCUGCCUUGUCACCAAAAGUGUCUCCCCCAAAUCAGUACUAUACCUGAAGGAGCGUCUCCACCCCCAUUGUUCUACCCGGACACUGAGGGCCUUCUGGCGGUUCCCUCACUGCGAGAAGCCAAGUUACAGGGAACCAGGCAGAGGGCCUUCUCGGUAGUGGCACCCGCCCUGUGGAACACCCUCCUAUCAGAUAUCAAGGAAAUAAACAACAGACUUUUAGAAGACAUCUGAAGGCAGCCCUGUUUAGGGAAGCUUUUAAUGUUUAACAGACUACUGUAUUUAACUGCCUGAACACUGAGGUCCAGCUUCAAGGGCCUUCUCGGUGGUGGCGCCUGCCCUGUGGAACGCCCUCCCACCAGAUGUCAAAGAGAACAACUACCAGACUUUUAGAAGACAUCUGAAGGCAGCCCUGUUUAGGGAAACUUUUAAUGUUUGAUGUAUUACAGUAUUUUAAUAUUUUUUUGGAAGCCGCCCAGAGUGGCUGGGGAAGCCCAGCCAGAUGGGCGGGGUAUAAAUAAUAAAUUAUUAUUAUUAUUAUUAUUAUUAUUAUUAUUAACAUACUUCAUGCUUAAUGCCUGAAAACAGACAUGACACAUGAGGAAAAAGUGGAGAGGAGGGAGGAGGGGGAACGCAAGCUCAGUUCUUAAAAGUUACUGUUCUUAGAAUGCAGUCAAUCACAAGAAUGAUGAAAUUAAAACAGUUUGGGAGUGAACUUGACGCCAAGGGGUAGGUGAGGGAGCUGGGGAUGUUUUGCCUGGAAAAGAGGAGACUAAGAGGAAAUAGGAUAGCCAUCUUCCAAUAUCUCAAGGGCCACCACAUGGAAGACGGAGCAGGCUUGUUUUAUCCUUCUCCGGAGGGUAGGAUUCGAACCAAUGGCUUCAAAUUCUGACUAAACAUCUGAGAAUCAGAGGAUCAGAGAUUCUUAGAAGACUGGAGGAAAUAUAUGAACUAUUUGAAAAGUACCGUAAUUGUGAUGAACAGAUUGCGCUAGUAGGACUGUGAAAAGUUUUGUAAGGUGGAUUAUUUGAAAUAUUGCAAGAAAGACUAUGAAGAGAAUUAUUAGUUAAGGGCAAUUAAAUGUAAUACAGAAAUUAAGAAAUGCAGAAUAAGUGAUAAAGAACGGGAAAUCGUCAGAGGUGUUGACGGAAGUCUAAAAUAUUGUAUAAGAUGAGAAGUUAUGUUGUAUGACUGUUGGAACUGAUAUGUUAAAAAAUCAAUAAAAAUGUGUGUAUAUAUGUAUGUGUGCAUAUACAGUGGUACCUAGGGUUAAGUACUUAAUUCGUUCUGGAGGUCCAUUCUUAACCUGAAACUGUUCUUAACCCGAAGCACCACUUUAGCUAAUGGGGCCUCCUGCUGCCGCUUCGCCGCUGGAGCACAAUUUCUGUUCUUAUCCUGAAGCAAAGUUCUUAACCCGAGGUACUAUUUCUGAGUUAGUGGAGUCUGUAACCUGAAGCGUAUGUAACCCAAGGUUCAGGUAAGGUAAAUGGACCCCUGACCGUUAGGUCCAGUUGUGGCCGACUCUGGGGUUGCGGCGCUCAUCUCGCUUUAUUGGCCGAGGGAGCCGGCGUACAGCUUCCAGGUCAUGUGCCCAGUAGGACUAAGCCGCUUCUGGCGAACCAGAGCAGCGCACGAAAAUGCCGUUUACCUUCCCACCGGAGUGGUACCUAUUUAUCUACUUGUACUGGCGUGCUUUCGAACUGCUAGGUGGGCAGGAGGCUGGCUUUGCUUUAGUGCAUCUGGUCAAUGGCUGUGAGAACAGGACGCUAGACUAGGCUGACCGUUGGUCUGAUCCAGCCAGCUCUUCUCAUGUUCUCAGUGGAUGGCCAGCACAGUCAACGACAAGGAAGACUUGUUUACUGUCUCCAAUGAUUGUCGUAAAACAGAAUAUCGAGAGGAAAUUAGGUUUACUGUGAUCGAGUUAAGCGCCACCGAUUCCUAGACUUCGCCUGACUCGUAAAAUUAAUGGCCGAAACAAGGCAAUGUGCACAUCGCUUGUGGGUGGGUGCGCCACACACCUCUCAAUCAAUGGCUCUAAUGGGGAGGAGGACUUGGACAGUUUGAUCGGGAGUUUUAUCGCCCUCCAGGAGGGUGCGGGAUGACUGGGACAUAGAAUGCUUCAAGGCUGGUCAAGGAAAGAGGCAGACCGUUUCCAAGCGGACGUCUCUGUCCACUUUGUAUCAAGUGAAAAAUGGAACUGCCAGCUGUUCACAUGCUGCUCACCGAAUGCAAAAAGCAUUGGAUGCAGACAAAGGUUAAGAACUUUGCUUCAGGAUGAGAACAGAAAUCGUGUUUAGUGAGAAGGGAGUGUCUGUGGCAGAGAGAAUAUUAUUAUUAUUAUUAUUAUUAUUAUUAUUAUUAUUAUUAUUAUUAUUUUAUUAUUUAUACCCCGCCCAUCUGGCUGGGCUUCCCCAGCCACUCUGGGCGGCUUCCAAAAAAACAUUGAAAUACUGCAAUACAUCAAACAUUAAAAGCUUCCCUAAACAGAGCUGCCUUCAGAUGUCUUCUAAAAGUCUGGUAGUUGUUGUUCUCUUUGACAUCUGGUGGGAGGGCGUUCCACAGGGCAGGUGCCACUACCGAGAAAACCCUCUGCCUGGUUCCCUGUAACUUGGCUUCUUGCAGUGAGGGAACCGCCAGAAGGCCCUUGGCGCUGGACCUCAGUGUGCGGGUAAAACGAUGGGGGUGGAGAUGCUUCUUCAGAUAUACUGGACCAAGGCCAUUUAGGGCUUUCAAGGUCAACACCAACACUUUGAAUUAUGCUUGGAAAUGUACUGGAAGCCAAUGUAGGUCUUUCAAGACCGGUGUUAUGUGGUCUUGGCGGCUGCUCCCAGUCCCCAGUCUAGCUGCCGUGUUCUGGAUUAGUUGUAGUUUCCGGGUCACCUUCAAAGGUAGCCCCACAUAGAGCGCAUUGCAGUACAUAAAGAAGAGCCUGCUGGAUCCGGCCAGGGGACCAUCGAGCCCAGGAUCCCGUUCUCAUUGUGGCCAACCAGAUCCCUGUGGGAGACCAGCAAGCAAGAUCUGAACACACGUGUCCCCUCCCCUCCUGUGGUUUCUCACAGUUGGUGUGCAGAAUGUGGGAUGGGAAACACAAGAGCAGUCAAGUACAACAUUCCUAGAGUGAACAUGUUUACACACGGGAAGGAUUUUUUGUCCUACGUUCUCCUACAAAUGGACCUUGAGCUUGUUUGGAGGUUCUAGCAGGGGAGCGCAGCUAUCGUAUACCCUUGACCGAAGAACGGUACACUCCUUCUAUCUGGGAUGGUCGUCCUCUUCCACCGAGCGCGCAGCUUCGGGAGGGACGCACAUGGAGCGGUGAGGGAGGAAGGGGAUACCCGCCUAGCCAGCCAGAUCAGCCAAAUCAACCCUGGCGAUCAAUGGGGUGACAGAUGUCGCAGCCAGAUCGCCCUCACAUCCAGCCAGCAGGUCAACUUCCUGUUUCCUUCUAGCCUGGGACAGACUUCCUCUGCAUGUGACUAGAGGUGGGCGUGGCCUCACCUGUGCAGGUAAUGACAAAAGCACAGGGCAGGGCAGCCAUCUCUCUCUUUUUGACUACAUGCAUUGAAGAAGCAACGUCUGCUUAGCCAAAGAUGCUCAGAGAGACUGUCUCUUUAUGGGAUAGUUUCCAGGUGUAUGUUACUUUUCUAAGCUAAGUCUGCCUUCUGGGAUCCGAUUGUGAACAGAAUGUGAGUAAACUCUUUUUAUACUUUUAUAGAAGACUGUGUCGUGUCUUAUCUUUUAUGAGGGAAUAAGGGGGAAAUACCGGAACAGUUAUUAUAGAGGCUUUGGCGAGCCUGAGCAAACGCAUCCGCUGCAAGUUUAAAAAGGGGAACGUUACUCUGCUAAAUUGUGAACUUGUUAACACAAGUUGGAAAGGCUAUAAUAAAACAACAUAUCCUCUCCUGCAUCCCUGAACAUUCCUACACAGAAGCAUUACUCCCUCCAACUGUGGUGGCAGAGCUGAGCCCUUGUGGCUGGUAGCCGCUGAUAACUCCAUGGGUAUUGACAUCAAUGUGUCAGGACCCAGUGUCAGGAGUGCGCCAACGUGAGUCAACUCUGUUUUAGAAGAAGCAAAGCUGCUCAGUAGUGCCAGGCCUAGUGAGCGCAGCAACUCUUCCUGGUAGAUCUUGCCCCUAUGAGGCUGUUGAGAGGACGGAAGGUCUCUGCCUUCCCACCGCUGCUUACGCUUUAGAGCUUUAUGCUUAUGCUUUAUGCUUAGAGCCAGUGUGGUGUAGUGGUUAAGAGCAGUGGACUCGUAAUCUGGGGAACCGGGUUCGCGUCUCUGCUCCUCCACCUGCAGCUGCUGGGUGACCUUGGGCAAGUCACACUUCUUUGAAGUCUCUCAGCCCCACUCACCUCACAGAGUGUUUGUUGUGGGGGAGGAAGGGAAAGGAGAUUUUUAGCCGCUUUGAGACUCCUGAAGGGGAGUGAAAGGCGGGAUAUCAAAUCCAAACUCUUCUUCUUCUUCUUCUUCUUUAUGAAAAUUUAAAUCUCUUAAAUCCUAUACCAAUCUUUAACAGUUUCAAUUAUUCCCUUCACCUCCCUCCCCCACAGCCCAGUUAUUAUUUUUUGUUAUUGUUGCGUUAUUCACUUUAUUUGUUAUUCCGUCCUUUAAUAUGUUAUUAUCCUAUCUCCUUGUGCCUUUUAAACUUUUGCAUAUUAAUUUUUAAGCUCCAGCACCAACUUUUUAAACGCGUUCCCACUCUUUAUUAUUUUUUUGAUUAGAGUAGCCUCUAAUUGAUGCUGUUAAUUUUGCCAUCUCCACGAAUUCCAGAAAUUUGAUUCUCCAUUCUAAUCAUUCUAAUCUAAUCCCUUAAAAAUCAAGUAAGGUACCAGUCCUCAUUGUUCUGAAGAAAUGGCUGGUUUUAAAUAGGGAGCUGCCUUAUACUGAAUUAGACCACUUGUCCAUCUAGUUUACUAUUGCUUUACUGACUGGCAGUGGUACUCCUCAGUCCUAUCUGACAGGUGCAAGGCACGGACUCUGCAUUUCCCAGUUUCACCUAUGCAAAAGGAAUAAUAUAUGCAACCACAUCCAAAAUCCUCUUAGAAGUGCUGGGACUGAGCCAAGGGAUUCCUACAGACAAAGAAAGCAUUGUUUUCCCACCCGCGCAUGAGAAACAGUGAUUGUGCAUUUCUCAACGAAGCCCUCCGCUGAAAUCUUCCGAGUAAACUGAGCGGCAGGAAGACAGGCAUGGAAAUUAAAGUACGGUCUAGCCUAAUCAAACAAACAAUUCCCUCUGUUUCUCGCGCACACACGGCAAGGUGUGCAGAAGCACACAAAACCUUCAGUAGGGGAAGACGUCAGGAUGGAUGAAACCUCCCCAAAACAGUGCAGUAAGGACUGAGCAUGCUCAGCGGGCAGAAAAUGCCCUCUGAGCGCUGCAGGGGAAGGGGCAAAUGAAAUGGAAUAUCCGGGUAGAGGGCUUGGCUGCCUGGCUGAAUGCAUUCGCGGUGCAUUGUUUUGUUGAGGCUGCUACUAAUCUGCUCUGAGUCUAAUCUGCUCGAAGAACCCCACACCAUAGCUCUUCUUCAACUGCAUAUUGGUCAGGGGUCAGGGGUCAUGGAAUUGUUGAAUUGGAAGGGACCCCAAUGGUCAUCUAGUCUAUAUCAUAAUAUUUAUUGGCAUUUUCAUUUUCAAAAAUCACCAUGUGUUUUAAAGUACGUUAUACUGUAUUUUACGCUGGUUUUUUGUUGCAUCAAUAAAGUGUUUUAAAUUUGUUGUUAGCCACCCUGAGCCCGGUUUUCUGAACCGGGAAGGGCGGGGUAUAAAUACAAAUUUAUUAUUAUUAUUAUUAAAUAGGUUCAGUAAAUAGGCUCACUUCCACAAAGGCUGAAUGGGUCUGUGUUUGCUGGCGGAGGAAGAGGGAGGCAGGGGAGCGCAUCGCUCCCUGCACCACGAUCCCAGUGGGGUGCCAUCACGGCUGCCCCCUCCCCGCGCUGGGCACCACGCCCCCACAGGUGGCACACCAUGCCCCCCCGGACGUGCGCCACACCCCCAGGAUACACGCCAACCAGGCCCCCACCUGCUCUCCACCACUGCGUGUGUUACCGCCUUGGACCUUUUAUAGGGUUUACAGACAAAGAAUUAAUAUAAAAUCCAAUCAGAGCGCUGCAGACAUUUGCAGAGGGUAGCUGGCAGAAUACGCAUUGGAUAUGGCUUUCUGCAACUUGACGUGUGUCCAGCCCUUCUAGGGCUCCUCGCUUCUAAGGUUUUGAAGCCUACAUAGAUGCAAGCCUACAUAUUAAAGAAAGGAGAAUUGUAGCCUGAGAUUUGGUACAGUGGACGCUCGGGUUGCGGACGUGAUCCGUGCGGGAUGCAUGUUCGCAACCCGCAGCGUUCGCAUCCCGCGUCUGCACAUGCGCAGGUUGCGAUUCGGUGCUUCUGCACAUGCGCGACCACUGAAACCCGGAAGUAACCUGUUCCGGUACUUCCGGGUUUCGGUGGUCCGUAGCCUGGAAAAAUGCAACCUGAAGUGUCUGUAACCUGAGAUAUGACUGUAUUUCCAACAACGGAGCAGCAACUGGGCUAUGUGCCUUUAAUGAACAAAAGGAAACUAUUAUGAACCAAGGAUAUUAACAGAACUCCAAUAUCUCAUUCAGUUGGGGGUUUUUUUAUAGGUUUCUCACACAAAACAUAUUUGGGGGUCCCUCGGGGUCCCCCCACAACAAUAAAUGAUCCAAUUGUGUGUGUGGCACCCUCAACAACUCCCCCAGUCUGCAAAAAAAGGUUGGCAAGCCACAAUACAAAGGGGAGGAAAAGACAAGAGAAAGGAAGGGGUGGAGGUGGGGGUGUGAUACUUUGGAAAAGGCAAAUGCGGAAUUUGACUGUAUAUAUUUAUAAAUUUUAAACUAAAAAGAGGUUUGCUCCAAAGGGUGACUGCAGGUGCUUUUAUAAAGUCCCCUUCUGAGCUUGUGUGUGUUAUCUGCGAAACUGGAGCUGGUCCAUUUGUCCUGCAGAGAGGGACAUAAUCUGUACUCUGGUUUGAACACAGACAUUUUACGAGGAAGGCAAUAGAGCAAGCUUUCAUUUUCGUCAUUUCAUGAACAACCAGGCAGCUCACUUAAGCCACACACACACACACACACACACACACACACACACACUUUUAAUCUCCCCUUUUCAUCCUCUUUUUUUUAUAAAAGCAGCUUAUCAUCGAAAUAAAGGAGAACGACAAUGUCUUCUUCUUUUUUAAAAGAAAAAAAAGAUCACACCCUCACACAAGAAAAAACAACAACACACCACAAAAUAUAGUCAAUAAAAAUAGCUGAUAAAACAGAAUUGGAAGCAGCGGGGAACAAGGAAGCUCGCUGAGAUUAUUGCACCAUUUGACGUCUGGGAAAACAAAACAGUUCUAACCCGGCAAAUGAAAAUCAUUCAGCGUGUGCGCCAGAUUAGCAUCUCCAGGGAAGAAAUGGCAACAUCUGGGUACCACUCCGGAAAGAUGCACAUCUCUGAACUCUGGUCGCAGCACCCCAAAUCUUUUUUAAAAACCAAAUACAAUAACCGUUGCCGUGCAGGUUGGGGUACACAAAGUGAAUACGCUUUCGAGGGACACCCUCUUAUUUUUGCAGGAUCCCAAAACAGCCCCCCAGCCACUUAAGCCACAGUUAGAAAGGUAUCACAGGGUAGCAGGAUUGCAAAUCACCUAUUCUAUAUCCGUGCUCCUUCCUAUCAAUUUAGAGGGCACUACAAGAGACCGGUUGCUGGUUGAUUUGCCAUAGCGCUAGGAGGAUUUAAGUACGACGUAUUAACCUCACUGCAGACAUAAGGCAACUGGGACGUGGAAACUAUAGAGGACUGUAUAAAAGCUUUCAUCAAGAACUGAGGAAAUGGAAAGAUCUCUGCCUUAGCUGUAUCCCAUCCAUCCAUCCAUCCAUCCAUCCAUCCAUCCAUCCAUCAUAAAGGUAAACGUAAAGGGACCCCUGACCAUUAGGUCCAGUCGUGACUGACUCUGGGGUUGCAGCGCUCAUCUCGAUUUACUGGCCGAGGGAGCAGGUGCGCUGCUUCUGGGUCAUGUGGCCAGCAUGACUAAGCCGCUUCUGGCGAACCAGAGCAGCGCAUGGAAACGCCAUUUACCUUCCCGCCGGAGUGGUACCUAGUUAUCUACUUGUACUUUGACGUGCUUUCAAACUGCUAGGUUGGCAGGAGCAGGGACUGAGCAACGGGAGCUCACCCCGUCGCGGGGAUUCGAACCGCCGACCUUCUGAUUGGCAAGUCCUAGGCUCUGUGGUUUAACCCACAGUGCCACCCGCAUCCCUUCCAUCCAUCAUGGCCUUCCUGCAAAAAGCUUACAGUGGUGCAGAUCUAUGGAGGGCAGUGGAAUUACUUGGGGAGGGGUGCUCAGAGGCAGUGGGACGUGGGUGGCGCUGUGGUCUAAACCACUGAGCCUCUUGGGCUUGCUGAUCAGAAGGUCAGCGGUUCGAAUCCCAGCGACGGGGUGAGCUCCCGUUGCUCUGUCCCAGGUCCUGCCAACCUAGCAGUUUGAAAGCAUGGGGACUUUCCAAGCGGCGCCGGAAAUUGCGUCUGCACACGCGCAGAUACCGGAAAUUGCGUCUGCACACACGCAGAUACCGGAAAUUGCGUCUGCACACGUGCAGAUACCAGAAAUCGCUUCUGCGCAGGCCCAAUUUUCGGCGUCUGCGCAGACGUGUCACGCUGCGCUAGUCCGGCCCAAGGACAAUCUCUGUGGCAGUGAUCUGGCCCAUGGCCGGUAAACCUUGCCAACCCCUGAUCUAGUCCAACACCCUGAAAUGCCCAAUGUGGGGCACGAUCCAACAGCCCUGAGUGGAAGAGUCUCAUGCUCUACCAACUGAGCUCAAGUUGGAAAGCCUUCCAAAGGUGGUUUCCGCAACAGUCUAGCUCCAGGCAGUGCGCAGAACAGAGUGGGACUCCGUCUGGAUGGUGAUCUCUGUGGCAUGGCACCUUCUCGCAAAGACAACCCGCUGUGACUGAGGAGCUGCCCUUAGGCAGAAUGAGAGGCAGUAUUGUAUAGUGGUUAAAACAUGGCACCAGGAGACCAAGGUUCAAAACCCUGGUAGGCUAUCAAGUUCACUGGGUGACUUUGGGCACCAGUUGUAGUCUCUUAGCCUAGCCUUCCUCACAGGGGAUAAAAUGGGGAGGAAGACAACCAUGUAUGCUACUUUGAACUGCUUGGAAGAGAGGUGGGAUAACAGUGCAGUGCAGUGCAAUAAAAUAAAAUAAAAUAAAAUAAAAUAAAAUAAAAUAAAAUAAAAUAAAAUAAAAAUAAAAAAGUGGUACCUCGGGUUAAGUACUUAAUUCGUUCCAGAGGUCCGUACUUAACCUGAAACUGUUCUUAACCUGAAGCACCACUUUAGCUAAUGGGGCCUCCUGCUGCUGCCGCGCUGCCGGAGCACGAUUUCUGUUCUCAUCCUGAAGCAAAGUUCUUAACCUGAAGCACUAUUUCUGUGUUAGCGGAGUCUGUAACCUGAAGUGUAUGUAACCCGAGGUACCACUGUAAAACACAAACACAAACCCCAACAAAACAAAACAAACCCAAACCCAAACCCAAACCCGUUCCUAUAUAAAGCCAGGAGGGCCUGUAGUGGCUUGACAUGUCAUCUGAUUCCUUCUAGGCUGACUCGCUGCAGUUCCCCUUGCCACCACUGCCAGAGGGGGUGCUGUGGAGCAGCCAGGCAAGGCCAGCCAGCCCCUUUUCCACAGAGAAUAAGACCCCUUUGAGCUCUGCGGUCAUAUUCAAUGCUUGUAGAACUGAAGCACGGUACUUCUCGAGGAGGGAUUGGCCGACAGGUUUCCACUGCCCAGAACCCUCCUCUAUAAGGGAACCGGGUGAUGCUGGAAAAGUUGGUCCUGUGCCGCAGGAAACAAUGACCAGUUUCUGCCUCCCCGUCUGGGUGGGGAGGUUGCUAUUGGUUUUCUCGUCUUCAGCCUGCCCAUUUUCAGGGGCAAGAUCCUGAAAGGAGUCUCCUGGGUAUCCUAUUCCGCAACCCCUUAAUUGGUUCCUUCCUCAAUAGAGUUGGGACACCAAUAGUCCAUAGCUGUCAAGCGUCCCUUAUUUGGCGGGACAGUCCCUUAUCCCAGCGCCAUGUCCCGCUGCUGUCCCUUAUUGAUGUUGUCCCUUAAAUAAGCUACUGAAGGUAAUGGGGCCCUUUCUAUGUCCAGCUGUGCUUUGUCAACAACAAAUUGUUGCUGUUUUUGUGUGUUGAAUAUAUGCUAUAUGGUAAUUUAUGGACCUAAUAGGUAUCUAAAGGCAUUUGCACGCAACAAAAUAUGUAUUUUAUCAAAGUAAUUGUUGAUCCCUUAUAUUGGCUGCUGAUCCCUUAUUUUUGAGGCUUCUGGUCCCUUAUUUUCAAAUCUAAGUCGACAGCUAUGCAAUAGUCAUCUAGUCUAACAGCCUGCAAUGCUGGAAUCACAGCUAACCUAAAACCACCCAGAGUUUUGCCCUUUUCUCCCAUCUCCUGGUGCCCCUUCCUUCCCCCUUUCCAGCUCUGCAAUGUCUCCUCCUCCUCUGAUUACUUAUCUUCUGCCAGAGAAAAAUCGAAGCUGCCGUUUUCUUCCAACGCCUGGGCCCUCGCUACUGUUUUCAGUUCGCCUCUUCUAAAAAUAACACAAGAAGAAGCGUGCAGGUUUUUUCCUUCCUUUCUUCUCUCCUCCCCUCUCCGCAGACAAGAUAAUUGCCGUGGAGCAGAAUUCAAAUUUGUUGCAAACACCUGAGAAGACCCUGGGCUGACGUGGCGGAUACAGAUGAAGGGAGGAAGGGGCAAAAGUUUGCAGAGAAAACUGCCGCUGCCACACCAGGUCUUUGCCCUGUGAUUGGAGAUGGUUGAGGAAAAAGGUCUGUGAAGAACGAUCUCCAAUUUUCAGGUUGAGCAGCCGCGCUGUUCCUGGGGUGGAUGGGGGGCAUGUAUAUCUCCCUGAUUCCCUUACAUUGUGGCAAUACACACCUUUUCCAUUGCUAUUUAUGCCAACAUCUUCUCUGCCUCUCCCAAUUACAGCUCCUCCUUUCUUUCCUAGAAUAGCAGCGCAUAGAUGAUCCUCGCCAAUCAGGGAUUGACACAGAAUGGUAUUUUUUAUAACCCCAAUUCUUGAGGCUCUCAAUCAAAUGGCUUUUUUUGAGGCAGGGGUGUUUGUGGAAUCCGUUGCGGUUUUUCCUGUCUGACUCUCACGACCGGUGGUGGACCCUCCUUCCUUGAAGGUUUUUAAGCAAAGGUGGGAAGGCCACCUGUCAUGUGUGAUCUACCUGAGAUACCUGCAUUGCAGGGGGUUGGACUAGAUGACCCUGGGGUCCCUUCCAAAUUUUCAUUUCCACGAUCCUGUUAUUCAAUAGGAGUGGACCAGGUCUGCAUCUCCUGAAUGGCUGCUUUUUAUCAGAUCACAAUUAUCCUGGGGAUUUCCCGCAAGGCGGUUCUCAGCAGAACAAAGCAAAACAAAAAGAAUCAGAAUGGGUUUUUACUGAAUCAUAGAACAGUAGAGUUGGAAGGGACCUAAGGGGCCAUCUACUCCAAUGCUGCGCAAGGCAGGAUUUACAGCUAAGGAACCCUGGCAGGUUGCCACUCAACAUCUGCUUAGAAACCUUCAGUGGAAGGAGUCGACCACCUUCCGAGGUUGUCAAAGAGCUCUAACUGCCCCAUGAUAAGAUCAUUUUGGUGUGAGGUGAGGAUAUGUAUAGCAAGAGUAAUAAAAAUAAAUUGUUAUUUAGGGGAAUUUAAUUUAAUUCUAAAUUAUAUUCCGGAAACGUGGGAGAUUUCAAGGGGUCAGAAAAAAUGGAUGUACCGUGCUAUAUUAGAAGCAAAAAAAACCAAACAACUUGUUUCGAUGAAUUGGAAGAGCCGCAAAAAGAUUCCGUUGAGCACAUGGAUUGAUAAUACGGACAGAUUAGCUACAUACGAACGAAUUGCAUGUCGACGCAAAGUAAGAAUGGAUAAAUAUGAAGAAAUCUGGAACGAAUAUUUAAGCAAUAAGGUGGAUAGUGGUGGGAAGCAGGGGGAGGAGAGAGAGGUGGGAAAAUAUUGUUUAAAAAGGUGUAGUCAUAGGUAUAUCAGUGUAUUCAAAUCUGAAUUGUCAAAUUGUGUUAUUAUGGUUUUUGCUGUAUGUGUUUUUUGCAGUUGUUAUUUGUAUUGAAAAAAUGAUGAUGAUUAUUUUUUUAAAAAAGAGCUCUAACUCUCAUUAAGUCUGAAUCUCCUUUGACAUUUGGAUCCAUUGCUUCAGGUCUCCCCCAGGUGUUUUGGACUACAUCUCCCAUCAGCCCCCCCCCCAAAACACAACAGUGUAACCCUGAGACUUCUGAGAGUUGUAGUCCAAAAGGGCUGGAGCGGGGCUCCAGACUUGGUGAAGGCUGCUGCAAGGAAGCAUGUCAGAUUUUCAGAUUUGUUCUAGACAAAGCUGCAUGGGGUCACACUUGGCAUGGACGCAGACCACGUAACUGAAUACCUCAAGGUAGGUUGUGAAGGAGCGUCUCCACCCCCAUCGUUCAGCCUGGACACUGAGAUCCAGCGCCGAGGGCCUUCUGGUGGUUCCCACAGUGUGAGAAGUGAGGCUACAGGGAACCAGACAGAGGGCCUUCUCGGUGGUGGCGCCUGCCCUGUGGAACGCUCUCCCUUCAGAUGUCAAAGAGAUAAACAACUACCUGACAUUCAGAAGACAUCUUAAGGCAGCCCUGUUCAGGGAAGUUUUUAAUAUGUAACGCUGUACUGUUUUUAACACUUGAUUGAGAGCCACCCAGAGUGGCUGGGGAAACUCAGCCAGAUGGGUGGGGUAUAAAUAAUAAAUUAUUAUUAUUAUUAUUAUUAUUAUUAUUAUUAUAUAAGGCAAAAGAGCUGGUUUUCGCCCUUCGGCAUUGCCGCAUGGAAUACUAUGGGGUGUUCCCAUUGCAUAAGCCUUACAGAAUCUAGACAUGGACACCUGGGACCAUACAAAAGAGAGUAGUUGAUAAGUUUUUUUGUUUUUUGCACUUCCACUUAAAUGUACUGUAAAUUUCUCACAACCUGUUUAAGUGUCCUUUAAAAGAGAGAAAAUCAGAAUUGUAUUUAUGAUGUUACAGCUGGGGUACGUGUGUGUGGAGGUUAGGAAGCAACCAAGCAGACGACAGGCUAAAAACAGUUUUUUAAAAAAAAAAAAAUCAGAUAUUAAACCCUAUCUUUAGCUAACUCGUAGAGAGACUCACAUGACUAAUGUUGCCAGGAAUGCCUUAAUGUGCAGCAGCUGCCCUGUGAUGCUUUGAGCUUAUGCCUUAACAUUUACACGUCUGAAUUGUCUGUUGAACCUGUUCCUUCGUUACACGCAGGUAAUGAGACCGUACACAGGUUUUGGUAUUUGUGAAAUUGCUUCAGGUCCUGCCCUCUGGAGCAGCAGAAAACAAGCUUGCUCCAUCUUCCAUGGGGCAGCCCUUGAGAUAUUUGAAGAUGGCUCUCAUAUGUUGUAAACAAAAUCUGCCCCUUUUCCCUUAUGGGGUAUCCAAGUGCCCAUAUAGAGUCCUUACAUAGGUUCCCUGUUGGUAGGAGAGAAUAACAGAGGCCAACCAGAGAAUACUGAGAAGCAAAGCAGCUAGUAAGCCUGAUCUUUAUUAAAGCUGUUGCAACAGGGUGCUCCCCUCACACGUAGGAAAGGAAGAACCCAGAACAAUGGCGCGCAAGGCCUUAUAUAGACUUUUGAAAUUGCCACCCUGUAGAUACAUCAUACCUGCAUCACAGAAGGGCUGAAAUCUGAGUGCUUUGUUUACCUCCUGUCUGCCAGGUUACCUGUUUAAUGGUCACUUGAUUGGAUUGCCUGGGGAGCCUGGCCAGUUUUUUGUAAUGAUAAAUACUUAGUUACUGGGCCAGGUCACAGGUCUAUACCCUAUUCAUAUCUUAAGGUAAAGGUAAAGGGACCCCUGUCCAUUAGGUCCAGUCGUGGCCAACUCUGGGGUUGCGGGGCUCAUCUCGCUUUACUGGCUGAGGGAGCUGGCGUACAGCUUCCGGGUCAUGUGGCCAGCAUGACUAAGCCGCUUCUGGCGAACCAGAGCAGCGCACGAAAACGCCGUUUACCUUCCCGCCGGAGCGGUACCUAUUUAUCUACUUGCACUUUGAUGUGCUUUGGAACUGCUAGGUUGGCAGGAGCAGGGACUGAGCAACGGGAGCUCACCCCGUCGCGGGGAUUCGAACCACCGCCCUUCUGAUCUGCAAGUCCUAGGCUCUGUGGUUUAACCCACAGCGCCACCCGCGUCCCAUUCAUAUCUUAAAUGUGCCCUUAAGACAGGAUUUGUGAAGGAAAGAGACAAUGGGGAGGUUUCCCACGUUGACCUUGCAGAGAAAUAAUUUGCUCAGUUUGAGAAUCAAAAUGGUUCCAGGUCGGUCUUCCUGUGCUGAUCUAUGUACCUGCUUGGUUGGUACACUUAUGCACAUUUAACAUAUAUCUAAGACCUCAAAAUUCUAUCACCUCUCAGUCUUCUCCUCUCCAGGCUAAACAUGCCCAAUUUCCUCAACUCUUCCUCACUUGUUUCGGCUCAGCCCCAGUUUUGGGAAGAUCAUCCAAGUUCCCCCUAGUUUUGCACAUCCCUUAGCGGCCUUGUCACUAUCCAGAUUGGGGGGGGGUUAGGAGGGGGGCUGCAUUAUGUAGGCACCAAAUCCAUUUGUAAUUACCGAAAUAAACAGGAGUCGCACAGCUAUGCAAAGUAGCUGGCGCUCUAAAUUACAUGACAGGGGAAGUGACAGCUUUUUAUUAGCGUGAUCGCAGCCAGGAGUUUUAAAAUAGAGUAAUCGGUGCAACAAAAGCUAUUUCCACUCCCUCCCCCCACCCGUCCGAAAUGCUCAUUCUGAAUGGAUGAUCUCGUCUUAAUCAAGCCUCUCAUCACACACGCACCAACACACACACCGAAAAAAAGCCUUUUAAUUAACAGAAGUCAAGAGCUAUAUUGUAAUUUGGAUGUUUACUUUUCAGACUAGCUGAUGAGAUUGAUAGAAAACAAGGUUGUUGUGACGAGGUGGGUUUUUGGGGGGGGGGAGGGGGCAGAGGCGGCGGGGGAGGGACGCUGCUCCCAGCCUUUAUUUGUCAUUUAAAUAAUGUUUGGGUUUUAUAAAAGAUUCUUUUGUUCCUGCAUCUCUUUGACUGAUUGGUUUUGGAACCAAUGGAAGUAAUUCACAGGAUUUUUGGGGGGGUUUUGUUUAUCAGAGGGUUAUUAUGGUACACUUUUGUUAAACUCGAACAUUGGACAUUAUGGUAAUCCAAGAGCAGAUUGGCUGCAUCCUUGCUUUGUAGUUAGGUAUGGGCAAGUCUCUCAACUCUUCUUUCUUUCAAGACAUGCCACAUAGAAUGUCAGGUUUAGCACAAGACACGGAACGCUGGCAGUUUAAGUAAAGGUAAAGAGACCCCUGACCAUUAGGUCCAGUCGCGGACGACUCUGGGGUUGCGGUGACCAUCUCUCUUUAUUGGCCAAGGGAGCUGGCGUACAGCUUCCGGGUCAUGUGGCCAGCAGGACUAAGCCGCUUCUGGCGAACCAGAGCAGCGCACGGAAACGCCGUUUACCUUCCCGCCGGAGCGGUACCUAUUUAUCUACUUGCCCUAGGCUCUGUGGUUUAGACCACAGCACCACCCACGUCCCCCUGGCAGUUUAAGUAGCUGAGGUUUAUUUCUCAACAACAGGCUUACAGCAGUCCAAGCUUCCACAACUCAUCCUUCGCUGUCUGAGUCAGUUGACUCGACUGGCUUCUGACCCUGCCCAAGGCCAGAUAUACGCCACGUCCUCCCCUGCCUCCUGCUGGCCCAUCUCUGCUCUAAUCGCUUGCUCUGCCUCCUACUUCUUGGCGACCCAUUUAGUUGUUUAGUCGUGUCUGACUCUUCGUGACCCCCUGGACCAGAGCACGCCAGGCACUCCUGUCUUCCGCUGCCUCCUGCAGUUUGGACAAACUCAUGUUCGUAGCUUCGAGAACACUGUCCCACCAUCUCGUCCUCUGUCGUCGCCUUCUCCUUGUGCCCUCCAUCUUUCCCAACAUCAGGGUCUUUUCCAGGGAGUCUUCUCUUCUCAUGAGGUGGCCAAAGUCUUGGAGCCUCAGCUUCAGGAUCUGUCCUUCCAGUGAGCACUCAGGGCUGAUUUCCUCUAGAAUGGAGAGGUUUGAUCUUCUUGCAGUCCAUGGGACUCUCAAGAGUCUCCUCCAGCACCAUAAUUCUGCCUGGUGUUUUUACAUGAGUAGAAUGUGUGCUUUUAUUUAAAAUGCAUCUCUGGGUUAUUUGUGGGGCAUAGGAAUUCGUUCAUAUUUCCCCCCCAAAAAAUAUAGUCUUGCCCCCCUAUAAGGUCUGAGGCACAGUAGACCGGCCCCCUGCUGAAAAAGUUUGCUGACCCCUGGGCUAGAUGACCCUCACGUUCCCCUUCCAACUUUGCUGUUCUAUUAUUCCUUUCUAUCAGCGCAACCCACCCAUGUUUAUAGAAUCAUAGAAUUGUAGAGGUGGAAGGGAACCUGAGGUUCAGCACUGGAGGGAGCAAUUUCCCCAAGCCUGCACACUGGGGUAGGUGGGGAAGUCAUGCCUGAAAACAAAAUUCGCUGCCACACUCUCAUGCAUCGAUGUACACAUCACAUCUUAAGCAAUUUCAUGCCCAAAGGAAGACAGAAUGAUAUUCAAGAACCUUUACUUUGUAGGAGUGUACACAAGCCCCAGGGUUUGUCUUGUAAACGUGCAUUUAAAAAAUAAAUAAAUCGGAUCCACUUCUGAGACACCCUGUGUCACUUUGAUCUGUGAUUCUGGGUCUGAGAUGUAAGAAAGGAAGCUCUGUGUUCCUCAUUCACCAUAACGUGGAAUCUAUAAUAAUAAUAAUAAUAAUAAUAAUAAUAAUAAUAAUAAUAGUUUCCCCAGCCACUCUGGGCGGCUCCCAAUCAAGUAUUAAAAACAAUACAGCGUUAAAUAUUAAAAACCUCCCUAAACAGGGCUGCCUUCAGAUGUCUUUUAAAGAGAAGAUAGCUGCUUAUUGCCUUCACAUCUGAAGGGAGAGCGUUCCACAGGGAGGGCGCCACUACCGAGAAGGCCCUCUGCCUGGUUCCCUGUAACCUUACUUCUCGCAGUGAGGGAACCACCAGAAGGCCCUCGGCGCUGGAUCUCAGUGUCCGAGCUGAAAGAUGUAUGAAUCUAAAAGGAGCUAGAACUAACCCCCCAUUUAUUACAAUUUAGCUAGGGGUGAUUUAUAUACAGCCCUCUGCGCAACAGGACAGCGUUGCAGCAAAGCAAACAGAUAAGAAUCCAUUAAAAAACCUCUUUAAAAUAAAAUAAUAAUAAUAAUAACAAUAAAAUAUUUAUACCCCGCCCUCCCCAGCCAAGACCGGGCUCAGGGCGGCUAACACCAAAUAUAAAACAAAUUGAUUGAAAUACAACUUAAAAACAAGAUUAAAAUACAACAUUAAAAUGCAGCCUCAUUUCAGCAGAAACUCAAACUUUUUUGGGGAUGAAAACGUCAAGUCUUCACCGAGGCUAACUAUCCACAUAAAAGCACAUAAUGGAAGCAAAAUGGAAGAGUAAUGAAAUCCCCUCUAUACAAGAUUGGAUCCAAAAGCUGACAGAAUAUGCCAAAUUAGAUGGUUUAUCAGAAAAAAUAAAGAAUAAAUCAAAACAGGAAUUUGUUUCUAAAUGGGAGGUUUUCAAAGAAUAUCUGAAAAAUAAAUAUAGUAGUUUAAAUUCUGUUGCAGCAUUCAAGGAACUUCAGUAAUAGUUGCUAGGUAGAUAGAAGAAAUUAGAUUUAUUGAGAAUAAGUUUAAUUAUGAAAAAAAUGUGUAUUGGCAAUACGUAAUAUGAAUUUGAAAUAUGGAAUAGACGGGAAGUUGGCUCUUUAGUGUUAAGACCAAUAGAUGUUUUAUUGUUUGCCAAGAAAAUUAUGUGUCUAUGGUUAUUUUUGUAAUUUGUGUGUAAUUUGGUAUUUGUGUUUUUGUGUGUGUGUUUUUUUCUUGUUGUAUGUAUAAAUAAAGAAAGAAAAGAAAGAAAAAGCACUUAACAAGUCACUAACGAGCAGUGACGAAUAGCAACAACAGUCAGGUGUCUUGACUUCCUUAACUAACGAUCUUAAUGACUACCAUCUUCAAAUAUCGGAAGGGCUGUCACAGAGAAGAUGGAACCAGUUGCUAUUUCUCCAUAGGAAUCAAUGGAAAUUGUUGACAAUUCUCCAGUGAGUUCAUGAUGGGGCACAAAGUUGUUCCUAACUCCCUGUGAGUUGGCACAGGUUGAGAGGCAGAGACUGGCACAGGGUCACCUCCACUGAGCUUCAUGGAGGAGUGGGGAUUCGAACCCUGUGCUUUCCCAGGUUCUACUCCAGUGCUCUAAGCACCUCGCCACGCUUGCACCCUCCUUUAGAGUCACACACCACAAACACAUCUCCAUGAAGCAUUUAUGCCAGGGGUCAGCAACCUUUUUCAGCAGGGGGCUGGUCCACUGUCCCUCAGACCUUGUGGGGGGCCGGACUACAUUUUGGAAGGAAAAAAAUGAACAAAUUUCUUUUCUUUUUUAAAUGAUAUUUAUUACUUUUUCAAAAUUUCCAACACAGCAACAAACACAAAGAAAAAGGAAAAAAAAGAGGAAAAAACAAUACAAAUAUCAAAUCAAGCAAAGACAAACAAAAACAAUUUAAAAACACCUCAAACAUUUUCAAUAUCUUAUAUUUCAUUCACUUAUUUCCAGUGACUUCCUCACACCUCCCUUUUUGUAUUCUACUUCUAUUAUUUGUUUCAGCAAUUCCUUUCCAUCUUACUCUGUUUUCUGUUCUAUAAUUAUCUUAACACAUUCUUGCCAUACUUUCCCUUUAAUUUUCUAUUAAUCUAUUUAUACUUAAUUCCUUAUGACAUUUCAACUAAAGCCAUGUAAUUUCAUUCCAACAUUUUUCUAACAAUCCUUAAAUUUACAGUAUUUCUAUAAAUAGUCUUUAAACUUUUUCCAAUCUGCUUCCACCGACUCUUCGCCCUGGUCUCGGAUCUUGCCAGUCAUUUCCGCUAAUUCCCUAUAAUCCAUCUACUUCGUCUGCCAUUAUCCAACACUUCGGUGUUUUCAAGAAGCAACCAUUCUCUCAACCAGCAAAAGGCAGAUGAUUCACAACGAAGUUUAAAGGUCUGGCAGGGCAGGUCCACCUCCUUCUUUAGCAUCCAUCAAUAUCUUAAGCUUAACUCGGAGGCUUCCUGCCCUGCCAAACAACUCUAGGAGCAUCCCUCUGCCACCUCCUGAGACCCUCCAUCCCAUCCAGAGCUUGCAAUGUUUGAAACCACAGCAACAUCCCCAGCAACACAAAAAAUGAACAAAUUUCUAUGCCCCACAAAUAACCCAGAGAUGCAUUUUAAAUACAGUGGUACCUCGGGUUACAUACGCUUCAGGUUACAUACGCUUCAGGUUACAGACUCCGCUAACGCAGAAAUAGUGCUUCAGGUUAAGAACUUUGCUUCAGGUUGAGAACAGAAAUCGUGCUCCGGCGGCACGGCAGCAGCAGGAGGCCCCAUUAGCUAAAGUGGUGCUUCAGGUUAAGAACAGUUUCAGGUUAAGUACGGACCUCCGGAACGAAUUAAGUACUUAACCCGACGUACCACUGUAAAAGCACAUAUUCUAUUCAUGUAAAAACACCAGGCAGGCCCCACAAAUAACCCAGAGAUGCAUGUUAAAUAAAAGCACACAUUCUACUCAUGUAAAAACACGCUGAUUCCCGGACCGUCCACAGGCCGCAUUGAGAAGGCGAUUGGGCCGCAUCCAGCCCCUGGGCCUUAGGUUGCCUGCCCCUGUUUUACACUCAGUCUGAAGAGCAUCGGGACAUUAGCUUUGCUGCAUUUGCACGGCGAACCAGACACUUUGCUAUAUUUUCCUUGUUUGUUUUUUAAAGGGGGGAGAGGGGCAGAUGGAAUCUGAGUAGCUUUGCGUCCUUAUUAAUUUGUUUCUCAUCUUCGGAGCCGGCUUGAGUGUCAAAGGACAAAUCAAGCUGAGGGUGGGAGAAGCAGGCUGUUUGUUGGGUGCGAAGUGGGGGGGUGAGGAGGGGCCAGGAGUGAGAGAUGCCUCUUUUCCAAAGGGGACUAUGACAGGAAGAGAGGAGUCCUCAUCUCUCUUCUCCUUUAAGCCCGCAUUUUACAUGCCCUUUACAACACAAUAAAACAACAGUUGGUUUCACACCAUUGUAGCACUGCCCACCCCUUGUGUUCUUUUGCUUUUGUUUUGAUAGCAGAUUUUUUUUAGCAAAAUAGUAAACAGCAACACUAAGUUUUCUCCCACAUUUCCUGCUUUCCACACACCUCCUUCGCCACAAGCACCACCAGUUGCAAAAGCCAUUUUGAAGAACGCGUGACACACGUUUUGCUUCUUGUUCAGCUUUUCGUCUUUUGCAAAAAAAUCCUGAAUUCCAAAUGAAGAGGGGAACACACAAGCAAUAAUAAUUAAUGGCAGUAAAGGUAAAGGGACCCCUGACCAAUAGGUCCAGUCAUGGCUGACUCUGGGGUUGCGGCGCUCAUCUUGCUUUAUUAGCCGAGGGAGCCGGCGUACAGCUUCCAUGUGGCCAGCAUGGCAAACCAGAGCAGCGCACGGGAACGCCGUUUACCUUCCCGCUGGAGCAGUACCUAUUUAUCUACUUGCACUGGCUUGCUUUUGAACUGCUAGGUUGGCAGGAGCAGGGACCGAGCAACGGGAGCUCACCCCGUUGCGGGGAUUCGAACCGCCAACCUUCUGAUCAGCAAGUCCUAGGCUCUGUGGUUUAACCCACAGCGCCACCCACGUCCCGGGUCCCGCCACCCGCCUCCCCCCUUAGGCAACUUGUAUUGGCUGCUGGAGAGCAGGAAAGAGGAGAGGCUGCAGCCACUGAGCUCCAGCCCUGUGUGACAUGCUGGCUCUGAGGAGCAGGCAGAGGGCAGGGUUGCCCUGGGAAGGAAGAAGGGGGGAUCAGAAGGAGUCUUGUGCAUCCGUGUCUCACCUUGCCCCUUUCUCAUCAUGAUGGAUGAGUGCUGAAACAGGGUAUCAUCCUGUCCUGAUAUGACACAGACCCUGACAGAGUGUAAAGUCCGAGGGGCUGACCUGGAACCGAGAAGACCGACGUGUGCUAGGAAAGGAGCAGAGAAGAGAUUUGGGUGGCAGGUAAAAAAGGUAAAGGUAAAGGGACCCCUGACCGUUAGGUCCAGUCGUGGCCGACUCUGGGGUUGAGGCGCUCAUCUCGCUUUAUUGGCCGAGGGAGCCGGAGUACAGCUUCUGGGUCAUGUGCCCAGUAGGACUAAGCUGCUUCUGGCGAAUCAGUUUCCUUCCCGCCAGAGCGGUGCCUAUUUAUCUACUUGCACUUUGACUUGCUUUCGAACUGCUUGGUUGGCAGGAGCAGGGACUGAGCAAUGGGAGCUCACCCCGUCGCAGGGAUUCGAACCACCGACCUUCUGAUUGGCAAGUCCUAGGCUCUGUGGUUUAACCCACAGCGCCACCCACAUCCCUUAGGUGGCAGGUAGGCAGUUUCAAAAACUGAUCUGAAGGAAAGAGAGUUGAUCCAAAUAAUCUCCUCUCCUGGAAAAGAAAAAAGAAUUGAACUGGGGAAUUAGAAUGAAGCAAAACAGUCAUGAAAACUUCCUCCAAGUUGGCCCGGUUACAUGCAAGUUACAAGCCCCAAUUUCUUUGCUCUAACAACCUGUUAAUUAAGCCCUUGGUUUUAAUUAGUUCCAUUAUUUGCUUAUUUCGCCUCUUAUUUUAUUUAGGCAAAAUGGUCCCACAGCUGCCUUUUAAUGGGAUCCCCCCCCCGCCCCCAGAUUCAGCUGUUGCACUUCCAGGGCAAACCUCCCUUGCCGUCUAUUGUAGAUGAGGAACAAUCUCGACCGUUACCUGCAAAGGGAGAGUGGGGGGUGUCCCUCCUCUUUCUGUAAAGUUGGAAAGAGAAAGAUGCUUGUUUUAAUUUUUAAAGGUGCCACCCACCCAAAAAUGACCUCAUCCGAAGGCCAUAAAAUUGCAGAGAUGGGACCUUAUGAGGUCAACAAGUCCAGUUCCCUGCUCAGGGCAGGGAUCUUGCAACUGAUAAAUGACCAUCCAGUAGCUGGGGAAGGAGAGUCCACCACCUACUAACACAGUUUGUUCCACCGUUAAACCAAUAAUAAUAAUAACAAUAAUAAUAAUAAAUGCCACUCUGGGCAGCUCCAAACAGAAUAUAAAAACAUGAUAAAACAUCAAACAUUAAAAACUUCCCUAAACAGGGCUGCCUUCAGAUGUCUUCUAAAAGACAGAUAGUUCUUUAUUUCCUUGACAUCUGAUGGGAGGACGUUCCACAGGGCGGGCGCCACCACCGAGAAGGCCCUCUGCCUGGUUCCCUGUAACCUCACAUCUCGCAGGGAGGGAACCGCCACCAGGCCCUCGGAGCUGGACCUCUGUGUCCAGGGUGAACGAUGGAGGUGGAGAUGCUCCUUCAGGUAUACUGGACCAAGGCCAUUUAGGGCUUUCAAGGUCAGCACCAACACUUCAAAUUGUGUAGGUCUUUCAGGACUGGUGUUAUAUGGUCUCGGCAGCCACUCCCAGUCAUCAGUUUAGCUGCCGCAUUCUGGAUUAGCUGUAGUUUCUGGGUCACCUUCAAAGGUAGCCCCACGUAGAGCGCAUUGCAGUAGUCCAAGUGGGAGAUAACCAGAGCGUCUAAUUCCCUGCAGUUCUUACCCACUGAACAUAUGGAGAUCCCUGCUAUAUCAAGUCACUGACCAACUAGUCCAGGAUCCUGUUCCCACCAUGCCUAUUGGAUGCCAAGUGCAGUUUCCAGGAACUGAUACAGUGGUACCUCGGGUUGCAGACGCUUCAGGUUACAGACUCCGCUAACCCAGAAAUAGUACCUUGGGUUAAGAACUUUGCUUCAGGAUGAGGACAGAAAUCACGCAGCAGCACUGGGAGGCCCCAUUAGCUAAAGUGGUACCUCAGGUUAAGAACAGUUUCAGGUUAAGAACGGACCUCCAGAACGAAUUAAGUACUUAACCCGAGGUACCACUGUAUUCAGAAACAUUUUUGCCUCUGCCACCAGCGGAGCAUAGCCAUCAUGGACUGCCAUACCCUCCAUGAAUUUGUCUCAUCUUGUUCUAAAGCAAUUCAAGUUGGUGGCCACUACCACCUUCUGUGGAAGCAAGUUCCAUAAAAAAUAAUAAUAACUAUACACUGCAUUCAGAAGGACUUCCUCAGAGCCAGCAUGUCACACAGGGCUGGACCUCAGUGGCUGCAGCCUCUCCUCUUUCCUGCUCUCCAGCAAGUUGCCUAAGGGGGGAGGCGGGUGGCGGGACCCGGGACGUGGGUGGCGCUGUGGGUUAAACCACUGAGCCUAGGACUUGCCAAUCAGAAGGUCGGCGGUUCGAAUCCCCGCGAUGGGGUGAGCUCCCGUUGCUCGGUCCCUGCUCCUGCCCACCUAGCAGUUUGAAAGCACGUCAAGUGUGAGUAGAUAAAUAGGUACCGCUCCAGCGGGAAGGUAAACGGCGUUUCUGUGUGCUGCUCUGGUUCGCCAGAAGCGGCUUAGUCCUGCUGGCCACAUGACCCGGAAGCUGUACGCUGGUUCCCUCAGCCAAUAAAGCGAGAUGAGCACUGCAACCCCAGAGUUGGCCACGACUGGACCUAACGGUCAGGGCUCCCUUUACCUUUUUAAGGGGGGAGGCCUGCAGCAGUGGCCAUGGAGAGGCCCUCUCCCUCUCUGCCAUCGGCUGGGACAAAGCCACUUCCGCCCUGCAGAGGAGGUGGAGUUGCUGGCGUCACGGCCCCAGCCCCAGCAUGAUUGGGGGAAUCCCUGGCCAGCCAAUCGGCUGGCUCUGGGGGUGUGGCCUGCCCUAUUUAAGGAAGGCGCGGCCAGGGAUCUCCCUCUUUUGCCAUCUACCAGUAGUUCCUGUUUCCCACCCUCCCGCCCUAUAAGGUUUCCGUUUCUUGACCUUGCUAUGGACCUUGGUCGGUCGCCGUCGAGGGGCCUGGUAGGAAUUUUUCCACUUGGCAAAUGGGCACCAGCCACUUGGUUUUCAUCUACCUCGUAGCAAAUCGUCACAACUUUCUGGCUAUUGGCAGUUAGGCAUCCGUAUUGUUCUGUAGAUGGAAGAGGGGACGAAGCGCCAUCACCUGCCCCACAUAUUGAAGGGUAGUCUGAUAAAGGAUUCCAGGGGGCGUGGCCCUGUCCAAAGCCUAUGGAGGUGAAGGCCUAAGGCACCCCCCCGAGUGGUGACCCUGGGGGAGUUCCUAGUUGAUGUGCAUCAGCAGGACUACCCCUACUGGUGGUUAACCCUUCCCGGACUUCAAGUGGACGGGCUGAAGCCAGAUAUAUUCCGUUAGAACCAAUGCCUAAGCCAAUACCGCUCAUCACCUGUAACCAGUGAUGUUAUGGCCUUAUUAACCCAUUAACCUUAAUAAUUGUGUCAUGUGUCUUUAUUUCCACUGGGGGGGGGGGCGGAAAUUCGCCACACAAACACCAGCUCAUCCCAUGCCCUGAGCUCAGCGGUGGCAGCACUGGCAGAGGAAAUUGGGACAUUCUGGGAUCCAAUCAAAAGCUGGGAUAGCUUUAGUAAUUCCUGGACCGUCCCUGGAAAAUGGGGACAGUUGGAGGGCCUGUGUCUCAUGGUCAGAAAACACCCUCCCCUCACUGCUUAAAACCCCCCUCCCCAAGCCUCCAUCUCAAAUCGCUGCCUAACUUCUGCAAGCUGUUGCUGUGUGUUGUGCUUCCCGCCGCAGCGAGAUUUCUCUUGCCUUCGCUGGAACGCAGCAACAGCAAAGGAUAAAUUGUCUUUUGCAGAUUUAUUUUCGGAAGGGGGCUAAAGACAAAACGCAGAGUUGGGUGGGGGAGGAUUCCUCAGAGGUAGCCUUUGUAUCCGUGCCUGGAACCGUUGUGUUAUUCACCACACACCUGAGUGGGCGCAGGAGAUAAAAAUAUGCAUCUCGCUAGAUCCUACGGCAAGGUGUUAAAUGUAAACGCUUAAUUCAACCUGUGUAACGACAGACAGCCUCGAGUGGGUUGCAUGCAGGCAAAUCUUUCAAGGCUCCAGGUGCAGCCUCCCAGUUUGCUAAGAGAGAGGUGUUUUAUGGGAUGCAGCGGGCAAGGUAAGCUGAGCUGAAGGUGCAGGAACGACCUCUGCUUGAUCCAUUCCCUUUCUGGGCGGAACCCAACCAUAAUUCAAAGCACUUUGAAAGCACAUAACUUCCUCCCAAUAAUCCUGGUUUCACUCUCACAGAGCUAGAAUUCCCAGCACCCUCAGUGAAGGCAUGGGCUUCCCAAACCCAAAAACUGACUGUUCAGUCAGUCUGAAAUGGCCCCCCAAAAUCCCCAUUUUUCUUCCCCAUUUCUAAAAUGCAUUGACUUGAGCUUUUCAAGCUCAGGAAAUUUGAGCUUGAGUCAAUGAAUAAACAGAAAGCCAGCUGUAUAAACAAGUGCUCAAAACCCUCUCCUUUAUCAGUCCGUGACGGCAAUGGGUGGCCUUGCCAGUUCGAGUGGAGCAGGGAUGAGACGUCUGGGUCUUAUCUUACGUCCUGACCACACUGACGUACAGACCUUGUCAGCCACCCGGGAACGGCGCCACGAGAGCUCUUAGAGUUGGUGACCUCUUGCUCCAAGAUAAGAGUAUAGGAAUAGGAACAGGAACAACCUUUUAUGGUCAAGAGUGCCAGAACAGGAACAACUGUUUAUGGUCAUGGAUGGUGUCAGAAGUGUCAACUUACGUGUAUAAGCUGACGUGGUUGGAUUCCUGGGGAAGGGGGGAGAGGGUGCCUGGAGGAUAUAUAUACUGCAUGAAAUUUCUCAUUUCUUUGGACUUGCUGUGGACUGACCACGCAAGUGCCUUCUGUUAUCCGGAGAGCAGAAUAAACUCUUUCUCUAAACCAAACCUCGGUGUCAUUUGACUUCCUUUCUCCCUCCCGGGAGCAACGCAGACCCCACCAGUCGGUAUAGUCUAAUAAGGCUACAUUUCUUGGUGCAUUGGCCGGGAAUGUAUAGUUCGCAGGAUAUUUUUUGGGGGGUGAGGAGUCAUGUGCAUUAAAUGUGCGCUGAAUGUGUUUAAAAUGCAUGGUGUGCAUCUGCCUUCUGUCUCCGAAGGGGAAAGGGUCAUGGCACAGAGAUUAGGCAGGGGUCAGUGAACUUUUUCAGCAGGGGGCCAGUCCACUGUCCCUCAGACCUUGUGGGGGGCCGGACAAUAUUUUGAAAAAAGAAAAAAAGUGAACGAAUUCCUGUGGCCCAUAAAUAACCCAGAGGUGCAUUUUAAAUAAAAGGACACAUUCUACUCAUGUAAAAACAUGCUGAUUCCCGGACCGUCUGCGGGCCGGAUUUAGAAAGCAAUUGGGCUGGAUCCUGCCCCCAGGCCUUAGUUUGCCUACCCAUGGGUUAGAGGAUCUGCUUUGCUAUCAAUGUAGACAAUAUUGUGGUACCUACGUCCCGAUUUAAACCAGCCCUUUAUUUGGACUGGAAUCUCGCUUUAUUUGUAGCGGAGGAAAAUGUAGCAGCAAGGUGCAACACAUUUCCAGCCUGCCGCAGCCUCCCUGGCUGCCAGCACUUCCAGAUCUGGAAAAAAAACAACCAACCCAUGGGAGGAGUUAGGCUGAGAGUGAGUGCCUGGCCCAAGAGUCUUACCCUGUGAGCUUCUAGGCUUUUGUUCACAUAGUUAAGCAUAGGCACCAUCUUGGGGGGGAGGCCUGGGGCCCCUGGCACCCACAAAUCUUCCUUGGAAGUGGUGGUGUCCCCUCCCCAAUGUUAGGACACCUCACCUACUUCAGUGCCCUCUUCCCACUCGUCAUCACUAUAUAGGAGGAGCAGCAGAAGCAGGAUCCAGCCCCCAAACGCUGCCUGCACUCAGUCUGCCUACAUGCGAUGGCGCGAGUGAUGUGCACUGGGGCCCAAGUCAGCACCUCUGUAGUUAAGCUUUGGGACUCAUUGCCACUGGAGGCAGUGAUGGUCUGCAACCUAAACGGCUUUAAAAGAGCAUUGGACAAAUUCAUUGAGGAGAGGGCUAUCCAUGGCUCCUAGCUUAUGAUAGCUGUGCUCUGCCUCUGAGGUUGGAGGCAACAACGCUUCCGAACUGUGCUUGCGCCUUCCUUGCGAACAUCCCACAAGAAUCUGGCUGGCCACUGUGAGAACAGGAAUGAUGUUGGGAUCGAGGUGAACAUCUGAAUCUAUCCCAAACAGGGUCGGCUUUAGGCUUGAUGAGGCCCUAAGCUACCGAAGGUUAUGGGGUCCUUUAUAUGUCCAGCUGUCCUUUGUCAACAACAAAUUGCCGCUGUUUUUACCUGUACACUGGUACCUUGGUUUACAAACACUUCAGGUUACAGAUUCCACUAAGCCAGAAGUAGUACCUCGGGUUAAGAACUUUGCUUCAGGAUGAGAACAGAAAUCGUGCACUGGUGGCACGGCAGCAGCAGGAGGCCCCAUUAGCUAAAGUGGUACCUCAGGUUAAGAAUGGUUUCAGGUUAAGAACGGACCUCCAGAACAAAUUAAGUUCUUAACCAGAGGUACCACUGUAUAGAGAAUGGAGCAAACCAGUGAUAUUUUAGGGAGCAGGCUAGCAGGCGGGGUCCAUAACUUACAUCAUAGGAGCCUACACAACACAAAACACUAUUGCUGUAUGUAGGUUUUAUUUUAUUUUAUGUCCCAUGGAGGACCUUAAGGUCUUCAAACAAAAACAUCUUGGAGGUCCCAGGCCACAGAGAGGUUAGGCUGGCCUCAACAAGAGCCAGGGCUUUUUCGGCUGUGGCUCCAAUCUGGUGGAACGCUCUGCCACAAGAGACUAGGGCCCUGCGGGACUUGACAUCUUUCCGCAGGGCCUGCAAGACGGAGCUGUUCCACCAGGCCUUUGGCCAAGGCACAGUCUGACCCCCUCACUUCUUCUGUAAUCCUCACAGAACUCUAGCCCAAUGGUUGCCAUUAAUUUGAUUUUGAAUUGAUUUUAGAAUGAAUUGAUUUUAGAAUGCUGUGUUACCUUGUUGUUAGCCGCUCUGAGCCCGGCUUCGGCUGGGGAGGGCGGGAGAUAAAUAAAAUUUUAUUAUUUAUUAUUAUUAUUACUACUAUUAUCUUAUAUUUUGGAAAUGUACAUCUAGGUUUUUCCCCCCUUUAAAUUUUGGGGGGCCCCCCAAGAGAAUGGGGCCCUAAGCUAUAGCUGGUUUAGCUUAUACCUAAAUCCGGCACUGAUCUCAAAGAAUGAACAGGAUUCUGGACUAGAUGGGCCAUUGACUGGAUGCAUCAGGGCUCAUCUUAUGUUCAUACAGUCAUAGAAUCGUAGAGUUGGAAGGGACCCCAAGGGUCAUCUAGUCCAACCCCCUGCAAUGCAGGAAUCUCAGCUAAAGCAUCCAUUCAACCACUGCUCCAAAACCUCCAAGGAAGGAGAGUCCACCUAAAAUCCCUACACCAGGCACAGGCAAACUCGGCCCUCCAGCUUUUUUGGGGGGACUACAACUCCCAUCAUUCCUAGCCAACAGGACCAGUGGCCAGGGAUUAUGGGAAUUGUAUUGUGUGGCAACUCCCCCCCCCCCAAGUGGAAAUAAUGACACAUGGCACAAUUAAGGUUAAUGGACUAAAUAAGGCCACAACUUUAUUUGUUACAGGUGAUGAGCGGUAUUGGCUUAGGCAUUGGUCCUAGCCGACCAGAUCCAGCUUCAACCCAUCUGAUUGAAGUCUGGGAAGGGUUAACCACCAGUAGGGGUAGUCCUGCUGAUGCACAUGAACUAGGAACUCCCCCAGGGUCACCACUCGGGGGUGUGCCUUGGGCCCUCACCUCCCUAGGCUUCGGACAGGGCCACGCCCCCUGGAAUCCUUUACCAGACUACCCUUCAAUAUGCGGGGCAGGUGAUGGCGCUUCCUCCCCUCUUCCAUCUACAGAACAAUACCAAUGCCUAACCACCAAUACCAAGAAAGUUGUGAUGAUUUGCUACGAGGGAGGCGAAAACCAAGUGGCUGGUGCCAAUUUGCCAAGUGGAAAGAUUCCUACCAGGCCCCUCAAUGGCGACCAACCGAGGUCCAUAGCAAGGUCAAGGAACGAAAACCUUAUAGGGUGGGAGGGAGGGAAACAGGAACAGCUGGUAGGCGGCAAAAGAGGGAGAUCCCCAGCUGUGCCUUCCUUAAAGAGGGUAGGCCAUGCCCCCAAAGCCAGCCAAUUGGCUGGCCAGGGGGUGACAUGGCCAGGGAUUUCCCUGAUUGUUUGGGGGCUGGGGCCAUGACGCCCGCAAUCUCACCUCCUCUGCAGGGUGGAAGUGGCUGUCUCAAAACAUCUGGAGGGCCGAGUUUGCCUGUGCCUGCCCUACACUGCUGCCUGUGAGAAUUUCACCAGUAUUUCCUCUGUCCUCUGGUUUUCAAACUCAGCCUCUUCCCCCUCUCAUUCAUUCACAGAGCAUCGCCAGGGGCAAGACGUGGGAUAAAUUUCUGGCACAGCCCUAUAGUUCGAACGCCAACGAAACCUUUGAUUGCAGAGGAGGGGCAACGAGGCUUCUGGAACCUCCGUGUGUGUCGUCUGGGCGCAGGGAGCCCCUCCCUCUCGAACAAGAUGAGAGGCGCCCCCCACCCACCGUUUUGUCAUGGCAACAACUUCCAAAAACGAUGGACCUCCUGCUGCCCAUUUCCAGCCACACAAGGGCUGCUUCGCUCAGGACCACCCCCAGGGAACAGAUUACUCGAUGGCUCAGCUGCGAGGCUGAUUGUAGUUGACAGUGACGGGUGCCUGGCAGGGACAAAGCUGAGGUCAACCUUCCAAGGCUUUGAUUUAACCGCAGUAUGGGGUUGCCCUCGGAUUCGAAAGGCGGUCCCCUGCAUGAGCUGCCGUGGCCGGCUGCUACUGUGAAGCGAGCCCACCCAGGGUAUAUUUGCUCUGAAAUCAAAGCAAGCGUUCUACCCACAUCCAGACUGAAUGGCGGGGAGCGCGGCUUCCUUGCACUUCGUAAUUCUAUAAUAAAGGACACUCCGGCGUCCUUCAAAAUCCAGAUCAAUGACAGUUAAGGAGGUAAAAAGACUUGUCUUUAAAGCAGCGGCUGAGGAAUUCUCUUGAGCUGCGUUUAGGGCCUUGCCUGGGUUCGACAUGGAUGGAGCAAAGAUGUUUUCCCUCUCUUGGAUAUCUGGGGAAGCUGAAUUUUGGAAGAGUCGGGAGAGUUCACGCAGUGUGUGGAUAAAUUAUGGAACCGGCCACCAGCUUGGAUGGCUAUAAAAGAAGACCGGACAAGAGAACUGAAUGCUGGACUUGAUGGGCUUCAUGGAGCAGGCUCUUCGGCUGUUUUUACGUGUAGCGCUUCAGGGAAUCCGAUCCCUCUCACCGUGGCAAGCAAGAAGCAGAAGACCUUACUUGGAAAAUCAGUACAACCCAGGUGGUUAAGAAAGCCCAACAGAGACUCCAUCUCCUCAGAGUAUUGCGGAAGAACGAUGUCAACCAACAUUUGAUGACCUCCUUCUACCGGUCCACAACAGAAAGUGUCCUUUCAUACUGCAUCACGGUGUGGGACGCUGGUUUGACAUCAACCGAUAGGAAGUGCCUACAGAGGGUGGUGAAUACAGCACGAGAUAUUAUGGGCUGUCCCAUGAAUCUGCCGGAUGAAAUAGUGGAAGAACGUUGCCUCAGGAGAGUGAGGGAAAUUCUCAGGGAUGAUUCACACCCUGGCCGGCACUUUCUUGAUCUCCUGCCCUCGGGCAGAAGAUAUAGAAGCAUGAUUAGUCGCACCAACAGGGUAAAUAACGGCUUCUAUCCGUGGGCUGUUAGGCUGCUGAAUGAAAAGAUAACAGGGCAACUGACUUUCGGGUUUGGUGGGUCUGGGUGGAGGGGAAUUAAGACUAAGAGAGCUGAGUGGGGGGUGCUCAUGUAAUCUCACUGUAUACAAGUUGUACAAGUGACAAAGUAUUUCAAUAAACAAGAAGCGUUCUUACCAAGCCUUUUAUUCAGUAUUCACAGAGAGAGCUGCCUCUCUUAAAUAAUGUGCUGGUCCUGGGGGGUUACCGUGCGGUGUGGUCCAAGUCCAGUCUGAGGUCGAGGGUGUGGUAUGGAGGCUGUCCGUCAAGGCUGAAGCAGGGUCCAAGGCAAGGAGUCAGGUGUGGUCAGGAACUCUGGCAGAAGAGCAGGACAGGGUGCCAGCAGGAACAGGUUACCAACAAUGUUGCUCCUGAAACUUGGGACUGGGGCUGGCUGGCUUUUAUCUGCCCCGAGGCAUAGGGCGGUCCCGGUCCACAGGUGACUCACCUCUCCUGGCCUGGAGGCGAGCCCUCCUCCUGCGAGAACUUAGUUCCCUCCGCCUCUCUGCCCUGAGCCUCUGCAGCUCAGGAGAGGCUGGAGGGUUACUGGACCCAGAGGCAACCUCACCUUCUCCUGUCCAGGCUGGGAGAGGAGCACCUGCAGGCAAUGGGUCCUCGAUCACCUCCUAAGCCAGAGCGGAUUCAGCUGGUGUCUGCUCCUGAGGAUCCAGCACAGGUGAGGGCCCUUCAGGUUUAAGCCCCAGCCAGCCCUAGCUCAGCUGGUCCUGGAGGCAGGGACUCCUGUGCAGGCUGGGAUUCCUCAGGUUCAGCCUCUGAAUCAGAUUCCCAGGCCAUCACAGAUAAUGGCGUUGCUCAAAGUAAAGUCCCACCUCCUCCUUCCCUCCUAUUCUACGCCAUCCCUGCGUUGGCUGAUUUGAGCUUUCUGCCUCUGAGCUUUCUCUUCUGCUACUGUCAAUGCACGCCUGGUCCUGGGAGAGGGGUGGGUUCAGGAAUGCUUUCUAGAGACACUCUGUCAGCUGUUUCUCCCCUUGUGCUUUUUCUCCCUCCUGCUCCUCUCCCAAUAUUUCCCAGCUUCUCCCCUCCUCCGCCGCCUCUGAACUAUGACCUUCUGCAAACCACUGUUCUAAAUCAAUACUGUCCUCUUCUCGGAAAGGUUGGGGGGGGGGCAACAUUCCUCCUCACUCCAGUCCCUGACAUUACGGCAUAAAGGCCACAGUAGAUUGGAGGUCACAAUAUGAAAUGUGAAAGGUACCCAGCUUCAAUGUCUGCUGGCAUCUCGUAGGGCUAGGAAUGUCCCCUGGAGGGGAGAAACUCCAUCAGGCAAGGCCUCCUUCCACCUGCCUUGCUCUACCCUCUGCUUCUCAAUGUGUAUUGUAUUGUUUUAUCUACUGUGGCUUGCCGGUGUUUUAUUGAUUAUACAGUGGUGCCUCGCAAGACGAAAUUAAUCCGUUCCGCGAGUGUCUUCGUCUAGCGGUUUUUUCGUCUUGCGAAGCAACCCUAUUAGCGGCUUAACGGAUUAGCGCUAUUAGCUGUUUAGCGGCUAUUAAAGGCUUAUCGGCUUAGCGGAUUAGCUGCUAAAAGGCUAUUAAAGGCUUAGCGGCUUAGAUGAAGGGGGGGGGAGUGGAAAAAAAAUCUCAAGACUCGCAAGACAUUUUCGUCUUGCGAAGCAAGCCCAUAGGGAAAUUCGUCCUGCGAAGCAACUCACAAACGGAAAACCCUUUCGUCUAGCGGGUUUUCCGUCUUGCGAGGCAUUCGUCUUGCGGGGCACCACUGUAGUUUAGAUAUUAUUGUAACUGUUGAGUGGAUUUCUGUUUAACUUUUCUAUGUUGUUAUUAUUUUAUACUGUUCUAAUGAUUGUUGAAUGUUACUUUUUUGAUGGAGGUUGCCUAUUUUAAAGUUAUGGUUUUUUUAUCACAUUUUUGUAUUGCAUUAGAUUGUUAUAAGGUGUACGUUUUUUGUUUCUUCAGCUUGUAAACCGCCUUGAGUAUUGUAAGAUAGAAGGGCGGUAUACAAAUUAAAAAUGAUGAUGAUGAUGAUGAUGGAGAGGCGGUCCGUGCAGGCAGUCCUAAGAUAGAUGGGCCAGUGGCUUCUUAUAUCCCAGUUUCAGGCAUUCCUCAUAUGACUUUUUCCCCUCCAUGGAUUUUGGAGAGCUGAGUAACCUGCUUUUACCUCUGAAGUGGCCCUGAUGGUGGAAUGGGUUUAUGAAUGAGCACUUGAAAUUGACAUGGGGUGGGCAGAGACUGGUUUGUUUGUUUGUUUGUUGCAUUGAGAUCCCACCAUUCCCCCCAAUGAGCUGCAAGGUACAUGUUCUCUUCCUCAUUAAUUUCGCACAAAGCCACUUCCGAGGGAAUCCUCAGACGCGUCAUACCCCAAGCCAGCCAAUCGGCUGACUCAGGGGGUGUGGCCUCGCCUACUUAGGUCUGGCGCGGCUGAGGCUCUUCCUCUUUCCCGCGCCGCAAAAAAGCAAACAAAACAAAAAACAAUGUUUGGCUGAACGAUAUCAUCGUAGGGAUUAGGGAUUGGUUACAGGUUUGAGGGUAUUGGCGGCGAGCUUGGGCUUGAGUCAGCGGCGUAGCGUGGGUUGUCAGCACCCGGGGCAAGGCAAGUAAUUUGCGCCCCCUAACCCGGGGCAAGGCAAGUAAUUUGCGCCCCCUAACCCCUAACCUGCCGCCGCUGCCAGCUUCUUCUUGCUGCUGCCUGGGCUGGUUUGGUGUGGUUCUCUCCCGCGCUCAGCGCUGCGCUGGACGGCCGCUGCACUGUCCCUCCCCCAGAUAGUCCCUCGCUCUCUCUCCGCACCGCACGCCUGGCACCCACCCCCUCCACAGUGGGCGGCGACCCAGCGGCUCGGAUCGGAUUCGCACAGCCAGCACUGCAGUGAGAGAGUGAGUGAGCCAGGUAGGGGCAGAGAGCUGCGAGUGCGAGCGCGCCCCCCCAGAUGUUGCGCCUGGUGCGGCCAGCCCCCCCUGCACCCCCCACGCUACGCCACUGGCUCGAGUGGUGGUUAGGCAUUGGUGGGGGUACUGUUUUAUUGUUAUGUAGAUGAAGGGGGGAAGGAGCGCCAUCACCUUCCCCCAAACGAAAGGGCAGUCCAGUAAAGGAUUCCGGGGGGCGUGGCCUUGUCCUAAGCCUAUGGAGGUGUGGGCCCACGGCAUGCCCCCACGCGGUGACACCAGGAGGAGGUCUUAGUUGACGUGCCUCAGCAGGACUCCUCCCACUGGUGGUUAACCCUCACCAUCCUUCAAGCAUACUGGCUGAAGCCGGUUAGUUGUUAGGACCAAUGCCUAAGCCAAUACCACUCAAUUCCUGUAAUCAAUAAAGUUGUGGCUUUAUUUGACCCAUUAACUCGAACUCUUGUGUCCUUUGUCUUUAUUUCUAUGGGGGUAGGCGGGAACUCGCCACGCAACAACCCCGUGAGAGGCGGCGAUUGGCUCCCAGUGUCAGCCAGUGGGCUUCAUGGAUUCGAACUCGGGUCUCCAGGGUCUUAGUCUAGCACUCUAACCGUAACACCACACUAGCUCACUGAUCUGGCUAUCCCUUUCCCCUAGGUAAGUGCCUAUGAGACGGCAGCCUUAUUUCCCAAGAAUGUUUUGCUUUGGGGGCUUUCCAGGAUUAUCAAAUCGCGCAGAGGCCUUGGAGGCAUGCCAGAUCUCACCUCCCAAAGAGCCCGGCUGCUCCUUGCAGCGUCCAAGAGCGGGGAAGUCUGAUGGAGAGGAUGAUGUGUGUUUUCUGCAUGACCAAAUACCUGCCCUUUCAGUUUCACCCCCCAGUGUGGAACAGUGUGUGCCUGCAUAUAUUUUCCAAGGUUAGGGUUUAGGUUGAAUUUACGAACCAUUUCCCACAAAAAAAGUCUCGAAGUCAUUUGCAAUGAGGAUAAAACGCAGCGUUGGGAAGACACGAACAUACUGAAAACAUAGCAGUCGGCAGUCAGUGCUUGCUUCCAAAUGCCCAGAAAAAACAAAAAUGAUGUCUCUUCCUGGUCCUAAAACAUUGACACAGGGGGUGCAAGGUGGAUAUCCCUAGGCAGAUAAUUCACUAGAUGGGGAGCUCCUAUAGAAAAGGCCCAUUCUCUAGUCUAGUCACUUCUCCAUGGAAGUGCAACAGCAAGGAUCAUUCAGUUUGGAACUUAAGAGUUAACCGUGUUGUCAGCAACUCAAUUAACUCAGAGAGGAGGGCUCGAGGCGUUGCUUAGCAACCAGGCAAGGUGACAUGAUCUCUAGUGAGGUAUGUGACUCAGAUAGGCAGGGGCAGGGGCAGAGGUGGCAGUGGGGGGGCGGCGGCAGCAUCACCUUCCUGUUUCAACCUAGGCAGUGAAAUGGGUUCUUACCCACCCCCUGGGUAAGAACAAAGCAGGUUGCGAGGAUCCCUGCACACCCUCUCUUACUUGUCAUGUUGAUACUGAAUUGGUUUAAAAAUGCCAUAGAUAGGGAACAUAAGAAUGGUCUCCGCAGCUUUGCUGUCUCCUUAGUUGGAGCUGUUUGCAAACCUCCCACCCCUGCGCCCAAGGCUGAAGCAACAAUGCUGUCCAGGGUUGUAAAGACUGCGGAGAGAAUAAUUGGGUGCACUCUUCCCACCUUGGAUCAAAUCUACGCUUCCAGGUGCCAUAAGAAAGCUGCAGAGAUAGCGCAGGACAGUGUGCACCCCGGAAAUGAUCUCUUUCAGCUUCUGCCUUCUGGAAGAAGGUACAGGGUUAUAAAGAGAGCCAGUGUGGUGUAGUGGUUAAGAGCGGUAGUCUCGUAAUCUGGGGAACCGGGUUCGCGUCUCCGCUCCUCCACAUGCAGCUGCUGGGUGACACUUCUCUGAAGUCUCUCAGCCCCACUCACCCCACAGAGUGUUUGUUGUGGGGGAGGAAGGGAAAGGAGAAUGUGAGCCGCUUUGAGACUCCUUAAAGGG